rnacentral:lncRNA from 1 species
UCCAAGGAGGAGUCGUUUACAUUAAUACCGGCAUUCAUUUUUAGGAGAGUCAAUCCUUCUUCUGGCGUUAGUGUACUAAGUUGAAUCUGUGUGUCACAACCCAAAGAAUCACAAACUGACUUUUUGCGAGUGGUUAGAAGGAUUUUGCAACAAUUAUCUCUACCACCGACGGUAAUACCUAAUUUUUUCUCCAAGUCGAGCUCUUUCCAGACAUCAUCGAUGAUUAUGAGGAUCUUGGUGCUUUUACUGUCAGAAAACAUCGAGCGCAAUCGGUCUGCUCCAUGUUUUUCAUCUUUCUGUUUUAAUUCCCAACCUAAUGAAUUUGCCAGCUCGUUUUGAACAUUUAUUAUGCUUGGAUCCUGAGAUACAGUGGCUAUCCCCACCAUAUCGAAAAUGUUUUUUUCCCGAAGUUGAUUGCCCACAAAUUUUGCCAGGGUUGUCUUUCCUACACCACCGAGACCAUGCAAUCCCACCAUCUUUGUGCUCUCUUUUUUCAGUGCGUCAAUGAUCUGAUUGCAAGCUGAUUCUGUGGUCUCGAAAAUAGAAGUAAAAUGACUUGGCAAACUUAAUUCUCUUUCUAAUGGUAGAGGUUUAGGAAAGGCAACUGUGUUGAAUUGGCUGCAGUCUUGUAGCAGAUCAGACAACUUGCUAGUCUUCUGUGAUGCUUUUCUACCCAGCCAAUAUCGGCAACACCAAUUAGGACACAAUCCAUGAAGACUACUAUCCUUUUCAUCUAUCUCUGCUUGCAACUUCCAAACAUCGUCCAAUUCUUCGACUCCAUUAUUCAGCCACUCCAUUACAUUUCCAUUGACUACUAUGUCGGGGCAUUUUCGUAGCUCAUCGUAUAUUCUUGUUUUGAUGCCAUCUCGUGCCUUCUUCAACUUAGUUUCUUUAUCCUUAAGUUCUUUAACAAUGCUGUUGAAACAGAACAUAUAGCGAGCUUGGUCAAUUGCUGCAUUCACCAAUAAUUCUUCAACCUUUGAUUUUAAAGCUUCCAUGCUAUUUAUCUGCAAAUAACGAAGUUGAUCUCAGCACGCUAUUAGCAAAACAACAAGGCUUGAUCACUAGACAAAAUGAGAACGUUUAAUUACCUUUUUCUGUACUGUGAAUGCACGUCUAUUAACACCAGCUUUGACCAAUAAGAGCAAAAUGCAGAGGCCGGGGGGGGGGGCUUAAGAGUUUCAGUGGCCUUUAGCUGCAAAACGGAAGAUGACAAAUAAGGUAAACGUUCCCAGCAAACGUGAUUUACGGUGAAUUAUAUUCAAAUUAGAUUAUUUUAAAAGUUGGUAAAUUAUUUAUCACUCUAUCUUAAUGAUACCUUAUUUGGGAUGGUAAAGAUUGGGGGUAAACUCCCUUUUAUUCUCACAUGUUUAUAGUAUUUAUAUUUUUAUAAAUUACCUAAAACAUCCACGUCACUACUUUUAUGGCUAUUGAACAUAUCAUUUCAAAUAUAAAAUACUAUUUCGGUCUAAUAUAAAUUAAAAAUCAAACAAAUCUAUUGUGCAAUAAAUGAAAAGUAAAGAAUAUUAAUUAGGUUUUAAUGGAAACAAAUAUAAAACAUAGAGGUUUUGAGUAACUUUUGUGAUUUUUUUUUUAAUGUUCAAUUUAGAAUUGAAUAAUUUGCAUAAUGAAAUUUUGAGGUUUCUAUAAUUUAUAUGAAGAUAAACUGAAAAAUAAGUUUAUAUGCCGAAAUUAAAAUAGUUAUAUAUUAGCAAUCAUAUAAUUAUCAAAAAAAUUAAUAAAAUUUAUUUAAAAAUUGGCCAAUUGUGUUUCAUGAGGAAAACAGAGAGCAUAAUGGACUUAUGUUGGGUCUUGGGAUUGAAGGACUAAGGGCAAGGGGCUGGGAGGUAGGACGGUAGGAAAAUUAAUUUUUUUUUUUUUUUAAAGUAUGGUCAACAUUAGUGACUUGGAGGUGAUUGCCGUUAAUCAAUUACCUUUAACUUAAGAAUUAAUACAAAUAAAUGGCAAAAAUAAUUUAAUGAAAAUUAAUUUAAUAAAAAAUUGCACUAAAAACUUAGAACUCAAAUUCUCGAUCAUUUUAUCCGUACGUUUUAAUCCGACGCUCAGAAUUGGCAUAAAACAAACUAAUAUAGCCAUUGGAAGUAAAACAAACAUCAAAUCAAGAGCCUAUGAAACGAUAAUAUCUCGUACCUUCUUCCUUAUAGAUCCUCAAUUGCUGCUGAAAGCUGCAUAUGACAAUAUAAAUAAACAUGAGAUCAAAACAUCAUAGGAUAUAUCUAACCAAUUAACAUCAUAUAUAACUCCUUGUUCUCAGUCAAAUCUUUCAUUCUUAGAUUAAAAAAAAAAGAAAUAAUAACUGUUAAGUGAUAUAGGAAGCAAAAGUAACACACCGAAAUGAAAGCAGCAAGUUCACAAAUGACAGAUGCGGUGACUUCAAGAGCAUGAAAAAUGAUUAAACUUUGGUAGAAAGGUCUGAGCCGUGUUUCACAAGUUGCUAUUGACUUCGUGGCUUCGCUUUUAUUUAUUAUUAUUAUUAUUUUUUUAAAUUCUAUAUCAGUGAGAAUUGAAAUGUGGAAAGUGUAAUGAUACACAUGCCUUAUCAUCUAUCAUGAGGGGUGAUUUGGUAAAACCGAUUUAAAAUAAAAAAAAGUUUAAAAAAAUUGAAAAAAGAUGCUUUGUGUCUGACUGCCUGUAUUUGGGGUAUUUUUCGGGUUGUUGAGAGUCAGUUUAAUUAAAUAUAAGAUUUUCAUUUUUCUUAUUAUAUUUUUCUCUUUAGAAUGAAUUUAAAUCUCAUUCUUAUUAAAUCCAUUUUUUUAAAUGAAAGUAGAUUUCUCUCCACACAUUUGAGAUAUAUUUUAAAAUUAAUGUUCAGCAUAUCUCUAAAUUAUAUUAUAAAUAUUUUUAUUUAAAAUCUCAACAAAUUUCAUAACACACAGAGAGAAAUACAUAUAUAUGUUGUAAUGUUUUAAUGAUGGAUCUCUAAAGUUGUCAAGUUAAAAAAUAAAUAAAAAAAUAAAAAAUACACACUUCAACUUAUUAUAUGAUAAAAUAUAGUAUAUUAAAGUGAGUAUUUUUUGUGUGAAAUAAAAUUAAAGUGAGUACUAUUACCACCUCACAUCUUAUAAAUUCUAGAAAAUAAUCAAGGCUUGACAUACUUUUAUUUAUGCAAAAGCAUAAGAAAAUAAUUCAAAGUAAUAAUUAGUGUACUAUUCCUCAAAAUUCUAGAAUAGAUUUGUUAGUUCUCUUUAUCUAUAGAUUGGUCCAUGAUUGGCAUCGCAAUAGCUCAGAAUCGCCUCAACGAUUGUUCCACACGGUCCAAGUCUUCUUAGCAAUAGUUUUAGAGAAAGUGUUUAGUAGUUCCAAGUCUUCUUUUUUUAACACAAAUGUUGGCAUGAUAUUCUUAAUAUAUUUUUAAAAUCAAAAUAAGAUGCAUAGAGGACAAUAAUUUUAUUUGAUAAUUGAUUUUUUUGCAAAGAAAGUUUGAACAUGAGAGUGAUGAGAGAUGAGAAUAUUGAUGAUGGUGUGUACUUUAGAUGGAAAAAUAGAUUGGAAAUAUAUAUAGACAUAUUAAAAGAAAAAAAUUUGGUCUAUUUCAUAAGAGAAACAAAAAAUUAUAAACGCAGGUGUUAAAAUGUAUUCAGAAUUUAUAAAUUUUUAUAAAUAUGAUAAUCAUUAGACCCUUAUAAAAGUAUAGCAAAAAGUUUAAAAUUUUUUAAUAAAUGUCGAAGAGAUGGACGAAGAAACCAUCCACCAGUUCAGAAUUAAUAAUCAAAGAUAUGAGGAUUCGAUCGAAGAAAUGGUGAAAAAUAAAAGGUCACGGGAUUGGUUAGUGGGACCCUAACAUUAAUGGUAAAAAAUAAAAGGACACUGGGUUGCUAUCAAUUUUUACAGUGUAGGUUCAUAGCCGGGGAAGUAAUUGGGCACAAAUAUCUCGGAUGAGAAAUAUCCAUUUUAUCCCGCAACUUUAUGUUUAUGGCCUCUAAAAAUUUUCACCUCUUUCACUUCUGGAACCCGUGCUUUCUGGCACAUGCACAAUACUUGGUUGCUACUUAUAAAGCGUUUUUACAAUUGCAACGACAUGGUGCUCUUUGAUAAUUCAAAAAUCCAAUAUAAUUUAUAGAGAAUUACAGAAUUGUGGUACGUGAUAAUUUGCUGACGCAAUGAGGCGCCUAAAUUCUUAUACAUGGGAUUUAAGUUAAAUAUGUAUAAUUAUGUAAUUAGAAAAUACUAGUUGGGGGUAUUUGUGUCCAUGAAAAUUUACAGCUGGUUGUUGACAUUACACUGCGGGUGUGUAAGUGUAAUCAUGGAUCUGACCAUUCAAAUUAAAAAAUGGGGGUCCCACUAACUUACGGAGUUAGUAAUUAUUACAUAUGCAGAUAUUCUCCCAUACGAUAACCUUAUCAUAAAUUUAAAGGAUACGAGGACUUGAUUGAAGAAAUGAAUGAAUAUUUGAAUUAAAAAAAAUUUAUAAUAAAGACAAGUAUUAAUUUACUAUGAAUGUAACUUACAUAUGCUGUAAGUUAGCGGGACACUAUUGAAUCACAAGCAAAAAACAAUCUGUCUUCUUCUUGAUUCCGUAAUUUGGCUGUCAAAAUGUAAUCUAUAAAGAUUACGAUACCUCGAUUCAAAAAAAUAUUUUUUUUUCUUAUGAAAUAAAUGAAAACUGAACACCAUUCAAUUAACCGUUUAUUUCCCCUUAAAUUUUUAAUCUCAAUGAAACAUAGAUCUAAUGGGAACUACACAUAUAUAAAAAUACUAUAGAUUGAAGAAGUUGAAUUUUUCUUGUGUGUUAAGUAUUUUUGGUUAAUACGAAAGGAUUCUAGCAAGUUAAUACAAAAGUAUCAUAAAUUCACUGUAGUACAAGAUUUUUUUUUUUUUCCUUUGAUGUUAAGAGUUUUGGAGAUUAAAAAAAAAAGAUGAAAGAAGAAGAUGAGAGAAGAAAAAAUAUUAAGAAUAGUUUUGGCAUUUUGAUGCGUUUUAUAGAGUAAAAUUUAUAUUUUAUAGUAUAAAAUGGUACACCCAAAAUUUAAUGAUAAAAUUUUAGGAAAAAAUUGCACUCGUCAAAAAAAAAAAAGAGGCUCAGCUUAGCCCAAAAUUUUUUUAUUAAUCGUCUAGUCACAAAUGUAAUCUCUUUUUUAUGAGAUUCUUUGGCGUUUUAAUUUAGUCCAUUGUUAGCAAUCCUAAUAGCUUUUAUGUGCACCUAUUUUUAUGUGAAAUAUGUUUCAAGCUUGAAUAAAAUCUGCGGGACAACUGGUAAGUAAUAAAGCUCAUCAUUUUUUAUUUUGAAAAUAAAGGGAAUCACUUACACUUUAGCACGAUAUUAUUUUUGAUAAGUCAUUUUUUGGAUAGAUUAUUUUUUCUGACGGGUAAUUUUUAGGACCUCUCCUGAAAUUUGAUGUAUUAACACUUAGAUGAAAUGUAUCCAUAUAAUUACAUAUACCUCCCCUAUUGUUAAUAUAAAAAUAUGUAUAGCGUCAGAUAAAAGGGUAAAUAUGUAAAAAUAUAUUUAAAAUUAAAAAUAUUUACUUUUACCAAAUCAUUAAAAUUUUGACCCACUUGCCCGCUGUUGGCCCAACCUUGACCAGCCGGUCAUGGCUCCACCGGCGACUGGUGGUGGUGCUUUGCCACUGCCGGAGUCCUCUCCUCACACCUGCGACCAAUCCCAUUCACGGCAGCCUUUGAAUCAACUGCAUCAACCAACACACAUUAACACAAGUACACGGCUUUUUGAAGUCUCUUUUGUUUUGCGUUUUCCCUUCACUGAGAAAAUUUGUCAGCUAAUAUAAUAAGCUUUGUUGCCUUAGAUUUGAGAUUACAGAGUCCUGAGCAGAUGUUGUGGCUGUGAUGUGGGUUUUAUUGUAUUUGACUAAUAGGCAAAAUACCUUUUAUUGGCCUACAAGGACGGUGCCUUUUUCUUCUUGUUGGGGAACUUCGUGAAGAAUCCAGCUUGCUUUUUUCUUCCUUUUCUUUCUUCAUUUUAAUUCAUUUUUUAAUUUAUAAUAACUUUUUGAGAUUGAAUUAUCGGCUUCACAUGUAAACAAUGGCAUUUGGUAUGUCACAAGUGCAUAGUUAUUCUUAUUUUUUAAUUUAUUUUUUUCUGAUGUUUUUGUUGCUGGAAUUAAUUUCUCAAGGUUUUGGCAUCACUCCCCAUUGGAUUUGCUAUGUUCAUGGUACAAUUGGCCACAAUCCCAAUCACUCGCACUGGAAUUAACCCAGCAAGGAGUCUCGAAGCUGCUGUUAUUAACAAUAAGGACAAGGCUUGAGAUUGACCAAUGGCUCUUUUGGGUGGUGGUGCUUUGCCACUGCCGGAGUCCUCUCCUCACACCGGCGACCAACCCCAUUCAAAGCAGCCUUUGAAUCAACUGCGUCCACCAACACACGUUAAUCCAAGUAUGCUUUUGUCUCAUCAGAACCCCCACACCCCCGCUGCCCCUUUGGCAAUCGCCGACGCCACCCAAUAGCGGCUAACAUCACCCUUGAACCAUCCCGAUACCAUGCCGCAACCUCUAGCAUCCCAAAACCCAAACUGCACACAACUCUCAAAACCCUUGCUCGAGCUUGUCACGCCGCAUACCACUGCCGUAAUUUGUACCAACAGUGAUGGUUCCAUAUCGUCACUGUCCAUCCCCUCAACCAACCCCCCAUGCAACCCCGACCUCAAUAACAUCUCAACAACCACGAACGCACGAUUUCUUCAACCUGCACUUACGGCCACUUUUAAUGAAAUUCUCACUGCCAACGGAAUUCUCAAAGUUAUAUAUAAUAAUUUAUUAUUUCAGCAGCAAGGAUAGUUUAAUAAUUUUAAAUGUUUAUUAACGGUCAUCUUAAUUAGUAACUAACGGCAGGGGAGGUAUAUGUAAUUACAUAAAUACAUUCUAUCUAAGUAUUAAUAAACCAACCCUCACAGAAGGUCAUUAGAAAUUAUCCUUUUUCUGACAGGCUCUUAGAUUUGGGAAAAUAAAUUGUGUACUUUUAAUGAAGAAAAGUAAAAGAUCAAUAAAAUAUUUUGUUGUUUUCGACAAUUUUUGCGUUGUCAAGUGCGCCUGGUACCUUUUUUUUUUUUUUAACUUUUGAGUUGUUGUUUAAUUUGUAUUAUAAUUAAUUAUCAUGGACCCACGUGCCACUGUUUCCAUUUCAAGUUUCAUAAUUUAACAGUGGAAAUGGGUUCCACAGAUAAUUUAUUUUAUAAUUUUUUAAAAAAAUUAUCAAAAUGUAAUAAAUAAGGUAAUAAUAAUUAAUAAAAAGUAGAUUUUAAGAUGGAAAAAUCUUUUUGUGUACUUAAUAAAAAGAUGAUAAGAUUGGGAUGCUUUUGGUUUACAUUCUCAUAGCUAUUUCUACUGAAAAAUUACAUCAAAAUUUAAUUAAUAAAUCAGUGAACUGCAGACUUAUUAAAUUUAAGCAAUUUUAAUAAGUCAUAAAUAUACUAAGUUAAAAUAGUAGUAAACCCAUCGUUACACAAUUCUCUCCAUUGAAUGUUCACCACUUUAAGAUAAUCAUAAAAUGACACUGGAUGUGCUAUUAUCUGUUUCAUUAAAAGCCUUCACAAAAUAAAAGGCCGGUGAACAAAGUUGGUCAUAGAAAAAAGGAGCAUAGAGCACAUACAUCCAGUUUUUAUAUCCUCUGAUACUGAGUCGUCACAUGCUAAUGCUAUAGACUAUAUGAUAAUCUACUAAGGUGACGCAUGCCAAUGCUAUAGACUAGCUUUUCAAAGGUUGAAGUGGGUAUACUUUUAGUAAAAAGACCUGCAAAAUUAUAAUGUAUCUAUUUGACAUCAACUUUUUUUAUCUGCUGGAGCUUAUGAUUAUAGAAGAUCUUCGGUAAGAUGUGUUUGAUUUUAUCUUCUUUUAUAUAUCCUCCUCUAACUUGUGUAAUAGUAGUAAACCCCUGCCCGUUUUUAUUUCGUUUAGUAUUUUCUAAAUGGCCGAAGGAAAAUUGGUAAAAACUCAUUUAAAAAUAAAAAAAAAUCAAAGAAAUUCAAGAAGAAGCUUUCUAUCUGCCAUUUGUAUUUGGGGUAUUUUUUUGGUUGUUAAGUGAAUGAGCUUAAAUCUAAAACAUUUAUUUAUAUAUUUCUUGUUGGAAAGAAUUUAAAUUUUAUUCUUAUUAGACUUAUUCUCUUUAAACAAAGGUAGAUUUUUCUCUAUGUGUUUAACGUGUAUUUUAAAAUUAAUGUUCAACAUAUCUUUAGAUUCUAUUAUAAAUAUUCAUAUCUAAAAUCUCAACAGAUUUCAUAAUAUAUAAAGAGAGAGAAUAACGUUUCUAAUAAAAAAUUUAUUAAGUUAAAGAAUAAUUCAAAAGAUAAAAUAACACACUCCAAUAUAUUAUAUAAUAAAAUAUAUUGUAUUAAAAUAUAUAUUUUGUUUACUUUUUUUAAUAUAUCUCCUAAUAACUUAAGAAAUCAUUUAUUUAACUAUAUAUAUAUAGAGAGAGAGAGAGAAAAAUGUUCACGAGAAACCUUUAAAACUGCAUGGUUUUAAAUGUUUAAAAUGUAAGAACCGAUGAACAAUUUUUGACAAAGACGUUGCGACCUAAGUAGGGAUAGCAACUAAAUUCGGAUCCAACUCGGAUAUGUAAGGAUCCGAAAGAUCCAGAUCCAGAAAAUUUUUUAUCUGAAUAUUAAAAAAUGUUGAUCCGGAUAUAGAAAUUUGGGAUCUGCACGUAUUGGGAUGGAAGUACAUUCGGAAAAUUGGAUAACGAGAUCUAGAUAACUUUUGUUUCAAAUUAAAAAUAUAUAUUAAAAAUUAAAUGAAAAAUUAAAAAAGUAAAUUUCAUUUGUGGAUUUAUGAUGUUGUUGUAUAUUAUUCAUGUUGAAUUAUUAAUUGCUGGAUAUGAUUGAAUUUUUUUUGAAAUUAUUGGGUAAAUUUUUGAAUUUUAUUUUAAAUUAAAAAUAUUUAUUAAAAAUUAAAUAAAAAUAAAACAUUAAAUUUUAUUUGUAAAUUUAUGAGAUUAUUGUAUGUUAUUCAUUUUGAAUUAUUAAUUGUUGAAUUAUGAUUAAAUUUUAUUUGAUAUUAGUAGGUAAAUUAUUAAACUUUCAAAUUAUAUAUUAAAUUAUUUAAUUAUAAUUUUUACGGAUCCGAAUAUCUAGAAUAUCUGUUCGCAUCCGGAUCUACAUAUUUUUUUACGAAUCCAGAUAUAAAAAUAUGAAUGUGGAUCCAAAUUCGGAUUUUGCCAACCCUAAACCUAAGCAUGAAUGUGCCUAAAGUUUUUACUAAGAACAUGGAUCAUUCAAUGACACGACAUGUUUUGCAGCUCUCAUUAGUAUAAUUGAAUAAUUAAUUCAUCUCUAUAUUCAGCUUACACCGUCUCAAAUUGCAUGCAAAUACGAAAGUACACUUUUGAAUCGUUCACUUGAGGAAAAUUAGAUUCUCCACGUAGAAUUUAGAUUCAAAGCAUAGCAAAUUAGACAUAAUUCUAAUUUAUAUGGGAAAUAUAAUUAGCGAAGACACUCUUUAUAUAAACAUUAUUGUCAUAGGAUGCCAAACCUAAUAAGAUUCAAGAUCUUAACAUACUUCAUAUGAAAUUUGAUCUUGACGCGUACCGACACGCAUAACAUCAAGACUCUACUUCAUAUAAUGUAACUUCAUGGAUUUUUCGCUCUCUUGUGAAAUUGACAAUUAUGGGCGCUGUGUGGCAGUGGUACAUAAUAAAAUAAACAUUUAUUUUUAGAAUAUUAUUAUUUAUCUCAAUUUUUUAUUUAAUAGUUAAUUUUAAUCAAUUCUUAAACUGUCAUAAUCAAUUAAUUUUUUACAUUAUGGUAUCUUAAAUAAAUUUUGGAUCUGUAAUAAAUAAAAACUGGUAACGUUUGUUCUUUUAAAACAUAAAACAACCGUAACAUUGGUUUUUACAUUUUGAAUUUUUCUUGCAUCACUAUUUAGAAAAAUGAUGUUAAAUCAACUCACAAAAUAUAUCAAGUCAUCUAAAAUCCAAAUAUUAUUACAUUUGUAUUUGUAUUGUUAAAUUGUUGGAACGACGGCAAAGCAAUUGAAAAGAGAUUAACAAAAAAGUAAAGAUUGGCCAAGGAUUAUUCAUGUUUAGGAAAUGCCUUAACUUUUGAUAUAAUCAUUGUUAUAAUUAUAUUGUAGAAAUAAUCAAUUACCUGUGUUUAUGUUGGUCUCCUUUUUUUCCAUUUCUGUACAACGAAAUAUUUGCAUGUUUUGAUAGAAAUUGGUUUAAAUGACAUUUAAAAUUGUAUAUCCCCAGACAAUUAACGAAAUAUUUGGAUGGUAGGAUGAAGUAAUAAAUAGUUUUACAAAUUACCAUAUUAGAGGUAAAAAAAAAUAAAAUCGAGAGGUUACUUGACAAUUAUGACGUUACUAACUACAAAUUUAACACAAAAAGUUUAAUUAACUUUUCUUUUUGAGAUGACAAAAUCUCUGGUGUUGAAAACAAUGAGGUUUGAGGUUCAAGCUUGAAUAUUAAGUUACAAUUAGUAGAUGGUCUUAGGACAUAUCAAAGAUUUCUUUAAAGACAAAAUAAUUAUUAUAAGCAAUAGGAAAUUAUGGUAUUCAGAACAUGUAACCUUCGCACAUGAAGCUUGAAUCCAGAACAAGAUGCAGCUAGCCAAUCCUUCCAACUUCCAAAAACCCACAAAAUCUCUGUCAACAUGUCUGUUCUACUUCAAUAAUAAGCACAUUCAUAGCGGUAUCAACAGCUUACAGCGCCAAAAUAUUUUCCCCAAAAAGAGUGAGAGAUUUCACUGAAGCUAAGUUGUGACUUGUGACUGCCCAAAUGUUCUAUAACACGAUAUGAUUAUUCUAGUAACAUCAACAUUUGCAUCCUUCUGUAUCUGUCUGAGCUCCUGAAGCAUGAUACCCGGUUGCCCAGCAAAAGAUGCAGCUAUCACAAUGAAUAAGGGAACAAAAUAGAUAACAAAGUCACAAAAACAAAGCUAAUCACAAUGAAUGAUAAGGUUUAGAGUAAACAUAAAGUUAUAAUCUUGAACAUAAGUGGCGCUCUUGAGGAAAAAAAAAAUUCAUUCUAACACAACAGAAUAAAUUGUAAAGAAAUCCCAGUUUGUAUAAAAGAAAGAAAACAAAAUUAAGGAAAACAUAAGCACAACAAAAUUUGACUGAUUAUUAAAAAUGAGAAAUGAGUUAUAAUGAGAAUUUUGGCUUUGUGGUGAAAUAAAUUGGGAAGUAUCCAAAGUUCGCAUGUAAAUAAUAUAAAUGAUAAGAAGACGAAGGGAACAAAAUGAUAAUAAGCAAGCCAAAUAUUAAAAUGCAGAUUCUACGCUUCCGCCCCCCCAUACUUCAAGUUAGUGUCUCGCUAAUCAUUUUAGAUGUAUCAAUUACAAAGGGAGGCCAUCUAUUUAUGGUAAGCGUACGCCUCUAAUGCUUUGCCAAGUGUCCAUUGAUAAUAUCACAAGGGCAAUUAAAUUGGUGUAUGUGUAUUACACCUCCUAAAGUCAUGUUAAGAUAGUUAGUGAGCUGAUAAAGUUUGUUGCACGUGUGAGUUGGUUAAGUCUGCUAGAAAUGCAAACGUGUAAAGCUGAGUCAGCAAGUUAGUUAACGUUAUUAUGAAUGCUUAGAUUCAGCCCACGUGUAUUGUAUGUAAUACUUAGAUUCAGGUCACGUAGAUUGUGUAUACAACUUUCUAAUAUGAGUAAUGAUACAGCCACAAACUCUUGUACAAACUUAUUUUAUACAAACUGACGUGAUAUUUAAUUCAAACUGAUGUGGGCCAAGUGAUAUUUAAUUCAACCAAUCUUAUCAUGCCACAUCAGUUUGUACAAAAUAAAUUUGUACAAGAGUUUGUGGCUGUAUCAUUACUCUUCUAAUAUUAUUUAGAUCUCAAUAUAAAUACUUGUAAUCAACAAAUACAAUAAUAAGAGUCAUCAUUCUUCAUUUUCUCUCUGUUUCUCUCAUAUUUUCUCUGCAUCCAAACACAAUAUUCUCAGUUCUUGACUGGUAUUAGAGUCGCAGUUUAAUUGUCCUGGCUUCGUUAAGCACAAAUUCAAACACAAAUCAGUCUCCUUCAUUCUUUACCCUCACAAAUGCGAUCAAAUUGGACAGAUCUUACUAUACGAUCUGGAAAUCUCAGAUCCUCUCUUCAGUGUGUGCCAAUGGACUUGAAGGCUUUCUUAAUGGAACUAAAAUUUGUCCAGAUCAGUUACUUACUCAAGAGAUUGAAAGUUAUGGUGUUGAAAAUGUUGUUGGUGAAAGCUCAGCUGAUAGAUCUCAGGAGAAUCCAGCCUUUGUUGCUUGGAAGAGGUAGGAUCAAUUGUUAUUAAGUUGGCUCAUGUCCUCCAUCAGUGUUGAGAUACUUAAGUCUUGUGGUAAAUUCUGAUUCUUCUCAUAAACUUUGGACUAAUCUUGAAGAAAAUUUUUGGAUUAGAAAAUAUGGCUAAGAAAGCACACUUAAAAAAUGAUGUUAAGCAAUCUCAAAAAGGGAUCAAUGACAAUAACUGAGUAUUUUGCCAAACUUAGAGCUGUAACUAAUAAACUUGCUCUAACUGGUAGACCUGUUUCUACUCUAGACUUUAUUACUCAUCUAAUCUCUAGAUUAGGCCAGCCAUACUACCCUGUUGUUGUGUAUAUUGAAGCUAAUAUGUUGAAAAUAUUUGUCAAUGAAGCCUAUUCUAUGCUUUUAACUCAUGAAGCAAGAAUUAAAUUUAAUCAUCCGAGUGCAAAUAAAGAAGCAAAGUUGAAUUAUGCUGCUAACAUAGCUUUGGCUGGACCUAGUAAUAACAAUAAGAAGUCUAGUAAUCAAGCUAAUUACUAUCAGGGCAACCAAGGUAACUGGAAUAGAAAUGCUAAUUGGUGUGGUAACAAUGGAGGAAGAGGUGGCUUUGGCAGAGGUUUUUCAGGGCAAGGAAGGAGUAAUUAGAAUAAUGGUGGUCAUUGGAACAACGAACCUUGGAGUAGUAGUCGAGCAGGUUAUAAUUGUUCUGAUAUAAACAUUAUGACAUGGUUGUUGGUGAACCUGUAAACAUAACCACAAAAGUAAGAAGGCAUAAUCUUUUUAUAAGAAACUCAAAAAUGUAUUAAUGAUGAAAAUUUUAAAACAGAUAGCUGACCAGCUGUUCACUAAGAAAACAAAAAACUGAAUAUUUGUGCUAUAAAAAGGCACACCCAAUCUCACCCCUAUAAAAGGCUAGAAUCAGCUACAAAUCCCUAUCUCAAAACCCCAUCCCAGUUUAGAUGAAUGAAGAAAAAAGAUGAAUCUUGAAACUCCUUAGAAACUGAAGCCCAAAGUGAAGCAAGAAGAUGAACUCUAUCCCAAGCAAGCAAUAUGGCAUAUUUCUCCAUUAAUGGUUCAAAUAAAGUGAAUGGCUUUCUCUGAUGAAUGGGAAAUUGUCAAGAUCAAUAGUCAAACUCACGCAAAGUAAACGGACUUAAUUCUCAGAGGCUACUCAUUCUAAGUCUUAAAGAAAAAUUUUCUAAUUUCUAAAGAUUAUAUGGGGAAAAAUCAUUAUUUUCUAACAUGGAAAAUUUGAUACGCUGUUUAAUGUCUGAUCACAAUCAUAAUAUGAGUACUAACAAAAACAUCUUUAAUCGGCAUGGUGCGAGUAAAACACCAUCACUUCAUCUUUGAUGGAAAGAUGAUAACAUAAAGAGAUGGUGAAAUGGUUUUGGUCCUUGGCAGCUUGUAAUCAAAAGAAAACAAAAAUCUACACUAUUAUUAAUGAUUACCGAAGCUACAGAAGUAUCAAAAUCGGAAAGUAAACAAUUGCAAAACACAUCAAUGACUGAAGGUUAGGUUCUAAAACUUCCGUAUUUAAUUUUCAAAGCAUGUUAUGUAUUAUUCAGAAAUAUGCUUUCACUUCAGGCACUUGACCAAGACGCAUUAAACAAAAAACGUGGCGUUUUCAUGGACUAGUACAUUCCAUGCUUCGAAAGUUUAUGUUUUAGACUGAUUCGUUUGAUACAUUAUUUGUUUAUUGCGUUUUUCUUGCUUUAAAUAUUAUGUUGGAUUGAUAAGUUUUGUACACAUUUAUAUUGCUCGCAGUAAAUAAUUUAUGACAUUUAAAAAACUAGCAACCGUCUAUCAAAAGAUUUCUACUAUAAAUAUAUAUACACAAAAAACUUUUAAUUUGGUCAAUUUGUUCUCUUAUUUAUUUUUGUUCUAUUUCUCUUUUCCUUUCCUUUCAUUUUAUUGUUUUAUGGUACAAAAUAAAAAAAUAACCUUAAAAUUUAGGGCAAAGCUAUGGUACCACAAUUGUAUGGUACCACAGCUGGAUCCAACCAUUGGAUCUAUCCCACAGUUGUCACCAGAAUUAGAUCCAAAGGCUGGAUCCAGCUGUGGUACCAUACAACUGUGGCACCAUAGUUAGACCCUAAAAUUUAAGGGUAAAAUACUCAUUUUACUAAAAUUCCGUUUAAUAUUAUAAAGCUGUCAAAUGUCAAUGGCAUAGUACACGAGUGAUACAAAUUAAAAACAAUAAAUGGCACCCCGGCUUUCGCAGCGUACUCAAGUGCAGCCACCACUCCAGAAUCUGGUACUGCAAUCACGACAUCACUCAACAGGAGCCUCGGUAGCAAGUACUUCCCCAAAAUGAUACCUCGACUCACAAACAUGUUGAAAAGUCAUGCACAUGACAUUCAAAUUCAAAAAUGCAUGCAAAAUUUCAAAUGGCUACCAAACAUUUGAAGAAAAAAAUGAAAAGUUGGCAAAUUUGUCAAAUUUGAGAAAUGGACACCAUUGACUAUUGGCUUAGGUUAGGUGGAAUAGUAAAGGGGUUGGUGCAAUAGUGCUAUUAUUUUUCCUAUAAAUAGAUGGCACUUAUUCCAUUCUUAAGCAUCCCAAAAUUGUUAAGCUUAUAAGUUUCUAAGAUUUUAAGAGAAGUGAGAGAAGUGUGUCUGUGGAAUUUAUCUUUCCUGCAGAGUGUGAGAGUACUGGGUAUAUUUAGGUUUUUGGGAAGUGAGAUUCGUUACUCAAAUAUUGUACUCUAUUAAUUGUUAAAUAAACAAUUAUUCUUUCUUACCUCCGUGGAUGUAGGUUUAAUUACCAAACUACGUAAUUCUUGUGUCCUUUAUUUUUUUGUAAUUAUUUGGUGCGCUUGAUUCCGCAUUCCGCGCACAACAAGUGGUAUCAGAGCCGACGGUUCGUACUUGGGGAGAUACGGUACUGUUCACGUAUACGGUAUUAUUCCCGUAUACAGUACUAUUCACGAAUACGGCGGAGACGGCCAUUUGUACUUGGGAGACAGUCUAUUAUAAGUAGUGUGUAUUUUUGCAUGUCUAGGAAAGUUUUGUCAACAAAGGCGAUAAGAGUCUAAGGAUUCUGGUUUUUAAUUGGGACCGAGUUCCCGUCCAGUCUCCUGAAAACUUUCCUGGUGCAUUUAUUCACGUGAAAUUAACAUUAUAGAGACUGUUUUUCAAGUGGAAAUAGUUCGUUGAGAAAAUGGUAGAAGGUGAAACUUCCAGAAUUGGGGAGAGAUCUACCGAGACUAUUUCAGGAGACACUUCAGGUGGGAGGCGAGAUUUGUCAAAUCGCUAUUCAGCACCUGUUAUAGGAGGCUAGAAGACCGAUGUUGAAAAGUUUGAUAGGAAAAUCAACUUCGGCAUGUGGAGGCGCGAAGUUAUGGAUGCCCUUAUUCAAAUUGAUCUCGGUGUUGUGUUGUUGAGAAAGAUCGAUACCAAAGAUAAUCCAUCAGAUAUAUUGAUGAAGGUAGUUUCUGGAGUUAAGUUUCAACAUUACUUGAAAUUAAUUCAAAUCCUUCAAUUGUAUUAAGAUAUGUCCUUCGGGAAUUAUGAACUACGGUUGGCUUGAUCCCAAAUUUUGGGUACGUAGGCAGUCGAAUCGACACAGCCAUUCUGGAUCCUUAUUGAAGGAUCACUUUGGGGAUGAGGGUUCAUUGGUAGUUGGCUCAGAUUUGGACAAAUUUUCGUCGAGGUGGAGAAUUGUUGAAAAGUCAUGCACGUGACUUUCAAAUUCAAAAAUGCAUGCAAAAUUUCAAAUUGCUACCAAACAUUUGAAGAAAAAAUGGAAAGUUGGCAAAUUUGUCAAAUUUGCCAAAUGGACACCAUUGACUAUUGGCUUAGGUUAGGUGGAAUAGUAAAGGGGUUGGUGCAAUAGUGCCAUUAUUUUCCCUAUAAAUAGAUGGCACUUCUUCCAUUCUUAAGCAUCCCAAAAUUGUUAAGCUUAUAAGUUUCUAAACUUUUAAGAGAAGUGAGAGAAGUGUGUCUGUGGAAUUUAUCUUUUCUGCAGAGUGUGAGAGUACUGGGUAUAUUUGGGUUUCUGAGAAGUGAGAUUCGUUACUCAAAUAUUGUACUCUAUUAAUUGUUAAAUAAACAAUUAUUCUUUUUUACCUCCGUGGAUGUAGGUUUAAUUACCGAACCACGUAAUUCUUGUGUCCUUUAUUUUUCUGUAAUUAUUUAGUGCGCUUGAUUCCGCAUUCCGCGCACAACAAAACAAACCUUCCAAAAACAACAGAAUUAGGCAAAGCAAAAUAAAUAUGCUCAAAGAUGCACUGCUUAGGUUCAGGGUGAGGCAUCAAACAAGGUGAUUGAACCCCAUCUUUAUCCACCAUCAAAACUUCACCGGGAUAUACCUCUCUCUCUCUCGCUCUCGUAUGUGGCCUCAAUCAAAUAGUGCACAAGUCUCUGACGCAAAAACCAGAGCACCAUUACUCCUACCCAUCACCAAUGGCAUAAACCCAUACGGGUCACGAACCGCAACAAGCUUAUCCUCAGUAACAAACACCAUUGAAUAAGCACCCUCAAGCUUCUCACAAACAUCCAUAAUCCUCAAAAAGAACGGCCUAGCUUUCGAUAUCGGAAUCAAAUGGAGAACAACCACAGUAUCAGAACUAGUAUUGAAAAUGGAUCCAUUAUCUUCGAGCUUAGCCCUCAAAGUAUUAUAAUUAACUAAUGUGCAACACCAACAGAACCAAACCUGUACCCAGCAACAAAAGGCUGCACAUUCUUAAGCAUAGAACUACCCGCAGUCGAAUAUCUAACGUGACCAAUGGCCAUAUCACCCGGCAUUUGAUCAAGUUUAGACUGAUUAAACACAUCAGACACUAAACCAACACCAGUAAUAGACUGAAGAACUUUGUUAUUCACAGCAACUAUACCUGCACCUUCUUGGCCGCGAUGCUGCAUCGCGUGUAGCGCCAAAUAGCACAAACGCGAGGCCUCUGGGUCACCAUAGAUGCCCACAACACCACACUCCUCACGGGGCUUAUCGUCGUCAUCAUCAUCAAAACUGCCAAAACCGUCAUCUGGGUAUUCUUUAUUUGUGGUGAAAAACUCAGAGAUGGGGUUUUUUUGAUAGAACAGUGAAGUUAUUUUUGUGGGUUAAAGAUUGUUGUUUCUGAGGAAAAAAGGGGUUUUUUGCGGGGUUUUGGAGAAAAGAGAAAGAUGGGUUUUUUGCGACGGCUUAGGGUUAGCAGAGGGAGAUGGGUUUGAGAGAAGGCAGAUGUUGGCGGUGCCUGUUGUGGUGGCUGCCAUUAAUGGCUGAAUUUAUUUUAUUUUAUUUGUUUUGGGUUGCCUUGCUCAAAGAAAAAACAUAGGAGGUGUGUGGAGGGAGACAGUGGCGAAGGGUACUUUAAGUAGAGGGGAACUUGUUCUAGGUUUUUUUCUGGAAUUGUGAGGGAAUCUGAUCCUGGGUUUGUGCAUAUGAUUCAAUUACUUAUAGGUGAUACUGUUGUGUCACCACAAAUUCUAAUUGGGAAGCUUCAGUUGUCAAAUUUUUUUCCAAGGGUUAAUUAGGUAGAACUUUCAUGUCGUCGAUUUUAUUUGGAGAUUCUAAAAGUAGUUUCCAAAAUCAACAAUGUGACACAGAUGCUUUAGAUUUUUUCCCUUGUGGGACAUGAAAAUUGAUGCAUGUUCCAACGCAUUGCUCUAUCAGAAUUGGAAUUAAACUUAGGUGCCGUUUGUUUUUUUGUCUGAAAUCUGAAUAGACUUGAAUUAGUCUGAAUUCUGAAUAGGUCUAAAUGUCUGAAUCCGAAUAAUAUGUUUGUUUUUUCGUCUGAAUCUCGAAAAAUAAGUAUUAAGUUGUUUUUUUUUUUUCAACUUAAAAAGCUGAAAAUAUGUACUUUUACAUUUGUAUCCUUAUUAAAUUUGAAUGUCAAAUAAAUAAUAUAUUAAAUACCACAAUAUUUUAAUAUUUAUAAAUAAAACUAUAUUCAAGUGAAUACAUAAUUAUUUUAGAAUUUUAAUAUAUAAAAUACCAUAAAUUUCAAAUUUUAUCGUAUAUAAUAUAAGAAAGAAAAAACAUGGAUAUUUUUAUAUGGGGUAAAUAUCUAUAGGUAAGUUUUGGGAUAAACAUGAAAAAUAAAUUAUAAAACAGAGAUAUUUUUGACAUUAGCAAGUAAUUGACUUAAUUCAGAUUUCUCCAUUAAGUAAAAAGCCAAAAAAAUUAGCUUAUUUUAUUAAGUCAAAAUUAUCUAAAAAGUCUCAUUAAGUUAUAAAAACAAACACCUCUAAUUAACUUAAUUAAUUAAAUUAAGUCACUGUAAGUCAUUAAGUUAAACAACAAACGCCACCUUAGUUUGUAUUCUCCUAUUCCGAAAGCAAAACUUAUAAGUGAUAUUCUAAGAAGAAGAAAUUAAGAACCAUAACAAAUUUGAUGAUUCUAAUUUGCUAGAAAUAUUGCAAUCCCAAACUAAGAAAGUUCAAACCAAUUAUUUGAAGAAAAAAGUAGGACGGAAGCUCCCAAAAUAUUGUUAUGUGUUGUAUGUUUUAGUUUGUGUUUCCCAAUCAAUAAGGAAAAGUAAGUACACAUGUAACAAAAAUUUAAUAAAAAAGAUUGGAGGUGACAAAACCGUCAAUCUUCUAAUUAACUUUCUCUCCUUUCGAAUUUCCUCGAGUUUGGUAGAGACUGCUUAAGUGGUAUAUCUAUUAUAAACACCUGAAGUCAAAGUUAAUAUUUUAAUUGUUAAGAAAAGUUAGAAAAAGAAAUUUUUGUAUAAGAGAAUUGAGUUUAAAUUUAGAAUUCCUUGGGAGGAAAUGAGUCUAAAUUCCAAUAAUAUAAUUAAACACUAUUUAUAUAUAUCAUUAGUUGGGUGAAAAUUUAAUUUCCAUCCUUUGAUGUGAAAAACUCUCUUGAUCAUCUAUUUUCAUAUGAUGGUAAUUUUUUGUUUAAAGUGAAGUUAUUGGCACCCUUUCAUUAUGCUUAUAAAAUCCUACUUCAAAUAAAAUUACACUUAAAGACAAUAGAAUUAAAUAAUAUAAUUUUUUCUUUAAAACAAAUUACUCAUCUAAUUUUUUAUAGGUUGCUUUGUAUCAAAUUAAAAAAAUUUUUUACAAAUUUAAAAUAAUCUAUUUUUUUUUCAAAUUUCUUAUUGAUUAAAUAUUUGUGUGCUUAAGAUAGCUUUAAAAUUAUAAGAUAAAAUAUAUAUAAUUUAAGCCAAUGAUUAACAUUAAAAAAUUUAUCUCUCAUAAAAGUUUUUAAUUUGUGCGUAGGGUAAUAAUAAAAUUGCAAAAGAAAUGAAAAAUAGCAAAACACUAUUUUGAGUUUAAACAAUAAAAAAAUUAAAUGAAAAAUUAGAAAUGUAUUUGAAAAAGGAUAUUUUUUGAAAAUAAAAUAAAUAUAAUUUAAAAAGAAAGAGUUUCACGAGGGGUGCAAUAGUUCAACUCUUUUGUUUAUAAGUUUUAAUGUGUUGGUAUCCUUAGCUUAGCUUUUCCCUAAUUAUUAUAUUAAAAUGUAACAACAAUGAUGAUCAACCCUAAUUUCAUGGAGGUCAAAGAUUUUGGUCAUGCCGCAUUAAUUAGUUCGGUCAUACUUUCUACAAAUUUAUUUACAUUUAAUAAUUUGCCCAAGACUAGGUAAGGCGCCGCCUGGAGUCAUAGAAUUUUAUAUGUCAAAAGUGCGUUUCACUUCAAUUAAGCUAUAAAUGUCGUUUAAUAUGCUCAUUUUGUAUUUUUUUUUAAAAAGUUUUAUUAAUUUUUAAAAAAAUAUUAUUUAUUUAUUUAUUUAUUUUUUUAAAGGUAAAGAAGUGGAUAAAGUUCAAAUUUAAUUUUUAUCCCUUACGUCAUGACCCUUAAGAUUUGAACUUAGGUAACCAAACGUAUAAUAAUAAUAUCUCAAAUUUCAUUUCAAAUGAUAUGCAAUAUAUUAAGUGAUUGUUAAUUUUUAUAAGAUCCGAGUGAAUGAAUUGUAUUAUCUCACUAAUUAAUUAAUGAGUGUCAUAUCAUUUAUGAUAACUUUUGUAUAAAAAAAAUUGCAUGGAUGAAAUAUCCUUUUGAGAAUUUAAUGGUUUAUCUCAUUUAUGAUUUAUUGUUGCAUUUAAUGAUAUUGCAAAUAAUUUUCUGAUAAUAUUAUUGUUUUGACGAGUAAGUUUGGAGUAAAUAAUACAUAUGGCAAGUGUGAGGUUUGUUAUUGCAUUUAUUUUGUGGAUCUAUUUAAAAGCCAAAAAAAGGCAUUUCGAUUCAUUAUGAUUCCAGAUAAUUUCAAGCCAUGUCAUUAUUGGGAUAAAAAUAAAGUAAAAUGGUUAAAACUAUUUUUAUGUAAUUUAUAAAAAUUAAUGAAGCAACUACAAAAUUUUUUUAAACGAAAAACAAUUGAAAUGUGUGUGGAAAAAGAAGAAAAAAAAUAAGGCAUUUAAAUAUCUUCUUAAAAAAUACGAUUGAUUAAAAUUAUUUUAACAGAAUGCUCUUCCAAAUACAAUUCCACAUUUUUUUUUAUUGCAGUGGGAUAUUCCAAAAUUGGCACAACUCAUUAAGAAUUCGACAACUCAAAUUUUAUUUAUCACUCUAUGCAUUUGACAAAUUAAAAAGAAAAAAAAUUCAUAUAUCUUCUGUUCAAAAGAAACCUUGGUAAAUAUUGUAAAACAAAUUACCAAUUUUUUUAAAUUUAUGCCAUUAAAUCGUCGCUAUUUUCUCGCCCACUUUCUUAAAAUAGAAUCGAUAUUUAUUGAUGGGUUGGGUUCGAGAGUAAGCACCAAUUCAGCAAAAUGGUUUUAUAGCAGAAAAAGCACUUGUAAGACAUUCAGAACACAUUUUUCAAUUUUGUCUUUUGAAAAUGAGUCUUGAGUUUCCGCAAGCCAAGAAGAAUGGCUAAAAAAUGUAUGGUAUCAAAAGAAAGAGAAACACACACACACAUUUUAUGUAAGAUACCGUAAAAGCCAAAUACAACCUUUUUGAUUCUCAGCAAUAACUUUUUUUUUUCCUUUUAAAAAAAGGAAGCCAUAUAAAUAAUGCUUUAAACAUUAUUUGCAACAAGGAACAAUUAUUUCAUGCUUUCAGGUAUUAGAAACUUUCCAAAACUGCUAGCAAGAAAGUGAAAUGUAACUUUACGUAGUCACAAAAUAUGUAUUGCUGUUAGCCCAAUUGUUAUGAAGUGGCUUCUGCAUCAGAAGAUUCCAGCUCCCACCAAGCAUUGUUAUCUCUCUUCUGAAUACAAUCUGCAUCGCUGGGCAUGAGUUAUAUCAUUAAUGUCUGCAUCCUCACUUACAUCAUCCCAAUCAAGUGCUUUUUCUCCAUAUCUGGAUUAUAAGUCCACUCCAAUCUCUUCAAAACAUCCUAGUCCUUCCAUCACAACUGCUACAACUUCCUUCCUAAUUACUUACCCAUUAAUAAAUCGCUCCAAGAAAAAAAAGCUUAGCAAUUCUCUUCAACGCCCCAUCACUCAUAUCCCCUACAACAACCAUCUUCAGACAAAAUCCGAAUCAUCCGACACAACCACCAAACACCCAAACCUUCUUUUGUCCACCAUAUAAAUCCUCAACAAAACAUCGGCAUCUUGUGGCUUAUCUAACACCAUUCUGACCCAAAAUCAUGCUUUUUUUAACUCAUCUGCAAAACCAUAACCCACUUUUGGAGUCAAAAUUGCGCUUGCAGCCAUUUUAUAUUUUUCCAUCUUUAUUGAAUAGCUGCCAACCAAAAGCACUCUCACCUUCCCUCUAGCUGAUCCUAUUUGAUUCGACCUUUUCUUUUGUUCACCCUCAUGAAUUUGCUUAAAAUGAUUAAAAAGCUUGUCAUUGUUAUAAAAUCUCCUUCCACAAUCACCAAUACAUACGGCUUAGCAGGCCUAAUUACACCCUUGAUUUCUAAUUGGUUAAACAAUUCUCUUUCUUUCUCUGCUCUCUUACAACUUGAGGCAUAUAACUAAACCCGUGGCUAUUAGCAUUUGCCACCAUGUAUUUAAGAAUCCCAAAUGAAGAUAUUGAUUUUUUUCAGUUUAAUUGCUGCUUCAAAACGGGGUACUAAAUUUGGAUUUUGUUAUCCAAAUACCAAAAAUUUCCCACAUUGUGUUGGACAGUUUUUGGUUCUAAAGUUGAUGACUGGUUUUACGAAUCAGGCUUCAAAUGAGAACUUCUAAACAAUAAGACAAAUGGGUUUUUGAGUUUCCAAUUUUGUAAACUUUGUUCUAUUGUUUAAGUUAUGAAAUCGCUGAAACAUCACUACAGCUACAGGUCUUUAUGUGUCAAAGAACUGCAGAAGCUGAUGAUCUAGCUGUAGUAGACUUCUAUUGCCCCUGUCGUUCUAGGAAGACAAACAAGUUCAGGAACUACUUCUGGACCAAACUCAUAAUAUUGCCACUGCUUUGUGCCAAUCUGAGAGGGAAAGCAUAUUGAAGUUCCUAAAUAAGGCACAUCAUGAUUUGACAGAAGUACCACUAUGAGGAACAAUUGAUUUCAGGAAAGCACUAAAAUAUGACAUAAUCUGCCCCUAAUGGUCUAAAGUAGUCAAGAAAUGAUAUCAACCAAGCAAAAACACAUAAACUAGUUGAGAUACAAAGUUAUUGUAAAAGUCAAUUUUGAUCACAAGUCCAUUAAAAUUAAAAGACAUUAGAAACUUAGAGAACAUUAUAAUUUAGGACUCAGCUAAGUUGCAGAUUCUGUAACUAACAGCUGUGUCCACAUUGGUCUUGCAUCAGCUGAGUUUGGGUUGCUUUUCCUCUCUCCUGCAACGCGUACGUGGAAGCGCCCCAUUUGCUGUGUUCUAUACCGAGUCGGUACCGUAACAAGCUCCUAUAAUUUAAGUUUGAUUACUGUAGACAAUAGUCUGCCUCUGCUCAAAAGCUAUGUUGCAAGAUAUAACAUCUUUGCAAUGUUAUACUUUCUAAAAGUAAUAAGAAAUGAAACCAAGGGGUAAAUCGAACACCAAAAGAAAUUUAGUCGGCCAACCACAUUAUGUUCCCACACAGUCCACUAAUUAAGUUAAUAAUUAAAAGGAAUCAAAAUCUAAGAAAUCUCAUCUUCAAGCAGAAUUAAUACAAACACACAGCGAUUGAAAAUCACAAAAUCAUAAAAAGAAGCUGACUUGAAAAGCUCAAAUAUACGUUCAUCAGCCUCUCAACUUAUAUCUAAGAACAAAUGCAGCUUGUGAAGACAUACAUAAUUGAAGCUGAUGAGCCAUAUUUAACAAAUGAUAAUCAAAACUUGUGUGAUUAAAAUUAUAAUUCAAUAAUCGAGCACAUAAAACAAGAAGUAACUAGUUGUAUAUAUACCAAACAACUUUCUGAAGUUAAGGCAUAAAACAACAACGUAGAACAAAUUAAUUAAAUAUACCAGCACCAAUACUCUUAUUAUUAUCCAAAUAUAGAAGACCAAUGUAUCAAACAAGGAAAAUGAAAUAUUGUUAAUAAAUAAAAAACGACUAGUGUCAAGAACUAAAGUAAUAAGUAAAACCCAUAAUCAGACACGACCACAUCAAAAUCUCUGAAAAUUGAGGUCUAAACAUUGAAAACAAUUAGACAUAUAUAACAGUCAAUCAAAACAAAGCCUCAAAAUAAUAAUGAACUACAAUAAGACAGAAACUAAAUUGUAAACAAGCGCAUACCCAAUAACAGUAAUCAAGUAACAAGUCAAAACCAGAAUCAAACGUAGAAUUUUGAAAUCCAUACGAACUCUAAUGUAUUAGAAUGAAAUAAUAAGGGCGAUCGAUAAACUAGACUCAAACAAAAACAUGCCCAGUUAAAAAACGAAGGUAAAUAAAUAAAAAUGGUAUAAAACUGCGAAAAAAAUUAAUGAAAUGAAGAGAAAAUCACAGGAAUCCUAUGAAGAGGAAGGUAAACAAAACCUUCGGGAGCCGAGAAGAUGCCUUUUUUGUUGACGUUUGUGCCUAUACAUGCAAUUUUUUUUUUUAAUUUUGAAGAAAGUAUUGGUUAAAUAUUGUCAGAACGAAAUAUUAAUAAUAGGGACUUGACUAGCUUACAGAAUCUGUAAGGUACAAACUGCAGCAUCAGCCGUUGGAUGUGGUUGGAUGUGGAGUGAGAAACUAAACAAUAGAAAAUCGGAUGGUGGGAUGACGGGAGAUGUUUGUUACAGAAUCUGUACUGUAGACAAGUCCUAAUAAUAGAUGCUGGCAAUUUCAACAAGGACAAUCUUCGAUUCAAAUGUACCCUUAUGAUAAAGAAAAAGCCAGCUUGGCUAAAUUUUGAGCACCACAUUAUAAGAUCUAGGUGUAUGUUUAACUAUGCAAAAUGAAAUAUCUAUUAAUUAUAAGUCCCUUGACCUCUGGAACCAGCCAACUGGUCUCUUUCCUACUAGACAACCUUCCAUCGAUCAGACUAAUAAUAUUUACUAAAUCAUGUUCUACAGUUAAUGAAGUUGGACCCAAGGCAAUUGUUAGCUUAAUGUCAUAGGCUGCUCAAAUUUCCUGUAAUUGGAGGAUAAUUAUGUGCACAUGAGUUCGCUUAGCAAAAGUCUGCCUAGGCGUGGAGUGCGCUUAAAAGUGGGAUGCACUUAGAAGUGGGAUGCACUUAGCAAAUCAUCCAAGCCCAACCCGAGAUCUAGAACUCUCUGCAUAUUAUAAAUAAGCUAAAAGUUUUUAUGUUUCUCCACGUAAGUCCCUAGGAUAUUUAUGGAAGUUGCUAGGAAGUUUCCUCCCCUAGAACUCUAAUACUUAUAAAUAGGAGUGGGCCGCCUCAUUUACCCACCAACCACACCACACACACAAACACUCCAGCACACAUACAAGCUCUCUAGCUUUUGUAAAAAGCUCUCUUGUAUAUUCUCUCUUUGUGAGUAAUAAAAUCAUAUUCAGCUAUAUUGCUCUACUUCUCUCUAGUAUUUUCCGCAAGUGUUCUUGCUUCGCUAGUUUGAGGAGUGGUCCAGGCUUGCUUAGCAACUUGUUUGCUACAAGGACAUCUUGGUCACAAAACAUGGACAUGCAAGGAAAAAAAAAUAUUGAUUCGUUCUAAAAAUAAUAUGCACUCUUCUCCAGUGAACCAAAAAAUUUAGGCUAAUGGUAGCAAGUGAAGGAAUUGUGAUUUCACAUGCAUUUUGUUGACAUGAAGGUAAAGAACUUUUUUAUAGUUUAUAUUGUUUAAUAUAAUAUUUGAAUUGCAAAAUAGGGGUACAAAAUAGAUACACGAAGGGAUAAAACUAAUCUGAUUAUGAUAAAUAAUGAAUUAUAAGAUUUAGGUUUAAUCAUAAAGACAUAAGUGGCACACAAAGUCACGAAUUGAUAUCAUCCACGAUGCAAGUUCAAACAACUGUAUAAUAAGUUGCCCCAAGCUAAACUAUUAAUCUAAUAACUAUUCCAGUCGAUGUGGGAUAAUUUUCCUAUCACCAUCUAUCACGUGCAAGCCGAAUUUGUUGCUUGGUUCUUACAUGUGGUAAGGUAAUAUGAAUCCACUUGUGCAUAAAUUUGGCUCCGAUAUUAUAUAGAAGCUUAUGACCCAAAAUUAUACUUAAAGGUUAUUUCAAGAUUUGAAGGUUGCCUCAAGCUAAUAUUAUUAUUAGCCUGGUAACCCUUUUUUUUUUGUUGAUAUGUGAUAUUUUCCCAAUAACUUUUAUUAAUCUUUAUGCUUAUGUUUUGUCAUUUAUCCCAAAAUAUAACAUUAACAAAAGUUCCAAAAUUUCCUUCAAGAGAUAUAUUUGAGACAAGUAAUUUGUGCAAUAACUUUGUGAAUUGAUGAGCAAAUUCAAAGAAAAGAAUAUAUGUGCCAAACGUAACGUUUAUUAUUGUGUUUAUUUGUAGAGCUAUUUAAAGCCUAAAAACAAAAAGCAUCAGUCUGCUAUUAUUUCAAAUAAGUUCAAGCCCUAUGUCAUUAUUGGUACAAAAAUGUAUUAGAAUGGUUAAAAACUAUUUUUAUUUAACUUGUAAACUUAGGAAAUUAUCAACUGUCCACCCUUAAAUUGCACUGUUAUAAAAAAUAUUACAAUAUUUUCAGAUUGUAUCAUUCAUCUACCAUAAAUUUACAAUCUGCAUCAUUUAUCCACCAAAUCAUUAACUUCGUUAAAAAGUGAUAGACGUCACAAGGGUAAUUUAGACAUUUAACACACAAAAAAAAUAAAAGAGAAAUUAUCUAAGCUUACCAUGUUAUCAAAAUUGCUACAAAAUUUUAAAUUUGUUCAAUUUUCCAAUCUAAGUUUAUGACCUCCAAGAUGUUACUUGCAGUUUGUAAUUAAUGAGUUCAUAAGGAUAAUUUAGACACUCAAUACGCAAAAUAAAAAAUAAAAUAAUGGCUUAAAACAUUAAAACAAAAAACUACAUUUUAUAAUUGAUAUUCAAUAAUACACAUAAAUUCUAUUUUUUUCUUAAUUAAAAAUAUUCUAAUUUAUUUUCUCAAUUUAUCAUCAUAAAUUUACAUUAAUAAACUAAAUCCACAAAUUACCCUAAACCCUAAUUCAUAAAUGCCCAAUCAAUCUAAUAGUUUAAUUCGAUUUCAUAAUUAAAAAAGCUAAAUUUAUUAUAUUAGUUAUGGUGUAAAGUCAAAAAUGCCCUUAAAUUCAAGGGUAAAAUAACAUUUUAUUUAAAUUCUAUAAAUUAUUCUAACAAUGUUAACAUAUUGGUGGACGGUUAAUAUAAGUUACAAACUUAAAAUAGAAAAUCAAAUAAAUUCAAAAUUUCAAACUAUUUUGGGCAAAUUUAGGACAUAUGGUUAAUAAUUUUCUCAUGUCUUUUUACAUUGGUUGGUAUAAGUUACAAACUUAAAAUAGAAAAUCAAAUAAAUUUAUAUUUUCAAACUAUUUAGGGCAAACUUAGGGUAUAUGGUUAAUAAUUUUUCUUUGUCUUUUUACGUUAAAUUGAGUUUCAAAGGUAAAAUGGUCAAUUUAUUAUAAUUAUGUUAAUGUUUUAGUGGAAGCAAACGAUAUAAUGGACGAAUGAUAUAAAUUGUAAAAUUAAGGUGCAUGAAUGAUACAACUUUAAAGUAUUGUAGUAAUUUUAAAAAUAGAACAAUUUAAGGGUGGAUUGGCAAUAAUUUAAACUUUAAUGAAGCAACUAAAAAACAUUUUUAACAAAAGAAAAAUAAUUGAAAUGCUUUAAGAAAAAUAAAAGAAAUUAAAUAUCUUUAUAAAAACAUAAUUGAGUAAAAUCAUUUUACAAAAUGCUCUUUCAAAUGCACAUUCCACAAGGCAGGGAGAACGGGUGGGUAACAAAAAUCUCACUUUUUAUGAGUUUAUAAAAUCUUACUUUCGCAGAAUCAAAAAAUAACCAAUACUAAUCACACAAAAAAUAAAAAUUAUUGUUGUCACGACAUUACGCACUUUCUUCGCUGUCUAGAAAUUAGAAAGCUAGAACAUUUUGAAGUUCCUCAAUACAAAAUGUGUGCUACUACUAAAUUGGCCCAAUUAAUGCCCAUCGAAAAGGCCAUCAAUUUAGCCGGCAAUUUUGUCAAAAUUUCAACAAUUGAAGAAAUAAUGAUCACAAACGGAACAGGUAAAUUUUGAAGUUGAAUAAAUCUUGAGAUACAUACAACAAAGCCUUGAAACUUUAUUCUUCACAAUUUGAGCACGCACUAAAUAUUAAACAAGUAUAGAACAAAGCUUAUUUUUAGCUUCUUGUGCGAACUGAAUACGCUGAAAUGUGUUUUUUUUUUUUUGGAUUUUUGGAAUUUUUUAAAAUCAUUUAUGUUCGCCGCCAUCUUUUUCUUCGCUGGCGUCUUCCUCUCUUGGCUGGCAUCUGCCUCGUCUGUAGUUUGCUGUGCCUAUAUAUCCAACCAAUAAAUUGGGCAUUAAAUACGAAUGAAUGAUGAAUAAAAUGAUAAAAAAAAAACAAACAGAGAAAAUUAUAAUAUAACACGUAUAUAUUGAAAGAGAAAUUUUGAUUUUAGGAUAGAUCAAUUAGCUAUCACAAACGAAAACAUGAACCAACUAUGUAUAGAGUCAAUUAAGUAAAGUUCUCAAGAGUUGACCUGUGCUCCUGAAUUCUUGGAAUCAUCUAUCUCCUUCUGAAUUUCCACGAAACUUGGGACAAUUAUUAACAUCUUCAUUGUAUGCAGAUGGAAAUGGGAUCUGAUAACCCGCAGGCCAAAAGUUGGCGAGCUUUGGUAAACCAAACAAUGUCAAGUUCCGAAGUUCAUUCAUAACAAUUUCAUUGUAAUCCGUGAUGUUUGCUCCAUCUUUAUGCCAGAAUACUUCUUCUAAUUCAUCAUUAGCUUCUAUCCAUAGGCCCUUCAGUUUUUGAAGACUUGGAGCUACGCUGAUAUGAAAUAGAUGCUUUAGCUUGGGGCAAUAAUGGACAGAGAUCCAUGUGAGUUUUGGGAAACAUACAGGUUGGAGAUGAUCCUCAUCCUCAUCCUCAUCGAUGAUUUGCUCUAAUUCCGAGCAAUAUAAAAUACGUAACUCCUCCAAUUGCAACAGAUUUCGAGCAAGUGUUGAUGAGAAGAGACGUCUCAGUGUAGUGCACCCGUCCACUCUUAAAUCGGUAAGACUUUGGAGGCUAAAAUUAUGAGUGGGACCUUCAUGAUAUAAUAAUACUUGCAGUUCUGGAAGGUUUUCCAACCACAACGACUUCAAACAUGGGAAUAGUUUGUUUUCUUGUUCCUCAGCGAUAAUAGCUUCCACUUGAAAUACCACAUAUACUCCAAGUUCUCCAAUACCCAAUGUUUCCAAAUUUUUAAAGCCAUGCUUCAACAGUGCUGGAAUCGUGUCACUCAAAUGGGAACAAUUGUCCACAUAUAGAUUUCGUAAUUUCUGAGACAAAUAAAUAAAUAACUUGAUGCAAUUAAAAUCUAUUAGCAGCUAGGAUUAUCACAUGAUAAGUGAUGAACACCGCAAAAAUAUCAUAAUACAUAUGUAAACUAAUAAAAUAAUUAAAAAGUAAUGGAUUAAAAAAAAUGAAAUUAGUUAAAAGAGAUCAUGUGAAGUGAUAUAAAUGUGACAUUAGAUUGUUUUAGAAAAAUUAUGGCUUGAUCAACUAUUUAAUUGAAUUUGAAUAAUAUUAUAUACACUUCAGAAGUAUUUGCAUCAAUUCUUUCUAAACUAAAAUGAGAUAUGAAUUUCAUUUGAAGAAUGGUUUUAGGCCCUAUAAUAAAGAAAUUUCCCUAAGAUAUCUGAGUAUUAUUAUUAUCAUUACCACAUCCACCACCACCAUCAUCAUCUCCAUAGGAUCAAAUAAUUAAUGGCUGAUCAUAAAAUUUAUUACUAAACUAUCAUUUUGAGUAAAAUUGAAUGAAAAGAAAAAACAUGAAUCCAAACAAACAUACCUCUUUGAGAUACUGCAAAUUGGCUUCAAGUUCAUUACUGUUGAUGGUCAAGUUGGGACAGUUAUGAAGGUUUAACUUUUCCAAUGCUGGCCAAAUUGAACAAUAAUUCUCUGAACAGAACUUGGUGAGUUCUGGGAGAUCUUCAAGUUUUAAUUUUCUCAACAAAGGGAGGGCGAGCAUCGUAUUUCCAUCUCCGACACUUAUUUCCCCUUCAUUAUGAUCAAACUUUGCUUCGACAAUAUAUUCCAGUCUCUCGCAUCCACUUACAUUGAGACUUUUAAGCUGCUCCAAACUUCUAGCUUGUGACAACGUGAAGAUAUAUGUCAACUUGUUGCACCUAUGCACAUUCAAUUUUGUAAGAGUUUGGAGACUAAUCACAUGUUGGGCGGGCGCCUUCCAUAUCCACUUCAGUUCUGGUAAGUCCCACAUAGAUAACUCUGCUAAUCUUGAGAGACUCUUUCCAUGCGGCGACUUAGAGGCUUCCAUUAUGCAUUCUAAAUCUUCGCAAUCGCAGACAUCAAGACAAGUCAACUCAUUUAAGCCCCUUUCAUCUAUGCUUGGCACAAUAUUGUAACAACCUAUAAUCCCACUUAAAUAAAGAAUUUCCAGUUCUUGAUACAAUGCCGAAAAAAUACCGAGCGAGGUCGCUUCAGGAGGGUGGUUACCAAUCAUUAAGAUCCUUGCCUUAUCAUCAUGUUCCCUUUCAUCAUAAACUCCUUCAACUUUAUAGAUGACGUACCUUUGCAAUUUCGGGAAUGUAAAGUCUUUUGGAAGACAUACAACAGAUCCGUCGACUUGGGAGUUCAACUCAGCAAGCCUAGCAUUACUUUCUUUUGAACUCAUCCCUUCAACCUCCCAAUUUUUUAUCCAACCAUAAAAUUCUUCUAAUUGAGGAAAUUUUUUUAUCGUAAUGGGAGACAUAGAACUAGAACCAAUAUACAGAAGUUUCAAUCUACGAAGUUCAUCCGACAAUUCUUCAGGAAUUUCAAUGGGAGACCGCUGGAGAUAAAGAAGUUCAAGUCUCUUCAACUUUCCAAGAAAAGACGCGUCACUCACAUCACAUCGAAUCAACUGUAGAACUCGGAGGUUUUUGUCGAGGAAUCGAAGCAAUUUUAGUGAAAGGACUCCACCUAUUAUAGUAACAACUUUCAAUGCUGGCAUCCCUUUAAAAAAAUGUUCUGGAAUUUGCAAUUUGUAAUUAUAUACGGUGUUCACCAAUCGCAGAAUAUGAAGGUUAGGGCAUAUCAAACCACUAGGAAGCUCUUCUUCCUUUUUAUCUACGACCAAAGACAUUCCUCUGCACUGUUCCAGGCCUUCUUCCACCCCCUGUUCCACCAUUUCGAUGCCAGUUAUACUAAAAAAUCUCUCCUCUUUCUCCUCCUUUUUGCUUAUCCAUAUGGCUACAUCACGGACUACGUCAUGCAUUUUCACAGAUCUGUCAUUGCCAGUGUCUAACAGCAAUGAAGAAGCUUUGAGCUCUUUCAUCGUUCCACUCAGUAGGCUCCUGACUUUUUCAAUUGCAUCAGCUCGAUACCAUCUCAACCCCACUGCAUAUCCAACCAAAUCAUCCAAAUCUACCUCAUAAUCCUCUGGAAACAAAGAACACAAUAAGAAGCACGACCUGGAAUCCUCACCAUUCAAAUAUUUGUAACUAAAUUUGAGACAAUGGUAAAUGCCUUGGUCCUCCUUGCCAAUACCUUCUAUUGUAUUGAGUUUUGCAUCUUGUAGUUUAUCUAGAGCUAGGUUCCACUCAUCAAAUCCUUUAUCUCUUAGUGCACUUCCAACAGCUUUAAUAGCUAAAGGCAGCCCCUUACAUUCAUCAGCAACCUGUUCUGAAACACCAAUCAAGGUUGAAUCAGCAACAUCAAUGCCAGCAAGCUUUCUUAGUAAAUCCAAUCCUUCUUCUUGUUGGGAAAAUAUGCUCUUUAAAAGCAUAUGUGUUUAUUUAAUUGUAAUAAACAAUUUUUCUGAUUAAUAAAAUAAAUGAGGUAUUUUAUUCAAAUAUCUUAAUUGCAUUAAUAUUUGUAUUAAAGUCCAUUUAAUCAUAUUAUAUGUAUUUAUGUGAUCACCAUGUGGAUUCACAGAAGACAUAAAUACAAGUUAUCUUAUGAUUAAAUAAAUUUAGUUCGCAGUUGAUAAAUAAAGUUGGGCACUUUAUUUAGGUAUAGACUGUAAUAAAUUCAUUGAAUGAUUUGUCUUAAUCAUGUAUGAAUUUAUUGAUGUAGUACGACUACAUUGAACAGGAUCACAUAUGAGAUUUAAUUAACUUUGUAAUAACUGUCAGACUUAUUAAAUCUCAUAGGCGUUGAUUUUACUGUAAUCUUAAUCUUGAGUUAAUUAUGAUUUCAUGAUUGUGAUUGUUAUUUCAUUUGAGUUACCAAUGGGCACGACACAUCCUUGUGGUCAAGAUUACCCGGUAUCUUGGUGGGAGCAAUUAUAAAUAUUGGAGUUAUGGAUUAACAAUAUAGAAUUUGUACAACACAUCUCUUGAUAGGUUUUCGGUACUUGAUCAUAGAAUUCUCUGGCCAGAGUGUGUCAACAUAUUUAGUAUGUUGAAAAUGAUCAUUAGAGAAAACCAGUAAGGAUCAAGGAAUAAGAUGUUAUUAAAUUGAUUGGACAGUUGAGAUAUCAAUUUAAUUAACGAUGUGGUACAAAGGAUUGUGCAGUAAAGAAAUCAAUGUGGCUUGGGACGAAUUAUUAUUCGAGCGUACAAUUAUGGAAGUCGGUUCCAAUCUUUUAGUGGAGUAGAUUUGGAAUUAAAUAAUUGGGCUAGUUUAAUUACAGGCAUAAUUAUUGUAGCCACUAUUGUAUGUUCCCAAAUGAUCCCCGGGUUAGCUCAUUUAAUUGACUGCACCACUACUGGACUAAUAAGCAAGAUAACUAGCUAUUUGGGUCAAAAACCUAAAUAUAUCAUUUAGUGGGAGGCUCCAUUUAAUUAGCUUAUGUGUAAGGGGCCUUAUGUUAUUUUACAUGGUGGGUCCCCUACAAAAUAAAAAGGAACGUGAGUUUUAUUUUGGGCUUUAUUUGGAGCCUAGGGUUUUCACUAAAGGGAGAUAUAUAAGGCUUAUUUUCCCAAAAGAAAAGAGAGAAGCCACUUUAUACAGAUCAGAGAAAAAGAUUUUUCUCUCCAUUGUUGAGAGAAAAAUUUUCUCGUGCUAGUUGCUUUGGUAGUGAUAAAGGCGCCCACACGUCAAGUGCAGAUCGAACCUGAGUCAUAACCUGGAAGAUCAUUGGAGACAGUUCGUGAUCUAACAAGAGUGGUGGUGGCGGAUCGUGAUCUAAGAGCCUAAAUCACUUCAACGGAAAAAGUCCAAUCGGAUUUUCAAGGUACGAUUUCUGGAUUACGUAUUCCUAUAUAUUAUAUGAGAGCGGUCCUUAAAAAGGUUUUAUAAAAUUUUAAAAACCAGAUUUUUCCCCAACACUUCUCGCUUUAGAACACCUAGUUGAAUCUGCGGGUCACAACGCAUGCGAUCACAAACUGGCUGCAGGCGAGUGGUUAGCAGGAUUUUGCAACAAUUGUCUCCAUCACCAACAGGAAUACCUACUGUCUUCAAGUCAAGUUCAUUCCAGACAUCGUCAAGUAUUAUGAGUAUCUUGCUGCUUUUACUCUCAGAAAACAUCAAGCGCAAUCGGUCUGCUCUCUCUUUUUCAUCUUUCUCAUUUAGUGCCCAGCCUAACGACUUUGCCAGCUCACCUUGAACCUUUAUUAUAUCUGGAUCCUGAGACACAGUGGCUAUCCCCACCUCAUCGAAAAUCUUUUCUUGUCGAAGUUGAUUGCCCACAAAGUUUGCCAAAGUCGUCUUUCCGACACCACCGAUACCAUACAAUCCCACCAUCGUCGUGCUAUCUCUUUUUAGUGCUUCAAUAAUCUGAUUGCCAGUCGAUUCUGUGGUCCCGAAAGACAUAAAAUGUCUUGGCAUAUGCAAUUCUUUGUCUGAUGGUAGAGGUUUAGGAAGGGCAACUGCGCUGAAUUUGCAACGAUGUUGCAGUUCGGACAACUUGCUACUCUUCUUUGAUGCUUGUCUACCCAGCCAAUAUUGCCAACCCCAAUUAGGACACCAUCCAUUAAGACAGCUCUUCUUUUCAUCUAUCUUUGCUUUCAAAUUUCGAACAUCGGCCAUUUCUUUGUCCACAUCCUUCAGCCACUUCUCCACAUCUUUCUCGAUUACAAUGGCUCGGUGUAUUUGUCGCUCUUGUUUUACUUUUUCAUUGAUGCCAUCUUGUGCCUCCUUCAAAUUAGUUUCUUUAUCCUCAAGUUCUUUAAUAACGCUGUUGAAACAGAGCAGAUAACGAGCUUGGUUCAUGGUUGCAUCCACCAGCAAUUCUCCAAGCCUUGAUGCAACACCUGACAAAAGUUCCAUGCUAUUUAUCUGCAAUUAAUAAAGUUGAUCUCAGUAAGCUAUAAGCAAAACAAUGAGGCUUGAUCACAAGAUUGAACGAGAAAGUUUAAUUACCUUUUUCUAUUCUGUGAAUGCACGUUUAUUGACACUAGCUUUGACUAGGGAUGGCAAUGGGGCAGAUAUGGGUUGGAUCUACUCUGCUCCAGAUCCAAAUCCAUAAUAAAAAUUAAGAUCCAUAUCUGCUCCAGAUCCGUCAUGAAUCCAUAUUUUUCGCUCCAUAUCCAGAUCCAAAAAAGAAAUAAAUAUCUAUAUCUGCUCCAAAUCCGAAAAAAAAAUAAAAAUCCAAAUCUGCUCUAGAUCUGUCGUGAAUUCUAAAAUUCAUUAAUAAAAAAGUAAUAAUUUUUUAGAUUGAAAAUUGAAGGGUAAAAUGUAUUGAUAACAAAUAAAUUAUAUAAUUUUUCUCAAAAAUAUAAUAAAUAUUGUAGCUUAUACUUUUACACCAAAACAACAAAUAAGUAAUUGCAAGAGUAAGAUCAAUCUAAUAUUCUAUUGUUUCCUUCAUCAUUUAAAUAUCCACGAUACACCUAUCUUCAUUCCUACAACAUUAGAUAAUGACAUAUAAAUUAAAUAUGAUUUAUAUUCAGUCCUUUAUUAUUUUUAUUAUGACCAUAUUUGACUAAAUAUAUGAAUAACUAUAUUCCUUAAAAAUUAUUUGGCCAAUAUAAUAAAAUAAAUUGCCAGGUUAUUUUACUUGGUUUGCAAUUUGAAUAUUGCAUGUACAUGCUUUGGGGCUGGCUGACCUUUAAAUUUACAAAACUAACCUUUAAGUUUUAAGAGUUUAAAUGCAUGGUAAAUACUACUAAUAUGUUAUGAAUAAAAUUUAUUAUCAUUAUAAUUUCACAAUUGUUAAGAAACUUUUAAAAUAAAAUAAAAUUAAAAGAUGAGUGGAUAUGGAUAUGGAUUUAGAUAUUAAGAUAGAUCCAUAUCUGCUCCAGAUCCGUCUUAGAUCCGCACAUCGAUAUCCAAAUCCGAUCCAAAUCCAUUUUAAACCGAUCCAAAUCCGAUCCGAUUGGAUUUGGAUCACGUGGAUCUUGGAUCAGAUCCAAUCCAUUGCCAUCCUUAGCUUUGACCAGUAAGAGCAAAAUGCAAACGCCGAGCUUUAAGUAGCCUUUAGCUGCAAAACAAAAGAGAAGAAAUAAGGUAAUUUAUUAUUAUUAUUAUUUUUAAGGACGGAUAAAGGGUAGCUAGCUUGCAGACAAAUUUAAUAAAAUCAAGACAAACCUAAGAGUUUUCCUAAUUUGUUCAAACAUGGAAUAAGCGUUUCACAACAGUAUAUCCAUAAAGGCCCCAGCGAACGUAAUAUGUGCUGGACUAUAUUGAAAUUAGAUUAUUUUAGAAAAUUUUAAAUAAAAAAUAUCAAACAACAAAGAAAUCUAAUAGAAUCUGGAUAAACAGCAUGGGAGAAUAUGGUAAAAUUGAUCAACUUGGUUCAAAAAUUACAAUUCUUUUUGAGAUUUGAACCAACGAUUUUGACUAAGGUCUCCUAAGCCACAAAGCAUAACUCUUACUACUAAAUUACACGCAUUUUGUUACAUUUAAAUGUGGUCAUAUUCUUUUUAUUAUCUUUUUUUAGAAGGGACUCAUGGUAUACUUAAAAGAAAUAAUAAUGAUUUAGAUGGGGCUGAAGCCCACUCAUGAAAAAAUUUAAAGGUUUUCAAGAUAAUUAACGAUUUUUUUCCAUCCAAUAUUCUAAUAGAAUGGUGCCAGAAUUCUCAAAUAAUAUCUUAAUAUUAUUCAACUAGUUGGCACCCACCUAUUGGAUGAUUAAUUUAAUAAUUUGUUAAAUUAUUUAAUACUCCAUCUCACUAUCUAAUGAUGUAAAUGGUGGAGAAGGAUCGUCUCCUAGACUUUUUUCUCUCACUAAUCUCUUAGUGAAAUAAGUGGCCGAAAUUGAAUUUUAAUUUUUGAUAUUGACAAUUAAAUUGGCUUGUUUCACAUUAUUAACAAUUAAGCCAACUUUUUUUUUCUCAUUUUUUCAAUUAGAUUUGGAAGGCUAUAAGAGAGUAGGAGAGAAAAAACACUAGAAGGAGAUCUUAAUCCAUAAAUAGUACCUUAUUUGGGAUGGUAAAGAUCGAGAUAAAUUUCCUCUUAGUCUCUAAAGUUUUGGCCUAUGCGCAGCCAUAAUUUUAGUAUUUUUAAAAAGAAUGGGAUUAGUUACAUUCUAAAAUUUAUUUUGAAUACUCUUUUACUCAACACACUCAUUCAAUAAAUAAAUUUUAAAAAAAAUAAUUUUUACUUUACACACUAUUUCAAUUGUCAAAACUAUCCUUCAUUAGGACCAUUUCAUUAACUAAUUAUUUUCUAUUGACACCCAUAAAAUAUUCAUCAUUCUUGAACCAUGUGGCGUUAAUUAAUGAUUCCGAAGCAUUAUCAAGAUUCAAGAUUUAUGUUGAAAUUCUUUCAUCAGACAUUUGAACCCAGCCACUAGCUAUAUACAUAUAUACUUUCAAAUGCAGCUCUGGGAAUAUUUUGUGACUGAUUUAUAAAGUGUUUUAGUUACAUUAAUGCAGUGAAACAAUAAAGAGUACGUGGCUUUGCUGAUUUCCAAAUCAAGUUGGGGAAAAAACAGAGCAUUUUUCUUUUAUAAUGGAUUAGAUUAGACGAUGAAGGAAAAAUUAUUAGCGAUAAUUAGUACUUUUGUGUGUGUUUAGAGUAAUAAUAUUAUUUUAAAUUAUAUUAAUGCCUUUGGUAGUGAAUUCAAUUAGGGUUAUUUUAGUAAUAUAAAUUUUCAUUAAAAUUAAAGUGUCCAAAUUAUAAUUUAGAUUUUUCAAAUGUAAAAUAAUAUUUUUUUAUCUGAUAUAAAUUAAAAUUCAAACAAAUGUAUCAUGCAACAAAUGAAAAGUAAAGAAUAUUAAUUAGGUUUUAAUAGAAACAAAUAUAAAUAGAUGUUUUGAGUAGUUAAUUUUUGUUAUUUUAUGCUAUUGGUAGUUUGUGGAUUAAAUAAUUUGUAUAAGGAUAAAUGGGGGUUUGUAUAAUUUAUACGAAGAUAAUCUCCAGAUAAUCUCCAAAAUAAGCUUAUAUGUCGAAUUUAAAAGUGUUAUAUAAGUAGUAAUCGUAUAUGCAUCAAAAUUUUUAAUAAAAUUUAUUUAGAAAUUGGCCAAUUGGGUUUUAUGAAGAAAAUAGACGGGCAAGUAAUUAUGUAACAAGUAAUUUGUAGGUUGUGGUACUUCUCCAUACUUCAAAUCACUUUUAUCUAAUCAAUUGAUAAAUAUUUUUUGGGCUCCAAUAAAAUGAAAAGAAAAAGUUAAAAAUAAUUCUGAAAUUAAAAACGUUAGGUACUGCCUAUAAGCUAUACAAUUUUACCUUUUCUUCUAUCACAAUUAGUAUUAGAAAUAAAAAUAGUUUCCAAAUAAAUGUAAUUAGGAGGUAAUAUUAUCUCAACAAUACCUUAUAGGGAAAAAGACAUCUACAUCCUAAAGUUCGGAGAAAUGGUCGUAAAGACCCCAGGUUUUCAGAAAGGGAUAUCAAAACCCUUUUUUGACCGUAAUACCCUUUAAAUCUAGUAAUUAGAAAAUUGUCUUUAAGAUUUUUUAAUUGACAAAUUUAAUAUAAAUAAUAUAAUCUAUCUAGUAGAUUAAUAAUAUUAACAAUAAAAAUAAUAUUAAAAUUUAAAUUCUUAUAUUUAUUUUAAUAAUAUAUUUUUAUUUAUUAUAAAGAUUUUAAAUAAAUCCUUGGGUUAAAUAGGUUUUCUAGUUAACAAAAUAUACCCCUAUUAAUAAUAUUGAAAUUACUUUCUACAUAAUAUUUAAAAUAAUUAUAAUUUAUUUAUUUUAAUAUUAUGUUUCUAUUUAUUAUUAAAAAUUACUUUAUUAGAGUAAAUUUUUAUUAAUUAAAGCUUUAAAAUCAAUUUUCUAAUUACUAAAUUAAAAGGGGAUUAUGGUCAAAAGGGGUCUUUCCUUUUUGAAAACUUAGGGUUUUUGCGACCAUCUCCCCAAACUUUGGAAUAUAGGUGUCCUUUUCCUGACUUCAUAUAAAGAUAUUCCAUAAGGUCUUAUAAUAACUUAUAUUAUAUGAAUUUAAUUAAAAGAUCAUUAAUACUUAAAUAAUAAUAAUUAUAGAAGACAUUGUAAUAAAUUAUUUGAUAUAUAUUAUUAAUGAUACUAUAUGUAUGUGUAUAUAACUACAUGAUGGCUUGGAUAUAUAUUGUUAGUGGUAAUAAAUUUUUUAAAAAAAAUUAAACUAAUGAUUUCAUGUGAUUCAAUGGUGGAUAAUUUAAAAUCAUAAAAUAUUAUUUUGACUUUCAAUAUUAACCGUUAGACUGUGAGAAAUUAAUUGCUCAAUAUUUUUUGUUAAAGUUUUAAAUUAAAAUAUCCCAAACCAUUUGUUUUACUUAAAAUACAAAAAAUAUAUAAAGAAAAUUUCUCAUUAAUUUUCAUAUUUUUAUUAGAGGUAAUAUUUUAUGUAUCGUCACCAUUAAUUGCCAUCAUUAAAGUAGUGACUCUCGGUAAUAUAAAAUUUUAUAAUUAGUUAAUUGCAAUCAAAUGAUAUCAAUAAAAUAAUAUUUCAUGAUUCAUAAAUUAAAGCUAAUUAAGAAUAUAUGUUAGUUUUAACUUUUAUGAAAUCAACUAAGUGAUAUUAGAAAAUAAAAUGAAAAUAAACUAGUGAAACUUAAAUUUUAUAAGGUUUGAAUAAUUUUCUACUAUGUAAGAAUAUUAAUUGUGACAUAAACCAUAGUUUCAUGGUAUAUGUAUGCCAAAUGGGGUAACAAAUAAUAUAUACUUCAUGAUCAUGAUAGUAUAUAAAGUAGUGGAUAUUUUAAUAUAUAACAUAAAAUUCUUUAAGACAUAGGUGGUCAAUUAUAUAUUUUUUAGGAUAUAGACAAUCUCAAUCAAGAGUUUAUUGAUGUGAAUAGAUGGCAUUCUCUUAAAUGUAUGUACUUAAUUGUGUUGUUUAUUGGUAUUAGAUACUCACUUAAAUGUAUAUACUUAAUUUUGUUGUUUAUUGGUAUUACAUGUAACAAAAUUUUAUAUUAAAUUUUGAAGUUUUAUAUUGUUGUUUCUAUUGAAUUUAUAAAUACAAUAAAAUUAUGGCCAUCAACAAUCACAACCAACUGCCACCAACAAUUAGAUUCUCAUAUCUGUUGACGACAAUUUUUUAUACUAUUGGAACUCCAAUCUUUGAUGCUACACAAUAGUUAAAGUACCGACAUCAAUAGAAUUUCCGUUCAUUGUAGAUCUAUAGUCAAAGUUUCGAAUCUUAAAAAUUUGACAGCAGAUUUAUGUCAAAUGAAAGCUUGUUACCAGUGAUUCUUAUACAAUUAUGUUGUUAUAGUAAUAAGGAUUCUAAUGGUACUAAAAUGCACUCCAUUAGACAUAAAGAUCCGACGACUAGUGGCGACAAUAACUAUCAUUAGUGACUUGGAGGUAAUUGCUGUUAAUAAAUUAUUUUUUAACUUAAUAAUUAAUACAAACAAAUAAAAAAGUAAUUUAAUGAAAAUUAAUGUAAUAAAUAAUUGAAUUAAAAAAAUUAAAACCUAAAUUCUCGACCAUUUAUCCGUAUGUUUCAAAUCCAACGUUCAAAAUUGGAAUAAAACAUAGUAUAGCCAUUGGAAGUAAAACAAACAUUAAAGAGACUAGGAAAAAAAUAUCUCAUACCUUCUAUAAUGAUACAUCCUCAAUCACUGCAGAAAGCUCCAAUUAAAAAGUCGCACAAGUUCGGAGAAAAUUACCUAACAACACAAAUAAACAUCAAAUCAAAGCAACAUAGGAUCCAGCUAAUUAACAUCAUAAGUAAGUCCUUGUUCUCAGUCAAAUGUUGCAUUCUUAGGAUAAAAUAAAAAAAAAAUUGAAAGAAUAACGGUAACUAGAAAGUUUGACGACAUAAAGAUCUAGCUAAAUUUUAAGAAGCAAAAGUAAAUAAUGAAAGCUCAAUAAAAGAUCAUCAGCAUUAACAUACCGAAAUGAGAGCAGCUCACAGAACUGGUAAUUUCCAAGAACGGGAAAAAUAAGUGAGCUGAUAUUGAGGACAACUAAAGUAGUCAUGGAGUAAUUUGCUAUUGAGGACACCUAAAAUAAGAAAAUUAAUUAACAUUGCUCUAUACACCAUUUCAAUAAUUUGACUAUUAAAAAAAAAAUCUAUCUAGAUCACGAUUUCUCAAAAUGAUACUUUUUCUAAUUAAAUAAAUCAAAAUGCUUGCUUCUUUCUUUUUCAGAAAAGAAAAAGUGGCAAUGGCAUCAAUUUUUUUGCUAGAUUAUUAUCACCAAAAGCACAAGCAAGGAAUAAGAAUACUCUCUGAAACCAACCAUGUAAAGAGUAGAAGUAAGUGGUCAAUUGUAAAUUAGUCUUUCUUUUUUCUUUGUUAUUUUUUCAUUUUUUGAAUGUGAACUAAAUAAAUUUAAGGGUGAAGCUAUUACACCUUGAAAACUAUAACUGAACACCCAUUUUUUUAAUUAAAUUUUUAUUACUAAAAUAACCAUGGAGUAAUUUGCUACUAAGGAAAACUAGAAUAAUAAAAUGAAUAAUGAUUGCUCUAUACACCCUUUUCUAAGUCUAUCUUCUUCUUAAUUUCAUAAUUUGGCUGUCAAAAAGUAAUCUAUCUAGAUCACGAUUUCUCAAAAUGAUGCUUUUUCUAUCUAAAUAAAUGAAAAUGCUUGUUUCUUUCUUUCUCGAAAAGAAAAAGUGGCAAUGGCAUCAAUUUUUGCUUGCAAGCACAGCGAGGAAUCAGUAUAAUCUCGGAAACUAACCAUAUUAAGAGUAGAAAUAUUUAUUUGGUUAUCACGAAGUAAGUUAGAAAUCAAUUAUAAAUGGUCUUUUUUUAUUUUUUAAUGUGAACUAUAUAAAUUUAAGGUGAGGUUAUUUACACUUUGAAAAACAUUCUGAAAACCAUUAUUUCAUUAAAUUUUUUAUUAUUAAAGGUCCGUUUGGGGCAGCUACGUUGAAGCAGCGCAGCUGCCCCAAACGCUCUCUAAAAUAGCCAUGGAGUAAUUUCUUACUGAGGAAAACUAGAAUAAUAAAAUCAAUUAUCAUUCUUCCAUGAACCCGUUUCUAGAUGUAUCUUCUUCUUGAUUUGGUAACUUGGCUGUCAAAAAGAAAUCUAUCUAGCUCACGAUUCCUCAAAAUGAUGCUUUUUCGGAUGAAAUAAAUGAAAUUGAACCUACGUACAAUCUGUCACAAACACGUUAUAAUGAGCCUAAUGAAAAGCAGUAUGAGAAAUUUUGCUUCCAUGUUGUUUCUUCCAUAUGUAAAGGUAGUAAAAAGAAAUUUAAGUCCUAGAAACAAAUGGAUGAAGAAUUAUCAAUAAUUAAAAUUAAAAAAAGAAACAGAGUUAUAAAAGAAUCACAGUUCCACCAAAAAUUAAGAGUUAUUUUAUUUGGUGGUUUCCUAUCCCGAAAGCAUUACUUGUAAAUAUGUGCUAACAAGUAAUAAUUAAGAAAGUUAAGGCCAAUCAUUUAGAAGGGAGAAAAAUGGAAACAUCCGGAAUAUUGUUAUGUGUUUUCAGUGCGUAUCUACCAAUCAAUAAUGAAAAAUUAAAUACGCAUGUGACGAAAAUUUAAUAAAGAGAACUGGAGGUGACAAAAUUUUUAUUAUUCUAUCUUUCUCUCCUCUGAAACUUCCUUAAUUUGGUUGGGAAGUGCUUUGUCUUAGGCAGUGGAUCUGUUAUAAAUACCCUAUGCUAAAGUUAAUAUUUUGAUUGAAGAAAAAAAUAGAGGAGAAAAAUUUUAUUAAAGUAUAACAUAAUUUGAUAAAUUUAGAAUUGAGGAGAGAAAAUGAGUCUAAAUUCGAAAAUUUUGGCACUAUUUACAUAUCAUUAUUUGGGCAAAAAUUCAUUUCUCUGCUUUCAUAUGAUUUGGUCUUUCAUUGUUACGGUGCCAAUUUUUUAUUUAAAGAUGUAAGAUAGUGGUACUAUAGCUUAGAUUUUCCGUAAUUACUACAUGGUAAGUACAAAAUAAAAUACUAGUUUAAAAUAUAAAAAUGAAAAACUAUUUUUAUAACCAAUAUUCAAUUAAAUACACUUGAAACUCUAUUUUUUCUUAAUAAAAAAAUUCUAAUUUAUUUUCUCAAUUUAUCUAAACAACUUUACCUAAUCAAGCUAAAUCUACAUAUUACCCUAAACCUUAAUUCAUAAACACCCAAUCAAUCCAAUUGUUAAAUCCGAUUUCAUAAUUAAAAAAGCUAAAUUCUAUUUUAUUAUUUAUGGUGCAAAGUAAAAAAUGCCCUUGAAGUUAAGGGUAAAAUUGAUAUUUUAUUUAAAUUUUGUUAAUAUUCUAAUAAUGUUAAUGUCUUAGUGGUUAAUAAAAUCACAAAGUCAAACUUUUGUAGUAUUUUUUAUAAUAAGUUAAAGAUAUAUGUUUGAUAAUUUUCCUACGUCUUUUUACGUUAAAUUGAGUCUCAAGAGAAAAAUGAUUAAUUUGCUACAAUUCUGUCAGUUUUCUGAUGGAAGAUAAUGAUACAAUGAAUAAAUAAUACAAAUUAUUAAAUUGAUGUUGAUGAAUGAUACAACUUGAAAAUAUUGUAGUAUUCUUAAUAGUAGAGAAAUGUAAAGGUGGAUGGUUGAUAAUUUAAUGAAGUAACUACAGAAUUUUCCUUUCAAAUAUUUUUUUAAAAUAUAUAAUGAGUAAAAAUCAUUUUACAGAAUGAUCAUACGCAUUUUGUAUCACAAACGAAAACAUGAACCAACUAUGUAUAGAGUCAAUUAACUGAAGUUCUCAAGAGUUGACCUGUGCUCCUGAAUUCUUGGAAUCAUAUAUCUCCUUCUGAAUUUCCACGAAGCCUGGGACAAUUAUUAACAUAUACAAACUUGGCAGAUGGAAAUGGGAUCUGAUAACCCGUAGGCCAAAAGUUGGUGAGGUUUGGUAAAUCUGACAGUAUCAACUCCCCAAGUUCAUUCAUAACAAUUUCAUUGUACUCCGUGACGUCUGCUCCAUCUUUAUGCCAGAAUACUUCUUCUAAUUCAUCAUUACCUAUUAUCCAUAUGUACUUCAGUUUUUGAAGACUUGGAGCUACGCUGAUAUGAAAUAGAUGCUUUAGUUUGGGGCAAUAACCGACAGAGAUCCUUUUGAGUUUUGGGAAACAUACAGGUUGGAGAUGAUCCUCAUCCUCAUCCUCAUCAAUGAUUUGCUCUAAUUCGAAGCAAUUCCAAACAUAUAACGCCUCCAAUUGUAACAGAUUUCGAGCAAAUGUUGAUGAGAAGAGACGUCUCAGCAUAGUGCACCCGUCCACUGUUAAAUAGGUAAGACUUUGCAGGCCAAAAUUAUGCGUGGGACCUACGUGAUAUAAUACUUGCAGUUCUCGAAGGCUUUCCAACUGCACCUCCUUCAAACAUGGGAAUAGUUUGUUUUCUUGUCCCUCAGCGAUAAUAGCUUCCAAUUGAAAUACCACAUGUACUCCCAGUCGUCUAAUACCCAAUUCUUCCAAAUUUUUUAAGCCGUGCUUCAACAGUGCUGGAAUCGUGUCACUCAAAUGGGAACAAUUGUCCACAUAUAGAAUUUUUAAGUUCUGAGACAAAUAAAUAAAUAACUUGAUGCAAUUAAAAUUUAUUAGCAGCUAGGAUUAUCACAUGAUAAGUGAUGAACACCGCAAAAAACAAAAAACAGAAAACAAAAUCCAUACAAAAAUAUCAUAAUACAUAUGUAAACUAAUAAAAUAAUUAAAAACUAAUGGAUUUAAAAAAAAAAUGAAAUUAGGUAAAAGAGAUCAUGUGAAUUGAUAUAAACGUGACAUUAGAUUGUUUUAGAAAAAUUAUUAUUCUAUUAAUUUAUAUGGCUUGAUCAACUAUUUAAUUGAAUUUGAAUAAUAUUAUAUACACUUCAGAAGUAUUUGCAUCAAUUCUUUCUAAACCAAAAUGAGAUGUGAUUUUCAUUUGAAGAAUGAUUUUAGGUCUUAUAAUAAAGAAAUUUCUCCAAAAUAUCUGAGCAUUAUUAUUAUCACCACCACAUCCACCACCAUCAUCAUCUCCAUAGGAUCAAAAGUUUAAUGGCUGAUCAUAAAAUUUAUUGCUAAACUAUCAUUUUGAGUAAAAUUGAAUGAAAAGAAAAAACAUGAACCCAAACAAACAUACCUCUUUGAGAUACUGCAAAUUGGCUUCAAGUUCAUUACUGUUGAUGGUCAAGUUGGGACAGUUAUGAAGGUCUAAAUUUUCCAAUGCUGUCCAAAUUGAACAAUAAUUCUCUGAACAGAACUUGGUGAGUUCUGGGAGAUCUUUAAGUUUUAAUUUUCUCAACAAAGGGAGGGCGAGCAUCGUAUUUCCAUCUCCGACACUUAUUCCCCCUUCAUUGUGAUCAAACUUUGCUUCGACAAUAUAUUCCAGUCUCUCGCAAUAAGUCACAAUGAGACUUUUAAGCUGCUCCAAACUUCUAGCUUGUGACAACGUGAAGAUUGAAAAAUUGAAUCGAAAAUGCUGUUUGGUUACUAAGAAAACAGAGAGAAAUAUGAUGAAUAUACUGGAUUGUUUAUUAAUAAUAACAAAUGAGUAAAACUCCAGACUUUAUAUAGUUACAUAUUUUGUUAGUAAAAGCUAUAUCAACUAAUCUAUAUUACUCUGAAAUUUAACUAACUAAUCAGUAAGAGGUUAGCUAAUACUAACUAACUGCAACACACGUGAGCUCUCAUUGUUGUUUAACAGAAUCAGCUGACUCAGCAUUGUUGACGUGGCAUUGCUGAUGAACCUUAGCUUCUGACUUCCUCUCUUUUCUCAGUUCAGCACAAUGAGCUUUCUUCACAGCCCCUCUCAAACUCAAGGGGCAUAAAUGCACAUUAAGUUUGUCUCUCAGAUAGGUGAACUGAGUAGAGUUUAAAGGCUUAGUCAUUAUGUCUGCUAUCUGCUCUGCACUGGGAACAUAGAGAAUCUUAAGAUCUCCAGCUAGAACCUUAUCUCGGAUAAAAUGCAGAUCAAUUUCUAUGUGUUUUGUUCUUGAGUGAAACACUGGAUUAUAAGCAAGUUCUUUGGCACUCACAUUGUCACACCAUAUAACUGGUUUCUCCACACAACAUAAACCAAUCUCAAGAAAUAAGGAUUUUAACCAUGUUAUCUCUGAAACAGCUGCUGCAAGUGCUCUGUAUUCACUCUCUGCAGAAGAUUUUGUAACUACAGAUUGCUUCUUUGAGGACCAUGAGAUUAAAUUGUUCCCUAGAUACACACAAUAGGCACCAGUGGAUCUUCUGUCAUCAAGAUCACUUCCCCAAUCUGCAUCUGUAAAUGCUGUAACCUUCAACUCACCUUCUUUAACAAAUUUCAGCCCAUAGUCUUGUGUUUCCUUAAGAUAUCUAAGCACACGUUUACAAGCCAUAAGAUGUUGAAGUGUUGGUGAAGCUACAUACUGACUUAGCUUAUGAACAGAGUAGGCAAUCUCAGGUCUUGUCAAAACUAAAUACUGGAGGCCUCCUACUAUGCUUCUGUAAUGAGAUGGAUCUUCUAUGUAGUAACCCAUUUCUCCUUCAACACUCUUCUGCAAUCUGUAAUCUUUGCUGCUGCUCAUUGGUGUGUCUAUUCCUUUACACUCGAGCAUAUCAACUUUAGCCAGCAGAUCUCUAAUAUACUUCCUUUGUGAUAGAUAUACACUAUCAGUAUCAUACAAGACUUCUAUUCCAAGGAAGUAAGAUAGCUUUCCCAGAUCCUUUAAUGCAAAUGCAGAACUAAAUAGCUUGAUAAAAUCUUCCAGCUCAUCACCAUUUGAUCCUGUAAUCAAUAUAUCAUCUACAUAUAUCAGGAUUAAAAUAAUUGAUCUUUUAUUCUUCUUCAAGAACAAAGAUGAAUCAGACUUUGAGUUCUCAAAUCCCCAUUGCAUAAGACUGUUUCUCAGCUUGUCAAACCAUGCUCGUGGAGCUUGUUUCAAACCAUAGAGUGCCUUGUGAAGUUUGCACACAAAAUCAGGCCUUUUGGAAUCAAUAAACCCUUCUGGUUGACUCAUAUAUACCUCCUCAAUUAGAUCUCCAUUUAGGAAUGCAUUAUUUACAUCAACCUGUCUUAUUUGCCAUUGAUUCAUUACUGCUAAGCUUAGGACCACUCUAACUGUUGCUGCUUUCACCACUGGACUGAAAGUCUCAAAGUAGUUAACUCCUUCUAUCUGCUGAAAUCCUUUAGCAACCAACCUUGCCUUAUAUUUUGCAACACUUCCAUCAGUGUUUGAUUUUACUCGAAACACCCAUUUGUUACCAACAAGUUUGUGAUGUUCUGUUCUUGGCACAAGUGUCCAGGUACCAUUUGACAUCAGUGCAUCAUAUUCAGUCUUCAUUGCUUGAAACCAUCUCUCAUCAUUUAUAGCCUCCUGAGCAGUAUCUGGUUCUUUAUGCAACAAUACUGCAGUAUAUACCUUUGGUUUAAAGAUACCUGCUUUCCCUCUAGUGAUCAUAGGAUGUUGGUUUAAUGGUGGUGGGGUUAUCACUGUCUGAUUGAGAUGAGAGGUAUUAUUAUUGUGUUGGUUUUGGGAAAUUUCAUCUGAGGGCUGAUCUAAUAUUGUAUCAGGUACAGAAGGCAACACUGUAGGUGCAGAUGAAUUAUUUCUAUCUGUGUUUGAGGGUUGCUGAUCUGUUACCUGUGUUGAGACUACUGCUGGAGGGAAAAUGUUGCCACUGGAGUAUGCUUGAGAAAAAGAUUCAUUGCUGGUGACUGAAAGAUCUGAUAUGACAGGUAAUGUUGACAACUGAAAAACUUGAAUAGGAGUAAUUGUGCAAUAUGUAUCAGACUUAGAUUUAUCUGAAGGAUGAAAGCUAGGAUCUGAAGCAAAUGGAUAUGAGUAUUCAUCAAAAACAACAUGCCUAGCUAUAUAUAUAUGACCAGAGGGAUGAAAACACUUAUAACCUUUAUGAAAUGGGCUGUAACCAAGAAAGAUGCACUUGGUUGUGUGAUAGUCAAACUUAUGCUUAUUGUAAUCUCUCAGAUAUGGAUAACAAGCACAUCCAAAGCAUUUCAGCAUGGUAUAAUCAGCUUUGUGUUUGUAAAGUUUUUCAUAUGGAGUGGUCAUCUUAAGUGCAGAAGUAGGGAGUCUAUUAAUGUGAUAAACUGAGGCAUGAAAAGCAUCCCACCAGAAUUGAAAAGGGAGUUUGGCUUGAGCUAGAAGUGUCAAUCCUAAUUCUACAAUCUGUCUGUGUUUCCUCUCAACAAGGCCAUUUUGAUGGUGAGUGUAAGGGCAAGAAUGUCUAAAGAGAAUGCCACAUUCAUUUAGGAAGGCAGUGAAUGGCCUGUAUUCUCCCCCCCAGUCAGAUUGGAGAAUUUUGAUAGUUGUUUGAAAUUGAUUUUCAACUUGAAGUUUAAACAGUUUGAACACUUCUAGAGCUUCUGAUUUCAGUUUCAAAGGAUAAAUCCAGGUGUAUCUUGUAUAAUCAUCCACAAAGCUAAUGUAAUAUCUAAAACCAUCUCUAGAACAUGCUGGUGAGGGACCCCAUAAAUCAGUAUGAACAAGUUCUAGUGCUGAUUUGGAUUUUAUAUCUGUAAUUGGAAAGUGGAGUCUGUGAAAUUUUCCCAGCUGACAUGCUUCACAGAAAUGCUUUGUUGCUUGAUUAACAAUAUUUGUAGAGCACAAAUUAGGAUGCACAAGCUUAAGUAAAUGAAUUAGACUUUGAGUAUUAGGAUGACCAAAUCUUUUGUGAAACAAAGACAUUUUAUUGAAUGAAUCAGUGCUACAAGUGUUCUUAUUGGACUGAGAAUAUUUUCCAGAACAAUGACUAUUGACUGAAGUGCUGAAAUGACACUGAGAUAGCAUAGAUACAGGCUUAUUUAUUGAACUCUGGGAUAGAAAAGAUGUAUAUGUAGGUUGUGGUGAUGAACUCAGCUGCGAUUUGUAUAAACCUUUCUCAGCAAUACCAAGUAGCAGAAUUUUCCCUUUCAGUAUAUCCUUCACAAAGCAAACAGAACCAAGAAAUUCAACAGAUAAGUCAUUAUCAGUGGUGAGUUUAGAAACACUUAUUAGGUUCUUUGUAAUAGAUGGAACAAGCAGUAUAUCUUUAAGUGCAAUGCAUGUACUAGCAGAUUGUGUUUUAGAGCUUUGAACUUUAAAAUUGGCAUUACCAACAUGUGUGAUUGACAGACCUUUACCAUCACCAAUGAUAAGCUUGUCAUUACCUCUGAACUCACUGCUGACAUGCAUAUUUGCCAUAUCAUUUGUCAGAUGGUGUGUAGCUCCACUGUCAAGAUACCAUCCUUCAUCUGCUGGUCCUUCAAAGUUAGCAGCAUAAGCAGCUCCAGCUCCAGCCACAGGCAAGCUCAUUGAAUCAGAUAUGUAUGAAGAACAUGGUGAUUAUACAUGUGAGGUAUUCCUGAAUAAGCAGCUGUAGCAGGCCAUGAAUCUUCAGAAGGUGCAGUAAGGUAUGUCAUAUAGGCUGAUCUCUGAUUUCUUCCUCUUUUCAUGUGUUGAGGCAUAUAGUUUUCUUCAAACCUAUGCCAACAUUCAGCUGCUGUGUGUCCAGUUUUAAAGCAGAUUUGACAAACAACAGAUUGUUCAUCACUACCAUCAGGAUUUGACAAACCAGAGUUAAUACUAUAUUGUCCUCUCAUGAAUUGUGUCUGCUUAUUGUUGUUUCCAAUCAUUUGACCUCUACCAAGAUUAUUACCAAAAUUUCCAGAUCCAGAAGGAAAUCCUCUUGGAUGAGAAUUGAUAAACAUUCCCCUUCCAGUAUGAAAAUUAUUCCUUCCAAAUUGAUUUCCACCAUGAAAUCCUCCAUUAUAUCCACCUCUUCGAGCAUUACCUCUUGUUUGAGCAUAAUAAGUAUUCAUCAUACCAUAGCUAUUGUUAUUAUGAGAAACAUUAGCAAGAUUUGCAUUGAGCAUCUGUUUUUCAUUUAGACUCUGUUCUAAUCUUGUUUCAUGUGUCAAUAGCAAUGCAUAUGAAUCAUCAAAAUCCAGCUUACUUGCAGUAAUGAAAGUUGCUAAAUCUAGAUAGCCUGGUCCAAGACCAUUAAGAAUCUGUUGUAACAGAUCUUUAUCAGAAACUGGACUACCAGCACAGGUUAAUUUGUCAGCUAUUUGUUUCAUUUUCAAACAAUAAUCCUCUAUAUUUAGCGAAUCUUUUCUCAAAACACUCAUCUCAUAUUUGAGUUGAAGAACUCUACCUUCUGAUUUUGCACCAAACUUUUUCUCCAAAGUUUUCCACACAUCAUAUGCAGUAUUACAAGAAUGAACAUGACUGAGAAUACCUUCAGUAAUUGAGCUUAAUAGCCAGCUUAGUAAUGUCUGAUCCUGUGAUCUCCAGAUCGUGUAUUCUGGAUUUUCAACUUGUUGUGAAACUCUUCCCAUUGUUUCAGCAUAGCUUCCAGAAGUAAGAAACUGAGUAGGUGCUGCUUUUUCUCCAUUGAUAUAGCCUUCGAGUCUGUUUCCUCUUAUGGAAGCUAAUACUUGAUUUCGCCAGAGCAUAUAAUUGGAUCUAUCCAAUUUGAUUGGCGUAAUAAAUGAAAAGGUAGUUUGUAUUGAUUGAUUCAUGUUUGUUGCGUUUGGAUUUGUGUUUAAAUUGCUUGAGCUUGCCAUAUUUCUGGCUCUGAUACCAUGAAAAAUUGAAUCGAAAAUGCUGUUUGGUUACUAAGAAAACAGAGAGAAAUAUGAUGAAUAUACUGGAUUGUUUAUUAAUAAUAACAAAUGAGUAAAACUCCAGACUUUAUAUAGUUACAUAUUUUGUUAGUAAAAGCUAUAUCAACUAAUCUAUAUUACUCUGAAAUUUAACUAACUAAUCAGUAAGAGGUUAGCUAAUACUAACUAACUGCAACACACGUGAGCUCUCAUUGUUGUUUAACAGAAUCAGCUGACUCAGCAUUGUUGACGUGGCAUUGCUGAUGAACCUUAGCUUCUGACUUCCUCUCUUUUCUCAGUUCAGCACAAUGAGCUUUCUUCACAAAGAUGUAUGUCAACUUGUUGCACAUAUGCACAUUCAAUUCUGUAAGAGUUUGGAGACUGAUCGCAUGUUGGGCGGGCGCCUUCCAUAUCCACUUCAGUUCUGGUAAUUGCAACAUAAAUAACUCUGCUAAUCUUGCGAGACUCUUCCCAUGCGGCGACUUAGAGGCAUCCAUUAUGCAUUCUAAAUCUUUGCAAUCGCGGACAUCAAGACAAGUCAACUCAUUUAAGCCCCUUUCAUCUAUGCUUGGCACAAUAUUGUGACAACCUAUAAUCCCACUCAAAUAAAGAAUUUCCAGUUCUUGAUACAAUGCCGAAAAAAUAACGAGCGAGGUCGCUUCAGGAGGGUAAUUAUUAAUUAUUAAGCUCUUUCUCUGACUAACAUAUUUCAUUUUAUCAACAACUCCUUCAACUUUAUAGAUGAUGUACCUUUGCAAUUUCGGGAAUGUAAAGUCUUUUGGAAGACAUACAACAGAUCCGUCGGCUUGGGAGUUCAACUCAGCAAGCCUAGCAUUACUUUCUUCUGAACUCAUCCCUUCAACCUCCCAAUUUUUUAUCCAACCAUAAAAUUCUUCCAAUUGAGGAAAUUUUUUUAUCGUAAUGGGAGAAACAGAACCGGUAUCAAUAAAUAGAAGUUUCAAUCUACGAAGUUCAUCCGACAAUUCUUCAGGAAUUUCAAUGGGAGAAUCCUCGAGAUAAAGAAGUUCAAGUCUCUUCAACUUUCCAAGAAAAGAUGCGUCACUCACAUCACAUCCAAUCAGCUGCAGAACUCGGAGGCUGCUGGCGAGGAAUCGAAGCGAUUUUAGUGAAAGGACUCCAUCUUUUAUAGUAACAACUUUCAAUGCUGGCAUCCCUUCAAAAAAAUGUUCUGGAACUUGAAAUUUGUAGUCACAUAGAGUAUUGUCCAAUCGCAAAAUAUGAAGGUUAGGGCAUACCAAACCACUAGGAAGCUCUUCUUCUUUAUUUCCCAUUACAAAGAUUCCUCUGUAUUGUUCCAGGCCUUCUUCCAUUGCCCAUUCUGCCAAUCCAAUGCCAACUUUACCAAAAAAUUUCUUCUCCACUAGUACUUCUGACCCUAUCCAUAUGGCUACAUCACGAACUAUGUCAUGCAUUUUCACAGAUCUGUCACUACCAGUGUCUAACAGCAGUGAAGCAGCUUUGAGUCCUUCAAUUGUUCCACGCAGUAGGCUUCUGGCGUGCUCUAUUGAUUCAGCUUGAUACCAGGUCAGCCCCACUACAUAUCGAACCAAAACCUCCAAAUUAAUCUCAUAAUCUUCUGGAAACAGUGAACACAACAAGAAGCAUAACUUGGAAUUGUCAUCAUUCAAAUUGUCGUAACUAAAUUUGAGACAACCGUAAACGUCUAGGUUCUCCUCAUCAAUACCUUCUAUUGCAUAGAGUUUUGCAGCCUUUAGGUUAUGUAGAGCCAGGUUCCAUUCAUUAAAUCUUUUUCCUCUUAGUGCACUUCCAACAGCUUCAAUAGCUAAAGGCAGCCCCUUACAUUCUCCAGCAACUUCUUUGGAAACAUCAUUCAACGUGGAGUCAUUUACAUCAAUGCCGGCAUUUUGUCGCAGUAAAGCCAAUCCUUCUUCUGGCGUUAGUGUACUAAGUGGAAUCUGUGUGUCACAACCCAAAGAAUCAAAAACUGACUUUUUGCGAGUGGUUAGAAGGAUUUUGCAACAAUUAUCUCUACCACCGACGGGAAUACCUAAUUUUUUCUCCGAGUCGAGUUGUUUCCAAAUAUCAUCAAGGAUUACGAGGAUUUUGCUGCUUUUACUCUCAGAAAACAUCAAGCGCAAUCGGUCUGCUCUCUCUUUUUCAUCUUUCUCAUUUAGUGCCCAGCCUAACGACUUUGCCAGCUCACCUUGAACCUUUAUUAUAUCUGGAUCCUGAGACACAGUGGCUAUCCCCACCUUAUCGAAAAUCUUUUGUUGCCGAAGUUGAUUGCCCACAGAUUUUGCCAAGGUCGUCUUUCCUACACCGCCGAGACCAUGCAAUCCCACCAUCUUUGUGCUGUCUUUUUUCAGUGCUUCAGUGAUCUGAUUACAAGCCGAUUCUGUAGUCUCGAAAGAAGAAAAAAAUCUUGGAAUAGGCAUUUCUGUGUCUGAUGGUAGAGGUUUAGGAAGGGCAACUGUGCUGAAUUUUCCGCGGUCUUGUAGAUCGGACGACUUGAGAGUCUCCUUUGAUGCUUUUCUACCCAUCCAAUAUCGGAAACCCCAAUUAGGACACCAUCCAUUAAAACAACUCUUCUUUUCAUCUAUCUCUGCUUUCAAAUUUCGGACAUCGGCCAUUUCUUCGACUACAUCCGCCAGCCACUUCUCUACAUCUUUCUCAACUACUACAGCGCAAUGUUUUUGUCGUUCUUCUUCUACUUUUUUGUUGAUGCCAUCUUGUGCCUCCUUCAAAUUAGUUUCUUUAUCCUCAAGUUCUUUAACAAUGCUGUUGAAACAGAACAGAUAGCGAGCUUGUUUUACGGUAGCAUCCACCAAUAAUUCUACAAGCUUUGAUCCAAUACCUGAUAAAAUUUCCAUGCUAUUUAUCUGCAAUUGACAAAGUUGAUCUCAGUACACUAUAAGCAAAACAACAAGGCUUGAUCACAAGAUCGAACGAUAAUGUUUAAUUACUUUUUUAUUGAAUGUUUAAUUACUUUCUUUUAUUAUAUGAAUGCACGUUUAUUAACGCCAGCUUUGAUCAAUAAGAGCAAAAUGCAAACGCCAGGCUUUAAGUAGCCUUUAGCUGCAAACAAAAGAGAAGAAAUAAGGCAAACGUGAUAGAUGGUGGAUUAUAUUGAAAUUAGAUUACUUUAGAAAUUUUUAAAUAAAAAUAUCAAACAACAAAUUUAAUAAUAGAAUCUAGAUAAAUCGAAGAGUUUGUUGUGCAUUGCGAGUGAAGACAGGCAGUUACAUGGGGGAAUCUUGUAAGAGUGAUGAAAAUUAAAAAGCCAUCCAUAAUUGAAGUUAAAAAGAGUAUUAGAGAUUAGAGGGGUUCAACAUCUUAUGCAAGCUCACUCAUGAUAAAAUUUGAAGAUAAUUAUCCCAUUUUUACUUCAAUCAAUAUUCUAAUACAAUAAUUCCAUAAAUCUCAAAUAAUAUCUUAAGAUUUUUUUUUUUCCUCAAAAUUACCAUUAAAAGUAAAACAAACAUGAAGCUAAGAGCCUAUGAAACAAUAAUAUCUCAUACCUUCUUUCUCAUAGAUCCUCAAUUACCCCUGAAAGCUCCGGUUAGAGAGUCGCACAAGCUCGGAGAAAAUUAAAAGCUGCAUCCAGCAAUAUAAAUAAACAUCAGAUCAAAACAACAAAGCAUAUAUCUAGCUAACUAAACAUCAUCUAUAACUCCUCGUUCUCAGUCAAAUCUUUCAUUCUUAGGAGAUAAAAAAAAGAUUGAAAUAAUAACUGUAACUGAUAUAGGAAGCAAAAGUAACAUACCAAAACGAGAGCGGCUAGCUCACAGAUCUGGUGACUUCCAAGAGCAUGAAAAAUGAUUGAGGUUUAAUAGCAAGUUCACAGAUGACAGAUGUGGUGACUUCAAGAGCAUGAAAAAUGAUAAAACUUUGGUAGAAAGGUCUGAGCCGUGUUUCACAAGUUGCUAUUGACUUCGUGGCUUCGCUUUUAUUUAUUAUUAUUAUUUUUUUUUUAAAUUCUAUAUCAGUGAGAAUUGAAAUGUGGAAAGUGAAAUGAUACACAUGCCUUAUCAUCUAUCAUGAGGGGUGAUUUGGUAAAACCGAUUUAAAAUAAAAAAAAGUUUAAAAAGAUGCUUUGUGUCUGACUGCUUGUAUUUGGGGUAUUUUUCGGGUUGUUGAGAGUGAGUUUAAUUAAAUAUAAGAUUUUCAUUUUUCUUAUUAUAUUUUUCUCUUUAGAAUGAAUUUAAAUCUCAUUCUUAUUAAAUCCAUUUUUUUAAAUGAAAGUAGAUUUCUCUCCACACAUUUGAGAUAUAUUUUAAAAUUAAUGUUCAGUAUAUCUCUAAAUUAUAUUAUAAAUAUUUUUAUUUAAAAUCUCAACAGAUUUCAUAACGUACAAAAAGAAAUACAUAUAUAUGUUGUAAUGUUUUAAUGAUGGAUCUCCAAAGUUAUCAAGUUAAAAAAUAAAUUAAAAAAUAAAAAAUACACACUUCAACUUAUUAUAUGAUAAAAUAUAAUAAAUUAAAGUGAGUAUUAUAUUUAUUUUUUAUUUUAUCUCUUAACUUAAUAACCUAAAAUAUAUUUAUUUAAUAAUGAUUAUAUAUAUAUCUAUAUAAUUUUUUUAAAAAAUAAACAAUUUAAGUGAAGCAAAGGACAUUUUAGAGGCAUUGCGAGACUACCAAUUUACCAUUUUGGGUUGCAAUAAAGUGAAAACUGUAGACUACCAAUCUACCAUUUUAUUGAAUCGGGUCCCGCUGACUUGGAGCUUAUGUAAAGUUACAUUCAUAACAAAUUAAUGAUGUCGUUGUAUAUUAUUCAUGUUGAAUUAUCAAUUGUUGGAUUAUGAUUGAAUUUUAUUUGAUAUUAUUGGGCAAAUUAUUGAAUUUUAUUUUAAAUUAAAUAAAAAUAAAAAAUUAAAUUUUAUUUGUAGAUUUAUGAGAUUAUUGUAUGUUAUUCAUUUUGGAUUGUUAAUUGUUGAAUUAUGAUUAAAUUUUAUUUGAUAUUAUUAGGUAAAUUAUUAAACUUUUAAAUUAUAUAUUAAAUUAUUUAAUUUUAAUUUUUGCGGAUCUGAAUAUUCAGAAUAUCCGCCUGCAUCGGUUACGGAUAAUACCCGCAUCUGGAUCCACAUCUUUUUCUACGAAUCCAAAUAUAGAAAUAUGAAUGCGGAUCUAAAUUCGGAUUUUGCUGACCCUAAACUUAAGAAUGAAUGUGCCUAAAGUUUUUACAACGAACAUGGAUCAUUCAAUGACAUGACAUGUUUUGCAGCUUUCAUUAGUAUAAUUGAAUAAUUAAUUCAUCUCUAUAUUCAGCUUACACCGUCUCAAAUUACAUGCAAAUACGAAAGUACACUUCUGAAUCGUUCACUUGAGGAAAAUUAAUUUUAACUCAAUAAGUCGUAAUUCUCCACGUAGAAUUUUAAUUCAAACCAUAGCAAAUUAGACAUAAUUCUAAUUUAUAUGGGAAAUAUAAUUAGCGAAGACACUCUUUAUAUAAACAUUAUUGUCAUAGGAUGCCAAACCUAAUAAGAUUCAAGGUCUUAACAUACUUCAUAUGAAAUUUGAUCUUGGCGCGUACCGACACGCAUAACAUCAAGACUCUACUUCAUAUAUUAUAAUGUAACUUCAUGGAUUUUUCGCUCUCUUGUGAAAUUGACAAUUAUAGGCGCUGUGUGGCAGUGGUACAUAAUAAAAUAAACGUUUAUUUUUAGAAUAUUAUUAUUUAUCUCAAUUUUUUAUUUAAUAGUUAAUUUUAAUCAAUUCUUAAACUGUCAUAAUCAAUUAAUUUUUUACAUUAUGGCAUCUUAAAUAAAUUUUGGAUCUGUAAUAAAUAAAAACUGGUAACGUUUGUUCUUUUAAAGCAUAAAACAACCGUAACAUUGGUUUUUACAUUUUGAAUUUUUCUUGCAUCACUAUUUAGAAAAAUGAUGUUAAAUCAACUCACAAAAUAUAUCAAGCCAUCUAAAAUCCAAAUAUUAUUACAUUUGUAUUUGCAUUGUUAAAUUGUUGGAACGACGGCAAAGCAAUUGAAAAGAUAUUAACAAAAAAUAAAGAUUGGCCAAGGAUUAUUUAUGUUUAGGAAAUGCCUUAACUUUUGAUAUAAUCAUUGUGAUAAUUAUAUUGUAGAAAUAAUCAAUUACCUAAUGUUUGUGGUGGUAAAAAUUAUUAACUUGUUUUAGUAUACCCGUGUUUAUGGUGGUCUCCUUUUUGUCCAAUUCUGUACAACAAAAUAUUUGCAUGUUUUGAUAGAAAUUGGUUUAAAUGACAUUUGAAAUAGUAUAUCCCCAAACAAUUAACGAAAUAUUUGGAUGGUAGGAUGAAGUAAUAUAGUUUUACAAAUUACCAUAUUAGAGGUUAAAAAAAAUCAAGAGGUUACUAACUACAAAUUUUAACACAAAAAGUUUAAUUAACUUUUCUUUUUGAGAUAACAAAAUCUCUGGUGUUGAAAACAAUGAGGUUUGAGGUUCAAGCUUGAAUAUCAAGUUACAAUUAGUAGAUGGUCUUAGGACAAAUCAAAGAUUUCUUUAAAGACAAAAUAAUAAUUACAAGCAAUAGGAAUUUAUGGUAUUCAGAACAUGUAACCUUCGCACAUGAAGCUUGAAUCCAGAACAAGAUGCAGCUAGCCAAUCCUUCCAACUUCCAAAACCCCACAAAAUCUCUGUCAACAUGUCUGCUCUACUUCAAUAUUAAGCACAUUCAUAGCGGUAUCAACAGCUUACAGCUCCAAAAUAUUUUCCCCAAAAAGAGUGAGAGAUUUCACUGAAGCUAAGUUGUGACUUGUGACUUGUGAGGCCAUCUUUUUUUAUAGUAAGCGUACGCCUCUAAUGCUUUGCCAAGUGUCCAUUGAUAAUAUCACAAGGGCAAUUAAAUUGGUGUAUGUGUAUUACACCUCCUAAAGUCAUGUUAAGAUAGUUAGUGAGCCGAUAAAGUUUGUUGCACGUGUGAGUUGGUUAAGUCUGCUAGAAUUGCAAACAUGUAAAGCUGAGUCAGCAAGUUAGUUAAGGUUAUUAUGAAUGCUUAGAUUCAGCAAGUUAGUUAAGGUUAUUAUGAAUGCUUAGAUUCAGCAAGUUAUGGUGUUGAAAAUGCUGUUGGUGAAAGCUCAGCUGAUAGAUCUCAGGAGAAUCCAGCCUUUGUUGCUUGGAAAAGGUAGGAUCAAUUGUUAUUAAGUUGGCUCAUGUCCUCCAUCAGUGUUGAGAUACUUAGUCUUGUGGUAAAUUCUGAUUCUUCUCAUAAACUUUGGACUAAUCUUGAAGAAAAUUUUUGGAUUAGAAACUAUGGCUAAGAAAGCACACUUAAAAAUGAUGUUAAGCAAUCUCAGAAAGGGAUCAAUGACAAUAACUGAGUAUUUUGCCAAACUUAGAGCUGUAACUAAUAAACUUGCUCUAACUGGUAGCCCUGUUUCUACUCUAGACUUUAUUACUCAUCUAAUCUCUAGAUUAGGCCAGCCAUACUACCCUGUUGUUUUGUAUAUUGAAGCUAAUAUGAUGAAAAUAUUUGUCAAUGAAGCCUACUCUAUGCUUUUAACUCAUGAAGCAAGAAUUAAAUUUAAUCAUCCGAGUGCAAAUAAAGAAGCAAAGUUGAAUUAUGCUGCUAACAUAGCUUAGGCUGGACCUAGUAAUAACAAUAAGAAGUCUAGUAAUCAAGCUAAUUACUAUCAGGGCAACCAAGGUAACUGGAAUAGAAAUGCUAAUUGGUGUGGUAACAAUGGAGGAAGAGGUGGCUUUGGCAGAGGUUUUUCAGGGCAAGGAAGGAGUAAUUAGAAUAAUGGUGGUCAUUGGAACAAUGGACCUUGGAGUAGUAGUCGAGCAUGUUAUAAUUGUUCUGAUAUAAACAUUAUGACAUGGUUGCUGGUGAACCUGUAAACAUAACCACAAAAGUAAGAAGGCAUAAUCUUUUUAUAAGAAACUCAAAAAUGUAUUAAUGAUGAAAAUUUUAAAACAGAUAAUGGACCAGCUGUUCAUUAAGAAAACAAAAAACUGAAUAUUUGUGCUAUAGAAAGGCACACCUAAUCUCACCCCUAUAAAAGGCUAGAAUCAGCUACAAAUCCCUAUCUCAAAACCCCAUCCUAGUUUAGAUGAAUGAAGAAAAAAGAUGAAUCUUGAAACUCCUUAGAAACUGAAGCCCAAAGUGAAGCAAGAAGAUGAACUCUAUCCCAAGCAAGCAAUAUGGCAUAUUUCUCCAUUAAUGGUUCAAAUAAAGUGAAUGGCUUUCUCUGAUGAAUGGGAAAUUGUCAAGAUCAAUAGUCAAACUCACGCAAAGUAAACGGACUUAAUUCUCAGUGGCUACUCAUUCUAAGUCUUAAAGAAAAAUUUUCUAAUUUCUAAAGAUUAUAUGGGGAAAAAUCAUUAUUUUCUAACAUGGAAAAUUUGAUACGGUGUUUAAUGUCUUAUCACAAUCAUAAUAUGAGUACUAACAAAAACAUCUUUAAUCGGCAUGGUGCGAGUAAAACACCAUCACUUCAUCUUUGAUGGAAAGAUGAUAAUAUAAGGAAAUGGUGAAAUGGUUUUGGUCCCUGGCAGCUUGUAAUCAAAAGAAAACAAAAAACUACACUAUUAUUAAUGAUUACCGAAGCUACAGAAGUAUCAAAAUCGGAAAGCAAACAAUUGCAAAACACAUCAAUGACUGAAGGUUAGGUUCUAAAACUUCCGUAUUUAAUUUUCAGAGCAUGUUAUGUAUUAUUCAGAAAUAUGCUUUCACUUCAGGCACUUGACCAACACGCAUUAAACAUAAAACGCGGCGUUUUCAUGGACUAGUACAUUCCAUGCUUCGAAAGUUUAUGUUUUAGACUAAUUGGUUUGAUACAUUAUUUGUUUAUUGCGUUUUUCUUGCUUUAAAUAUUAUGUUGGAUUGAUAAGUUUUGUACACAUUUAUAUUGCUCGCAGUAAAUAAUUUAUGACAUUUAAAAAACUAUCAACCGACUAUCAAAAGAUUUCUACUAUAAAUAUAUAUACACAAAAAACUUUUAAUUUGGUCAAUUUUUUCUCUUAUUUAUUUUUGUUCUAUUUCUCUUUUCCUUCCCUUUCAUUUUAUUGUUUUAUGGUACAAAAUAAAAAAAUAACCUUAAAAUUUAAGGGUAAAAUACUCAUUUUACUAAAAUUCCGUUUAAUAUUAUAAAACUGUCAAAUGUCAAUGGCAUAGUACACGAGUGAUACAAAUUAAAAACAAUAAAUUGAAAGUUUUUAUGCAUUUUCGUUUUAUUUUUUUUAUAGCCGAUACAAAUUAAAAACAAUAGGUUUAGACCGUUUAACAAAUCUUAAAUUAAAAAAACCCGUGGUGUAAUAACAAACUCACAUCAAACCCUGUCCACUGUCAUCCCUAAUUAUAUUUACCACUUCAUACUCACAGUGAUAAUUAUAUUACCGUUAAGAAUGAAGCAGAAGAGUUUCCCCAAACAAGCUAAAACACCGCACUUCAAUUUAAAGAAUUUUUAUAUCACAGUACCGGGACAAAAAGUUUAAUGCAACAACAUACAUUAAGUUAAUUCCAUAAUCUAUCCCCAAAGAAAGACAAACACAAGCUUAUAAGAUUAAAACUUUGGAAAACAUUAAAGAGUCAGACAAAAUUGUGUAAUCUUCAGAGUUUGGAGCCUAGUUCAUCCAGGAAAGCAAAAGAAAUAAUAAUAAUAAUAAUAAUAGUGGUGGUUUGAUCUCAAAAGGUGGCAUCAAAGCAAUAACGUCUUCAACUUCCAUUCAACCCAUCAUCCACAAAAUCACCAACCCGUUUCACCUUCAUCUCCUUGGGCUUAACAGGGUACUUUCCAGAGAAGCAAGCAAAACAAAAAUUCUGAGAAUCAUUGCCUAACAACUUGUUCAAGCUGUCAAUCGGCAGAAAAGCAAGCGAAUCACACCCAAUAAACUCCCUGAUUUCCUCAACGCUCAUCCUGUUGGAAAUCAACUCCUCAGUACUUGGAGUGUCUACUCCGUAGUAACAAGAAGCUAUGAUUGGUGGGCUUGCAAUUCUCAUGUGAACCUCUUUAACUCCAGCCUCCUUAAGCAACCUAACAAUUUUUGAUGAAGUUGUUUCUCACACUAUCGAAUCAUCCACAACCACAACUCUCUUUCCCACCAACCACAACCUUACAGGAGAGAGCUUAAGCUUGACACCAAAGUCCCUAAUUUUCUGGGAAGGCUCAAUGAAAGUUCUCCCAACAUAAUGUGACCUUAUCAACCCUUGUUGAAAUGGCACCCCGGCUUUUGCAGCGUACUCAAGUGCAGCCACCACUCCAGAAUCUGGUACUGCAAUCACGACAUCACACUCAACAGGAGCCUCGGUAGCAAGUACUUCCCCAAAAUGAUACCUCGACUCAUAAACAGACCUUCCAAAAACAACAGAAUUAGGCAAAGCAAAAUAAAUAUGCUCAAAGAUGCACUGCUUAGGUUCAGGGUGAGGCAUCAAACAAGGUGAUUGAACCCCAUCUUUAUCCACCAUCAAAACUUCACCGGGAUAUACCUCUCUCUCUCUCUCUCUCUCUCGCGUAUGUGGCCUCAAUCAAAUAGUGCAGUGCACAAGUCUCUGACGCAAAAACCAGAGCACCAUUACUCCUCCUACCCAUCACCAACGGCAUAAACCCAUACGGGCCACGAACCGCAACAAGCUUAUCCUCAGUAACAAACACCAUUGAAUAAGCACCCUCAAGCUUCUCACAAACAUCCACAAUCCUCAAAAAGAACGGCCUAGCUUUCGAUAUCGGAAUCAAAUGGAGAACAACCACAGUAUCAGAACUAGUAUUACAAAAUGGAUCCAUUAUCUUCAAGCUUAGCCCUCAAAGUAUUAUAAUUAACUAAUGUGCAACACCAACAGAACCAAACCUGUACCCAGCAACAAAAGGCUGCACAUUCUUAAGCAUAGAACUACCCGCAGUCGAAUAUCUAACAUGACCAAUGGCCAUAUCACCCGGCAAUUGAUCAAGUUUAGACUGAUUAAACACAUCAGAGACUAAACCAACACCAGUAAUAGACCGAAGAACUUUGUUAUUCACAGCAACUAUACCUACAUCUUCUUGGCCGCGAUGCUGCAUCGCGUGUAGCGCCAAAUAGCACAAACGCGAGGCCUCUGGGUCACCAUAGAUGCCCACAACACCACACUCCUCACGGGGCUUAUCGUCGUCAUCAUCAUCAAAACUGCCAAAACCGUCAUCUGGGUAUUCUUUAUUUGUGGUGAAAAACUCAGAGAUGGGGUUUUUUGAUAGAACAGUGAAGUUUUUUUUGUGGGUUAAAGAUUGUUGUUUCCGAGGAAAAAAAGGGUUUUUUUGCAGGGUUUUGGAGAAAAGAAAAAGAUGGGUUUUUUUGCGACGGCUUAGGGUUAGCAGAGGGAGAUGGGUUUGAGAGAGGGCAGAUAUUGGCGGUGCCUGUUGUGGUGGCUGCCAUUAAUGGCUGAAUUUAUUUUGUUUUAUUUUAUUUUUUUGGGUUGACUUGCUCAAAGAAAAAAGAGAGGAGGUGUGGAGGGAGACGGUGGCGAAGGGUACUUUAAGUAGAGGGUUACUUGUUCUAGGUUUUUUUCUGGAAUUGUGAGGGAAUCUGAUCCUGUGUUUGUGCAUAUGAUUCAAUUACUUAUAGGUUUAUUGUUGUGUCACCACAAAUUCUAAUUGGGAAGCUUCAGCUGUCAAAUUUUUUCCAAGGGUUUAUUAGGUAGAACUUUCAUGUCGUCGAAUUUAUUUAGAGAUUCUAAAAGUAGUUUCCAAAUAAAGAGAUGGACCAAAAUCAACAAUGUGAAACAGAUACUUUAGAAUUUUUUUCCUAUUCCGAAAGCAAUAGGAAUGUUCCAAUGCAUUGCUCCUACCAGAUUUGGAAUUAAACUUAGUUUGUGUUUUCCUAUUCCGAAAGCAAAACUUAUACUUACUGUAUAAGUGAUAUUCUAAUAAGUAGAAAUUAAGAACCAUAACAAAUUUGAUGAUUCUAAUUUGCUAGAAAUAUUGUAAUCCAAAACUAAGAAAGUUAAAACCAAUUAUUAGAAGAAAAAAGCAAGACGGAAGCUCCCAGAAUAUUGUUAUGUGUUGUGUGUUUUCAGUGUGUAUUUCUCAAUCAAUAAUGAAAAGUAAGUACACAUGUUACAAAAAUUUAAUAAAAAAGAUUGGAGGUGACAAAACCUUCAAUCUUCUAAUUAACUUUCUCUGCAUUGGAAUUUCCUUAGUUUGGUAGAGAUUGCUUAAUUGGUGUAUCUAUUAUAAACACCGUAAGUCAAAGUUAAUGUUUUAAUUGUUAAGAAAAGUUAGAAGAAGAAAUUUUUGCAUAAGAGAAUUGGGUUUAAAUUGAGAAUUCUUUAGGACGAAAUGAGUCUAAAUUCUAACACUAUAAUUUAGCACUAUUUAUAUAUAUAUAUAUAUAUAUAUAUAUCAUUAAUUGGGUGAAAAAUUAGGGUACGCCUAUGUUGUAACAGUUGCAAAGUACCACUAAUUUUUAUCUUUUGUGAUGUCAAAUUUCAUUUAAUCUCUUUUUUUUUUUAUAAUUUAUUUAUAACGUUAUGUGUUUUGGCAGGUGAAUUUUUAAAAUAUAAUUUUAUUUUAUUUAAUAUAAUUUAUUUUUUUUCUUUAUAAUUUAUUUAUAAGUUUAUGUGGUUUGGCUGACGAUCUAUUAAAAUGUAAUUUUAUUUCAUUUAAUAUCAUUUAACUUCUAAAAGAACAAAUAUAACAAUAAGCCUUUAACUAGAUAAUAUUAACUAAUAUUUUUAAUAAAAUAAAAUAUUAAAAAUAUAUUCUUUUAAAUAAAAUAAAUAAUAUUAAAAAAUAUUUAUUUUUUAGGACUCACAAUUGCUUAUUCUAUUUUAUUUAAUAUUAUUUAAUUUUGAAAAAUAAAUAUAAUAAUCUAUGAGUAAAUAAUAUUAAAUAAAAUCAAAUAAAAAUUAUUAAAAAUAAUAUUAAUUUUUUUUAGACUCAUUAUUGAUUAUUUCAUUUUAUUUAACAUUACUUACUUUCAUGAAGGAAUAAAUAUAACAAUAAGCCUAUGACUAUAUAAUGUAAAAUAAAAUAAAUAAAUAAUAUUAAAAAUAUUUAUAUUUAAUAAAAUAAAUAAUAUUAAAAAUUUAUCUUUUUGAAUAAAAUAAAUAAUAUUAAUUACAAAUUAUAUUUUUUUAAGACUCACAACUGAUUAUUUAUUUUAUUUAAUAUUAUUUAGUUUUUUAAAAGAAUAAAUAUAAUAAUAACUCUAUAACUAAAUAACAUUAAAUAAAACAAAAAUAAAUACUAUACAUAAUAUUAAAUAAAAUAAAAUAAAUUAAUAUUAAAAAUUAUAUUUAUUUUUUAAUGCUUACUACUGAUUAUUUUACUUUAUUUAAAAAAAUUUAAUUUUUUGAAAGAUUAAAUACAACAAUAAACUUGUAACUAAAUAAUAUUAAAUAAAUGAGAUUAAUAAUAUUAAAUAAUAUUUUUAAUAAAUAAAUGAUAUUAAAAAUUAAUUUUUUAAAUAAAAUAUAUAAUAUUAAAAUAAAAUUUAUUUUUUAAGACUCACUACUAAUUAAACAACAUAAAAUUUUAAACAAUUUGGACUUAUGUGAUAAAAGUUUUAAUUCUUUAGCUCUUUUGCGUUUUUGAUAAAUAGCAGGGAGCAUAAUGUUAAUAUUCAAAUAAACAAAUCUCUACCCUUCAAUCUAUCUUUUCAUUAAAUCCAAUGAUGAAGAAUUGAAACCAUAAAAAAUAAAAUUAGGUGGUACCUUGCAACUGUUGCAAGGUAGUUAAGUCCAAAAAAUUACAUUUGAUGUGAUUUUGAUCGUUUAUUUUUAUAUGAUGGUAAUUUCUUGUUCAGAGUGAAACUAGGGGUGGGUACGGUUCGGUUCGGAUCGAAAUUAAGAAGAAUCGACUUAAAUCGGUUAUUUUAUAAAAAGAACCGAAUAAGAACUGAAUUCAAUAAGAACUGAUUUAACAAGAUUCGUUUGAGUUCGAUUCGGUUUGGUUUGGUUUUUUCGGUUCUGGGCCUAUUGACCCUAUUUUGAAUUUCUAAAUUUUUAGCUCAUUGGGCCUCAUGAAUGUCAUAAUUUUUUUCAACAAUUAAUUCAUCCUAAUUUCAUUACAAAUAUUAACAAUAAAUACAAAGUAUUCAAAACACAUUUGAUCACUAAUAUCUUACUAACUACUAAUAAGGUACUCACUACUCACAAAAUAUGAAAUAUUAAGAUUUCAAAAUACAUAACCAAACUCUAAUACUCCAUCUACAUAAACAUAAUGUUGUAAAGACAAAUAAAAAUAACAACAGUGAUUCGGUUCUUCGGUUCGGUUUUUCGGUUCAGUUGAGUGAACCGAAUAUCGAACCGGUAUUUCGGUUUUUUUAUAAAUAAUAUAUUUCAGUUUUUUUUAACAAUUAAAACCAAACCAAAUUAGAACCAAACUGUCGGUUUGGUUCUUUUUUUAAGAAUACAGUUUUUUUGUCCAGUCCUAAGUGAAGCUAUUGGCACCCUUUCGCUAUAUUUAUAAAAUCCUACUUCAAAUAAAAUUACACUUAAAGACAAUAGAAUUAAACAAACAUGUUUUUUUUUUCCCAAACAAAUUACUUACAUUCAUAAUUAUUUUUCUUCUAAUUUUCUACAUGUUGCUUCAUAUCUAAGUAAAAUAAAUUGUAUAAAUUUAGAAUAAUCUAUUAUUCUUUUUAAAUUUCGUAUUGAUUAAAUACUUUUGUGCUUAAGAUUGCUUUAAAAUUAUAAGAUAAAAUAUGUGUAAUUUAAGCCAAUGAUUAACAUUCAAAAUUUUAUCUCUCAGAAACAUUUUUAAUUUGUGUGCAGGGUAAUAAUAAAAUCGUAAAAGAAAUAAAAAAUAGCAUAACACUACUUUGAGUUUAGAAAAUAAAAAAAUUAAACAGAAAAUUAGAAGUGUAAUCUAAAAAAAGGAUAUUUUGUAAAAUAAAAUAAAUAUAAUUAAAACAAGGUUUCAUGAGGGGUGCAAUAGUUCAACUCUUUUGUGUAAAGUUUUAAGAUGUUAGUAUCCGUAGCUUAGUUUUUCCCUAAUUAUUAUAUGAAAAUGUAAUAACAAUGCUGAUCACCCCAAUCUCAUGGAGGUCAAAGAUUUUGGUCAUACCGCAUGAAUUAGUGCUUUUGGUUGGCAAAUACUUGUAUAAAUUUAUUAACAUUAAAUAAUUUGACCAAGACUACGUAAUGCGCCGCCUGAAGACUGGAGUCAUCGUAUUUUAUACGUCAAAAGCGCGUUUCAGUUCAAUAAGCCAUACAUGUCGUUUAAUAUGACCAUUUUGUACUUUUUUUAUAAAAAAAAAUUAUUUAUUUUAUUAAAAUAUUGUUUAUUUAUUUAUUUUUUUUAAAGGUAAAGAGGUGUGUAAAAUCUAAAUUCAAUUUUUAUCCCUUAUGUCCUGGCCCUAAGAUUUGAACUCAGGUGAACAGCCAAAUGUAUAAUAACAUGUAUUUCGAAUUUCAUUUUAAAUGAUAUGCAAUUCGUUAAGUGAUUGUUAAUUUUUUAUAAGAUACGAGUGAAAGAAUUAUAUUAUCUCACUAAUUAAUUGAUGAGUGUCAUAUCAUUAUGAUUCCAAAUAAUUUCAAGCCAUGUCAUUAUUAGGAUAAAAAUAAAGUAAAAUGGUUAAAACUAUUUUUAUGUAAUUUAUAAAAAUUAAUGAAGCAACUACAUAAUUUUUUAAACGAAAAACAAUUGAAAUGUGUGAGGAAAAAGAAGAAAAAAAUAAGGCAUUUAAAUAUCUUCUUAAAAAAUAAGAUUGAGUAAAAUCAUUUUAACAGAAUGCCUUCCAAAUACAAUUCCACAUUUUUUUUUAUUGCAGUGGGAUAUUCCAAAAUUGGCACAACUCAUUAAGAAUUCGGCAACUCAAACUUUAUUUAUCUCUCUACGCAUUUGACAAAUUAAAAAGAAAAAAAAAAAUUCAUAUAUCUUCUGUUCAAAAGAGACCUUGGUAAAUAUUGUAAAACAAAUUACCAAUUUUUUUAAUUUAUGCCAUUAUAUCGUCGCUAUUUUCUCGCCCACUUUCUUAAAAUAGAAUCAAUAUUUAUUGAUGGGUUGGGUUCCAGAGUAAGCACCAAUUCAGCAAAAUGGUUUUAUAGCAGAAAAAGCACUUGUAAGACAUUCAGAACACAUUUUUCAAUUUUGUCUUUUGAAAAUGAGUCUUGAGUUUCCACAAGCCAAGUAGAAUGGCUAAAAAAUGUAUGGUAUCAAAGAAAGAGAAACACACACACACACAUAGAUUAGUGGGGAGAUAUAUGAGUGUGUAAUUUGUAUAUAUAUCCCUAUUAAUUGUUGAUAGUCCAAUGGGUAUAUGCAAAAUGAAAAAAAUUGGCUGUCCUUUAAGACAAAAUUGACUGUCACAUGAAAAUGUUAGCACACUUGCCACGCAACAAAAAUAAAGAUUCCAAGAACAACUUUAUGGUCCCCUUUCUGUCCAAACAUAUGCGAUAGAAAUUAGUGUAAACGACACUUGAAAUAUAUAUGUAGAUCCUCACACAAUUGAUUAAAUAUUUAUAGUAGGGUGGAGUGAUAAAUAGUUUCACAAAAUUAUUGGAAUUAACUGCUUAAUACAUGAGAUCUAUCUCAUUAAGUAUAAAAGAUUGAGUGCUGCUUCAAAAGCAUGACGUUGCUGGCAACAAAUUUAACACAAAAGUUUAAUUAAUUAAAAUCUCGUAUUAAGAACAAAAGGUUUGAGGUUCGAACAUUCUCAUUCAAGAAAAUCAAGUCAAAAUAUUACAUCUUCCAGCACAUAUCAAAGAUUUUUUCAAUUUCCAAAACCCAACAAAAUCUUUGUCAAAAUAUAUGAUCUAGUCCCAUAUUAAGCACAUUCAUAGCUGUAUCAACAGGUUCAAAAUAUUUUCCCCAAAAAGAGAUAGAGAUUCCAUUGAAGUUGAGUUGUGACUGUCCCAACGUUUUGUAAUUAUAUGGUUCAGGAUACCAAUAUGCCGGAGCUGCAAAGGUUGACUUCUACUAUCCUAUCAAUGUCUAUACUUUCUAUUGAAUUUCCUUGUUUUUUUUUUAAUUUGCGAGAUUUAUUUUUGGAAAUCUUUGACACAUUUUAUGUAAGAUACCAUAAAGCCAAAUACAACCUUUUUUUAUUCUCAGCAGCAACUUUUUUUUUUCCAUUUAAAAAAAGGAAGCCAUAUAAAUAAUGCUUAAAACAUUAUUUGCAACAAGGAACAAUUAUUUCAUGCUUUCAUGUAUUAGAAACUUUCCAAAAACGCUAGCAAGAAAAUGAAAUGGAACUUUACCUAGUCACAGAAUAUGUACUGUUGUUAGCACAAUUGUUAUGAAGUGGCUUCUGCAUCAGAAGAUUCCAGCUCCCACCAAGCAUUGUUAUCUCUCUUCUGAAUACAAUCUACAUCGUUGGGCAUGAGUUAUAUCAUUAAUGUCUGGAUCCUCACUUACAUCAUCCCAAUCAAGUGCUUUUUCUCCACAUUUGGAUUAUAAGUCCAAUCUCUGCAAAACAUCCUAGUCCUUCCAUCACAACUGAUACGACUUCCUUCCUAAUUACUUUCCCAUUAAUAAAUCGCUCCAAGAAAAAAAAGCAUUAGCAAUUCUCUUCAACGCCCCAUCACUCAUAUCCCCCACAACAACCGUCUUCAGCCACCUCAACGUUGACUCUUGAAAGACCUCCACAAAAUCCGAAUCAUCCGACACAACCACCAAACACCCAAACCUUCUUUUGUCCACCAUAGCCACCAUAUAAUUUCUCCCCAAAACAUCGGCAUCUUGUGGCUUAACUAACACCAUCCUGACCCAAAACCGUGCUCUUUUUAACUCAUCUGCAAAACCAUAACCCACUUUUGGAGUCAAAAUUGCGCUUGCAGCCAUUUUAUUUUUUUCCAUCUUUAUUGAAUAGUUGCCGACCAAAAGCACUCUCACCUUCCCUCUAGCUGAUUCUAUUUGAUUGGACCUUUUCUUUUGUUCACCCUCAUGAAUUUGCCUAAAAUGAUUAACAAGUUUGUCAUUAUUAUAAAAUCUCCUUCCAUAAUCACCAAUACAUACGGCUUAGCAGACCUAAUUACACCCUUGAUUUCUAAUUGGUAAACAAUUCUCUUUCUUUCUUUGCUCUCUUACAACUUGAGGCACAUAACCAAACGCGUGGCUAUUUGGAUUUUGUUAUCCAAAUACCAAAAAUUUCUCACAUUGUGUUGGACAGUUUUUGGUUCUAAAGUUGAUGACUGGUUUUGCGAAUCAGGCUUCAAAUGAGAACUUCUAAACAAUAAGACAAAUGGGUUUUUAGUUUAUAAUCUUGUAAACUUUGUUCUAUUGUAUAAGUUAUGAAAUCGCUGAAACAUCACUACAGCUACAGGUCUUUAUGUGUCAAUGAAUUGCAGAAGCUAAUGAUCUACUUGUAGUAGACUUCUAUUGCCCCUGCCGUUCUAGGAAGACAAACAAGUUCAGGAACUACUUCUGGACCAAACUCAUAAUAUUGCCACUGCUUUGUGCCAAUCUCAGAGGAAAAGAAGAUUGAAGUUCCUAAAUAAGGCACAUCAUGAUUUGAUAGAAGUACCACUAUAAGGAAAAAUUGAUUUCAGGAAAGCACUAAAUUAUGACAUAAUCUCCCCCUAAUGGUCUAAAGUAGUCAAGAAAUGAUAUUAACCAAGUAAAAACACAUAAACUAGUUGAGAUACAAAGUUAUCAUAAAAGUCAAUUUUGACCACAAAUCCAUUAAAAUUAAAAGUCAUCAGAAACUUAGAGAACAUUAUAAUUUAGGACUCAGCUAAGUUGCAGAUUCUGUAACUAACAGCUGAGUCCACAUUGGUCUUGCAUCAGCUGAGUUUAGGUUGCUUUUCCUCUCUCCUGCAACGCGUACGUGGAAGCGCCCCAUUUGCUGUGUUAUAGAACGAGUCGGUACCGUAACAAGCUCCUAUAAUUUAAGUUUGAUUACUGUAGACAAUAGUCUGCCUCUGCUCAAAAGCUAUGCUGCAAGAUAUAACAUCUUUGCAAUGUUAUACUUUCUAAAAGUAAUAAGAAAUGAAACCAAGGGGUAAAUCGAACACCAAAAGAAAUUUAGUCGGCCAACCACAUUAUGUUCCCACACAGUCCACUAAUUAAGUUAAUAAUUAAAGGGAAUCAAAAUCUAAGAAAUCUCAUCUUCAAGCAUAAUACAAACACACCGGGAUUGAAAAUCACAAAAUCAUAAAAAGAAGCUGACUUGAAAAGCUCAAAUAUACGUUCAUCAGCCUCUCAACUUAUAUCUAAGAACAAAUGCCUGCAGCCUGUGAAGACAUAGAUAAUUGAAGCUGAGGAGGCAUAUUUAACAGAUGAUUAAACUCAUGCGAUUAAAAUUAUAAUUCAAUAAUCGAGCACAUAAAAUAACAAGCAACUAGUUGUAUAUAUACCAAGCAACUUUAUGAAGUUAAAUAUACCAACGCCAAUACUCUUAUUUUUAUCCAAAUAUAGAAGACCAAUGCAUCAAACAAGGAAAAUGAAAUAUUGUUAAUAACUCAAAAACCACUAGUGUCAAGAACUAAACUAAUAAGUAAAACCCAUAAUCAGACACAACCACAUCAAAAUCUCUAAAAAUUGAGGUCUAAACAUUGAAAACAAUUAGACAUAUAUAACAGUCAAUCGAAACAAAGCCUCAAAAUAAUAAUGAACUACAAUAAGACAGAAACUAAAUUGUAAACAAGCGCAUACUCAGUAACAGUAAUCAAGUAACAAGUCAAAACCAGAAUCAAACGUAGAAUUUUGAAAUCCAUACGAACUCUAACGUAUUAGAAUGAAAGAAUAAGGACGAUCGAUAAACUAGAAUCAAACAAAACAUGCCCAGUUAAAAAACGAAGGUAAAUAAAUAAAAAUGAUAUAAAACUGCGAAAAAAAUUAAUGAAAUGACGAGAAAAUCACAGGAAUCCUAUGAAGAGGAAGGUAAACAAAACCUUCGAGAGCUGAGAAGAUGCCUUUUUUUGUUCACUUUUGUGCCUAUACAUACAUUUUUUUUUUUUUUGUAAUUUUGAAGAAAGUAUUGGUUAAAUAUUGUCAGAACGAAAUAUUAAUAAUAGAUCCUGGCAAUUUCAACAAGGACAAUCUUCGAUUCAAAUGUACCCCUAUGAUAAAGAAAAAGCCAGCUUGGCUAAAUUUUGAGCACCACAUUACAAAAUCUUGGUGCAUGUUUAACUAUGCAAAAUGAAACCUCUAUUAAUUGUAAGUCCCUUGACCUCUGGAACCAGCCAACCAGUAUCUUUCCUGUUAGACAAACUUCCAUCGAUCAGACUAAUAAUAUUUACUGAAUCAUGUUCUACAGUUAAUGGAGUUGGACCCAAGGCAAUUGUUAGAAGUCCGCCUAGACAUAGAGUGCGCUUAGAAGUGGGAUGCUUAGAAAUGGGCCGCCAACACAACCAGCCAACCGUAGUGUGCUUAGCAAAUCACUGAAACCCGGCCCAAGAUCUAGAACUAUCUACAAAUUGUAAAUAAGCUAAAAGUUUCUAAGUUUCUCUACAUAGGUCCCUAGGAUAUUUAUGGAAGUUGCUAGGAAGUUUCCUCCCCUAGAACUCUAAUACCUAUACCCUCUCAUUUGCCCACCAACCACACCACACAGACAAACACUCCAGCACACACACAAGCUCUCUAGCUUUUGUAAAAAACUCUCUUGUAUAUUCUCUCUUUGUGAGUAAUAAAAUCAUAUUCAGCCAUAUUGCUACACUUCUCUCUAGCAUUUUCUACAAGUGUUCUUGCUUCGCUAGUUUGAGGAGUGUUCUAGGCUUGCUUAACAACUUGUUCGCUAUAACGACAUCUUGGUCACAAAACAUGGACAUGCAAGAAAAAAAAAAUAUUGAUACGUUCUAAAAAUAAUACGCGUUCUUCUACAGUGAACCAAAAAAUUUAGGAUAAUGGUAGCAAGUGAAAGAAUUGUGAUUUCACGUGCAUUUUGUUGACAUGAACGUAAAGGACUUUUUUUUAUAGUUUAUAUUGUUUAAUAUAACAUUUGAAUUGCAAAAUAGGGGUACAAAAUAGAUACACGAAGUGAUAAAACUAAGCUGAUUAUAAUAAAUAUUGAAUUAUAAGAUUUAGGUUUAAUCAUAAACACAUAAGUGGUGCACAAAGUCACGAAUUGAUAUCAUCCACGAUGCAAGUUCAAACAACUGCAUAAUAAGUUGCCCCAAGCUAAACUAUUAAUCUAGUAACUAUUCCAGUCGAUGUGGGAUAAUUUUCCUAUCACCAUCUAUCACGUGCAAGCCGAAUUUUUUGCUUGGUCCUUACAUGUGGUAAGGUCAUAUGAAUCCACUUGUGCAUAAAUUUGGCUCCGAUACUAUAUAGAAGCCUAUGACCCAAAAUUAUACUUAAAGGUUAUCUCAAGAUUUGAGGAUUGACUCAAGCUAAUAUUAUUAUUAGUCUGGUAACCUUUUUUGUUUGUUGAUAUGUGAUAUUUUACCUAUAACUUUUAUUAAUCUUUAUGCUUAUGUUUUGUCAUUUAUCCCAAAAUAUAACAUUAACACAAGUUCCAAAAUUUCCUUCAAGAGAUAUAUUUGAGACAAGUAAUUUGUGCAAUAACUUUGUAAAUUGAUGAGCAAAUUAAGAGAAAAGAAUAUAUAUGCCAAACAUAACGUUUAUUAUUGUGUUUAUUUGUAGAGCUAUUUAAAGCCCAAAAAAAAAAGCACCGGUCCGCUAUGAUUUCAAAUAAGUUCAAGCCCUAUGUCAUUAUUGGUACAAAAAUGAAUCAGAAAGGUUAAAAACUAUUUUUAUUUAACUUAUAAACUUAGGAAAUUAUCAAAUGUCCGCCCUUAAAUUGCGCUAUUAUAAAAAAUAUUACAACAUUUUCAGGUUGGAUCAUUCAUCUACCAUAAAUUUACAAUCUGCAUCAUUUAUCCACCAAAUCAUUAACUUCGUCAAAAAGUGAUAGACGUCACAAGGGUAAUUUAGACAUUUAACACAAAAAAAUAAAAGAGAAAUUAUCUAAGCUUACCAUGUUAUCAAAAUUGCUACAAAAUUUUAAAUUUUUUCAAUUUUCCAAUCUAAGUUUAUGACCUCCAAGAUGUUAAUUGCAAUUUGUAAUUAAUGACUUCAUAAGGAUAAUUUAGACACUCAAUAUGCAAAAUAAAAAAUAAAAUAAUGGCUUAAAACAUUAAAACAAAAAACUACGUUUUAUAAUUGAUAUUCAAUUAAAUAAACAUAAACUCUAUUUUUUCUUAAUUAAAAAUAUUCUAAUUUAUUUUCUCAAUUUAUCUUCAUAAAUUUACAUUAAUAAACUAAAUCCACAAAUUACCCUAAACCCUAAUUCGUAAAUGCCCAAUCAAUCUAAUAGUUUAAUUCGAUUUCAUAAUUAAAAAAAGCUAAAUUUAUUAUAUUAGUUAUGGUGCAAAGUAAAAAAUGUCCUUAAAUCCAAGGGUAAAAUAGCAUUUUAUUUAAAUUCUAUAAAUUAUUCUAACAAUGUUAACAUUUUGGUGGACGGUUAAUAUAAGUUACAAACUUAAAAUAGAAAAUCAAAUAAAUUCAAAAUUUCAAACUAUUUAUGGCAAAUUUAGGAUAUAUGGUUAAUAAUUUUCCUAUGUCUUUUUACAUAAGUUGAUAGAAGUUACAAACUUAAAAUAGAAAUAAAAUAAAUUUAAAUUUUCAAAUCAUUUAGGGCAAACUUAGGGCAUAUGGUUAAUAAUUUUCCUAUUUUUUUAACGUUAAAUUGAGUUUCAAAGACAUAAUGGUCAAUUUAUUAUAAUUCUAUUAAUUUUUUUAAUGGAAGCAAGCGAUAUAAUGGAUGAAUGAUAUAAAUUGUAAAAUUAAGGUGCAUGAACGAUAUAAUUUUAAAGUAUUGUAGUACUUUUAAUAAUAAAACAUUUUAAAGGUGGAUUGGCGAUAAUUUAAACUUUAAUGAAGCAACUAAAAAAAAUUUUUAACAAAGAAAAAUAAUUGAAUGCUUUGUGAAACCAAAAAUAUUUGAAAUGCUUUAAGAAAAAUAAAGGAAAUUAAAUAUCUUUUUAAAAAACAUAAUUGAGUAAAAUCAUUUUACAAAAUGCUCUUUCAAAUGCACAUUCCACAAGCGCACAUUCCACAAGCCAAGAAGAACGGGUGGCUAACAAAAAUCUCACUUUUUAUGAGUUUAUAAAAUCUCACUUUCACAAAAUCCAAAAAUAACCAAUACUAUCACACAAAAAAUAAAAAGUAUUGCUGUCACGACAUUACACACUUUCUUCGCCGUCUAGAAAGGUAGAACAUUUUGAAAUUCCUAAAUACAAAAUGCGUGCUAUUACUAAAUUGGCCCAAUUAGUGCCCAUCGAAAGGCCAUAGAUUUAGCCACCAAAUUUGCCAAAGUUUUAACAAUUGAAGAAAUAGUGAACUCAAAAGGAACAGGUAAAUUUUGAAGUUGAACAAACCUUAAGGUACGGGAAAUUUGCAACCUACCCCCAAAUAAAUUGACAUUUUGCACCGCGUCCCCAAUAAAUUUGACUUAUUGCACCGCGCACCUAAAAAAAUUGACAUUUUGCACCACGUCCCCAAUUCCGUUACUUUUUCAGUUAUUUCUAACAGCUCCGUCUAACUUUUGAUUGAAUGACAAAAAUGCCCCUCUAUAUAAAAAAACAAAAUUUUUAGCUCAUUUAAUUUUUUUAAGGUUUUUUUUCAAUUGCAAUAAAAAAAAAAUUCUUCUUACAUGUUCAUUGUCACCACUAUUAUUUUUCCUUUAAUUUUUUUAAGAUUUUUUUUUUAAUUUUAAUAAAAAAAAUCCUUGUUACAUGUACAUUUGUCACCACUAUUAUUUUCCUUUAAUUUUUUUAAAGAUUUUUAUUUUAAUUGCAAUAAAAAAAUUUCUUGUUACACGUACAUUGUCACCACUAUUAUUUUUUCUUUAAUUUUUUAAAGAUUUUUAUUUCAAUUUUAAUAAAAAAAUUCUUGUUACAUGUACAUUUGUCACCACUAUUAUUUUCCUUUAAUUUUUUAAAGAUUUUUAUUUUAAUUGCAAUAAAAAAAUUUCUUGUUACAUGUACAUUGUCACCACUAUUAUUUUUCCUUUAAUUUUUUAAAGAUUUUUAUUUUAAUUGCAAUAAAGAGAAUUCCCAUUAAAAUUAAUUUAAGGAAUAAACUUCCAAUUUUACCCCUCCACCGUUAAACUUAAUUGAGAAAAUAAUGGAAUUGGGGGCGAGGUGCAAAAUAUCAAUUUUUUUGGGUGCGCAGUGCAACAAGUCAAAUUUGUUGGGGACGCUGUGCAAAAUGUCAAUUUAUUUGGGGGUAGGUUAUAAAUUACCCCUUAAGGUACAUACAACAAAGCCUUGAACUUUAGUCUUCACAAUUUAAUCACGCAAUAACAUUAAGUAUCCACCUAAAAAAACAAGUAUAGAACAAAGCUUGUUAGCUUCUUGGGCAUUAACUAUGAAUGAUGAGUAAAAUUAAAAAAGCAAACAGAGAAAAUUAUAAGAAGAAUAAAAGCAAACAUUUCAAAAAAAAAUUAUGAGAAGGAAAAUUUUGGUAGAACUCCGUGGCUCAUCUGUGAAAUUAAUGUCAAUAUGUAUUUUUAUGUAAAUAGGGUCUCUGGAUUUUAGGAUGAAUCAAUCAGCUACCACAAACGAAAACAUGAACCAACUAUAUAUAGAGUCAAUUAAUUAAAGUUCUCAAGAGCUUACCUCUGCUCCAGAAUUCUCGGAAUCAUCAAUCUCCUUCUGAAUUUGCGCGAAGCUUGGGACAACCAAGAAAGCGUCCAGGUGGAACUGGGUUUGGAUAACCCGCAGGCCAAAAGUUGGUGAGGUUUGGUAAAUUUAUCAGUUCUAUGCCCUGAAGUUCAUUCGUAACAAUUUCAUUGUAAUCCGUGACGUCUGCUCCACCUUUAUGCCAGAAUACUUCUUCUAAUUCAUCAUUACCUACUACGAAUAGGUACUUCAGUUUUGGAAGACUUGGAGCUACGCUGAUAUGAAAUAGAUGCUUUAGCUUGGGGCAAAAACAGACAGUGAUCCUUGUGAGUUUUGGGAAACAUACAGGUUGGAGAUGAUCCUCAUCCUCAUCCUCAUCAAUGAUUUGCUCUAAUUCCAAGCAAUUCGAAACAGAUAACUCCUCCAAUUGCAACAGAUUUCGAGCAAGUGUUGAUGAGAGGAGCCGUCUCAGCAUAGUGCACCGCUCUACUGUUAAUCGAGUAAGAUUUUGCAGGCUAAAAUUAUGCGCGGGACCUUCAUGAUAUGAUACUCGCAGUUCUCGAAGAUCUUCCAAUCCCAACCCUUUCAAACAUGGGAAUGGUUUGUUUGCUUGUCCCUCAGCGAUAAUAGCUUCCGACUGAAACACCACCAGUACUCCAAUUUUGCUAAUAUUCAAUUCUUCCAAAUUUUUUAAGCCGUGCUUCAACAAUACUGGAAUCGUGUCGCUCAAAUGGGAACAAUUGUCCACAUUUAGAAUUUUAAAGUUCUGAGACAAAUAAAUAAAUAACUUGAUGUAAUUAAAAUCUAUUAGCAGCUAGGAUUAUCACAUGAUAAGUGACGAACACCGCAAAAAACAAAAAUAGAAACAAAAUCCAUACAAAAAUAUAAUAAUACAUAUGUAAACUAAUAAAAUAAUUAAAAAGUAAUAUGGAUUGAUAAUGUGAAGUGACAUAAAGGUAACAUUAGAUUGUUUGAGAAAAAUUAGUAUUUUAUUAAUUUUUAUGGAUUGAUCAACUAAUUAAUUGAAUUUGAGUAAUAUUAUAUACACUUUAGUAAGUGUUUGCAUCAAUUCUUUCUAAACCAAAAUGAGAUAAGACUUGCAUUUGAACAAUGAUUUUAGGCCCUAAAAUAAAGAAAUUUCCCUAAGAUAUUUGAGCAUUAUUAUUAUCAUCACCACAUCCACGAUCAUCAUCAUCUCCAUAGGACCAAAUAAUUAAUGGUUGAUCAUAAAAUUAAUUGCUAAAUUAUCAUUUUGAGUAAAAUUGAAGGAAAAGAAAAAACGUAAACACAAACAAACAUACCUCUUCAAGAUACUGCAAAUUGGCUUCAAGUUCAGUACUGCUGACAGUCAAGUUAGAACAGCAAAUAAGGUCUAACUCUUCCAAUGCUGUCCAAAUUGAACAAUAAUUUUAUGAACAGAAGCUCUUGAGUUUUGGGAGAUUGCAAAGUGUUAAUUUUCUCAACAAAGGGAGGGCAAGCAUCGUAUUUCCAUCUCCGACACUUAUUUCCCCUUCAUUGUAAUCAAACUUUGCUUCGACAAUACAUUCCAUUCUCUGGCAUCCACUUACAAAGAGACUUUUAAGCUGCUUCAAACUUCUAGCUUGUGACAACGUGAAGAUAUAUGUCAAAUUGUUGCACCCAUACACACUCAAUUUUGUAAGAGCUUGGAGGCUGAUCACAUGUUGGACGGGCGCCUUCCAUAUCCACUUCAGUUCUGGUAAUUGCCACAUAGAUAACUCUGCUAAUCUUGAGAGCAUCACAGGAUUCCCACUCUUUCCAUACGGCGACUUAGAGGCAUCCAUUAUGCAUUCUAAUUCUUUGCACUCAUUGGCAGAAAGACAAGGCAACUCAUUUAAGCCCUUUGGAUCUAUGCUUGGCACAAUAUUGUGACAACCUAUAAUCGUUCUUAAAUUAAGAAUUUCCAGUUCUUGAAACAAUGCCGAAAAAAUACCGAUCGAGGUCGCUUCACAAUUAUUAAUCUUUAAGCACCUUCUCUGUCCAAAAAUUUCAUCUUCUUCGUCCAUUAGAAAUUCAAGUUUGUUACCGUUACUGACGUAGUGCCUUUGCAAUUUCGGGAAUGUAAAGUCUUUUGGAAGACGUGCAAUGUUUUUGUCAGUAUGUACAGUCUUUCCGUCGUCAUUUUCUUCUGAACUCAUCCCUUCAGCCUCCCAAUCUUUUAUCCGACCAUAAAAUUCUUCUAAUUGAGGAAAUUUUUUUAUCGUAAUGGGAGAAAUACGACCAGAGUUAAUGAAUAUAAGAAGUUUCAAUGUACUAAGUUGAUCGCCAAAUUCUUCAGGAAUUUCAAUGGGAGACCCCUUGACACAAAGGAUUUGAAGUCUCUUCAACUUUCCAAGGAAAGACGCGUCACUCACGUUACAUCGAAUCAACUGCAGAACUUGGAGGUUGGUGAGGAAUUGAAGCGAUUUAAGUGAAAUGACUCCUCCUACUAUAGUAACAACUUUCAAUGCUGGCAUCCCUUCGAAAAAAUGUUCUGGAAUAUGCAAUUGAUAGUCAUAUUCAAUAUUCUCCAGUCGCAAAAUAUGAAGGUUAGGGCAUACCAAACCACUUGGAAGCUCUUCUUUUUCAUUUCCCAUCAAAGAGAUUCCUCUGUAUUGUUCCAUUGCCCGUUCUGCCAAUUCAAUGCCAACUUUACUAGUAAAAUAUUUUUUCUCCAUUGAGCCUAUCCAUAAGGCUACGUCACGUACAAUGUCAUGCAUUUUUACAAAUCUGUCAUUACCAGCGUCUAAUAGCAGUGAAGAAGCUUUGAGCUCUUUAAUCGUUCCACUCACUAGGCUCCUGGCAUCUUCGAUUGACUCAGCUUGAUACCAAUCCAACGCCACUGCAUAUCCAACCAAAUCCUCCAAAUCUAUCUCAUAAUCUUCUGGAAACAGCGAACACAACAAGAAGCAUGACCUUGAAUCCUCAUCAUUCAAAUAAUCGUAACUAAAUUUGAGACAAUGGUAAACGUCUUGGUCCUCCUUGCCAAUACCUUCUAUUGUAUUAAGUUUUGCAUUUUUUAGUUUAUGUAGAGCUACUUUCCAUUCACCAAAUCCUUUACGGCUUAGUGCACUUCCAACAGCUUUAAUAGCCAAAGGCAGCCCCUUACAUUCAUCAGCAACUCGUUCUGAAACACCAAUCAAUGAAUCAGCAUCAAUGCCGGCAUGCUUUCUUAGUAAAGCCAAUCCUUCUUCUCGCUUUAGAACACCUAGUUGAAUCCGCGUGUCACAACCCAUGCGAUCACAAACUGGCUGAAGGCGAGUGGUUAGAAGGAUUUUGCAACAAUUGUCUAUCUCACCAACAGGAAUACCUACUGUCUCCAAGUCAAGUUCAUUCCAGACAUCGUCAAGGAUUAUGAGGAUCUUGCGGCUUUUACUCUCACAGAACAUCAAGCGCAAUCGGUCUGCUCUAUCAUUUUCAUCUUUCUCCGUUAAUGCCCAACCUAACGACUUUACCAGCUCACUUUGAACAUUUAUUAUAUUUGGAUCCCGAGAUAUAGUGGCUAUCCCUACGUCAUCGAAAAUCUUUUGUUGCCGAAGUUGAUUGCCCGCAAAUUUUGCCAAGGUCGUCUUUCCUACACCACCGAGGCCAUGCAGUCCCACCAUUUUUGUGCUUUCUCUUUUCAGUGAUUCAAUGAUCUGAUUGCAAGCCAGUUCUGUAGUCUCGAAAGACGUAAAAUGUCUUGGUGCGGGCAAUUCUUUGCUUGAAGGUAGAGGUUUAGGACGGGCAACUGUGCUGAAUUUGUCGUAUUUCUUUUGUAGAUCGGACAACUUGCGAGUCUCCUUUGAUGCUUUUCUACCCAGCCAAUAUAGGCAACGCCAAUUAGGACACCAUCCAUUAAGACAACUUUUGUUUUCAUCUAUCUUUGCUUUCAAAUUUUGAACAUUGGCCAUUUCUUUGACUACAUCCGCCAGCCACUUCUCUACAUCUUUCUCGACUACUAUGGCGCGGUGUUUUUGUCGAUCUUGUUCUACUUUUUCAUUGACGCCAUCUUGUGCCUCCUUCAAAUUAGUUUCUUUAUCCCCCAAGUUCUUUAAUAAUGCUGUUGAAGCAGAACAUAUAGCGAGCUUGGUUUAUGGUUGCGUCCGCCAAUAAUUCUCCAAGCUUUGAUGCAACGCCUGAUAAAAUUUCCAUGCUAUUUAUCUGCAAUUAAUGAAAUUGAUCUCAGUAAGAUCGAACGUGAACGUUUAAUUACUUUAAUUUUUUUUUUUGGCUUAUUAACGCCAGCAUUGAAAUUAGAUUACUUUAGAAAUUUUUAAAUAAAAAUAUCAAACAACAAAUUUAAUAGAAUCCAGAUAAACCUAAGAAUUUGUUGUGCAUUGCGAGUGAAGACAGGCAGUUGCAUGGGGAAUAUGAUAAAAGUGAUGCAUAAUUGAAAAGCCACCCAUAAUAACAAUUAAAAAGAGUAUUAGAGAUUAGAGUAGUUCAACAUUCUAUGCAAGCCCACUCAUGAUAAAAUUUGAAUUGUUUCAAGAUGAUUACCUUCUUCUUUUUUUUUUUUUUUACUUUAAUCAAUAUUCUAAUAAAAUAAAACCAUAAUUCCAAAUAAUAUCUUAAUUUCCUUUACCUUCAAAUGUUCAUUAAACUCACAUAUUGGAUAAUUAAUUUAAUUAUUUGUUAAAUUAUUUAUUACCCUAUCUUAUUAUUCAAUAGAUAUAAAUGACACCUUAAUUAGGUUUUAAUUGGAAACAAAUAUAAAAUAUUAUUUUUUGAUUAAUUUUUGUGAAUUCUUUUAAUGUUCGAAUUAGAAUAGAAUAAUUUGUAUAAGGAUGAUUUAUACAAAGAUAAUCUGCAAAAUAAGCUUAUUUGUCGAGUUUAAAAGAGUUAUAUGAGUAAUCAUAUAUUUAUCAAAAAAUUUUAAUAAAAAUUUUGUUUAAAAAUUGGCCAAAUGGGUUUAAAAUAGAAGGGCAUGAACAGCGCCACUUUCAAUUUUUUUUUUUGGUGGUUGUACAAUUGAAAAGACGUAUUGAAAUGGACCAAUUUGAAAUGGCAGGAGAGCAUAAUGGACUCAUGUUGGAACUUGGGUAGGAAAAUUAAUUUUAUUUUUAAAAGUAUGGUCAACAGUACUGACUUGGAGGUGAUUGACGUUAAGUUAAAUUAAUACAAACAAAUGGCAAAAAUAAUUUAAUAAAAAUUAAUUAAUAAAAAAAUGAUUUAAAAAUAAGAACUUAAGUUCUUGAUCAUCAAUAUCCGUAUGUUUUUAAUCCAACGGCUCAGAAUUGGCAUAAAACUAGCCAUUGGAAGUAAAACAAAUAUCAAAUUAAGGGCUUAUGACACAUUAAGAUCUCAUACCUACUUCGUUGUCUAUCCUCAAUUACUGCUGAAAGCUCCAGUUAAGAGAGUUCGCACAAGUUCGGAGAAAAAUAAAAAGCUGCAUAUGGCAAUAUAAAUAAACAUCGGAUCAAAACGACAUAGGAUAUAUCUAGCUAAUUAACUUCUUAUAUAAGUCCUUGUUCUCAGUCAAAUCUUUGAUCCUUAGAAAAAAGAAAAAAAAAAAGAUUGAAAUAAUAACUGUACAUUUUUAAUCCAACGUGCAAAAUUGGCAUAAACAAACUAAUAUAGCAUAAAACAAACAUCAAAUUAAGAGCCUAUGAAAUAAUAAUAUCUCAUACCUUCUUUCUUAUGUAUCCUCAAUUACUACUGACAGCUCCAGUUAGAGUGCCAUAAUUUCCGAGAAAAUUAAAAGCUGCAUCUAGCAAUAUAAAUAAACAUCAGGUCAAAACAAAAUAGGAUAUAUCUAGCUAAUGAACAUCAUAUAUAAGUCCUUGUUCUCUAUCAAAAUCUUUCCUUCUUAAAUAAUAAUAAUAAUAAUAAUAAUAAUAAUAAUAACAAUAAUAAUUGAAAUAAUAACUGUGGGUGAAACAGGAAGCAAAAGUAAUUAACAUACCGAAAUGAGAGCAGCUCACAUAUCUGGUGACUUCCAAGAGAAUGAAAAAUGAAUGACCUUCGGCAGCAAGAUCCAAAUCAUGUAUCACAAAUUGCUACUGACUUCGUGGCUUCACUUUCCUUUUCUUUUUUUCUUUUUUUUUUUUAAUUAAAUUUUAUAUCACAGUGUGAAUUGAAAGGUGAAAAGUGAAAUGGUACACAUGCGUAUGAUGAGGGGGCAAUUUUUAGACACCUCCCCGAGGUUUAAGGUCUUCUGAAUUAGAUGGAUUGUAUUUUCGUAUUAUCAAAUACCUCCCCUGCCCGUUUUUAUUCCAUUUUGUAUAUUCUAAAUGGCUGAAGGUAAAUUGGUAAAAACUCAUUUAAAAUAAAAAAAAAAUCAAAGAAAUUCAAGAAGAAGCUUUGUAUCUGCCAUUUGUAUUUGGGGUAUCUUUUUGGUUGUUGAGUGAAUGAGCUUAAAUCUUAAAUAUUUAUUUUCUUAUUAUAUAUUUCUCAUUGGAAAGAAUUUGAAUCUUAUUCUUAUUAAACUUAUUCUCUUUAAAUAAAAGUAGAUUUCUAUCCAUGUAUUUAGCAUGUAUUUUGAAAUUAAUGUUCAACAUAUCUUUAGAUCCUAUUAUAAAUAUUCAUAUCUAAAAUCUCAACAGAUUCCAACAUAUAAAUAUAUAUAAAGAGAGAGAGUAACGUUCUAAUAAGAAAUUUCUUAAAUUAUCAAAUUAAAGGAUAAUUCAAAAGAUAAAAAAAAUACAUAAUCUAAUAUAUUAUAUAACAAAAUAUACUAUAUUAAAAUAUAUAUUUUGCUUAAUUUUUUAAUAAAUCCCAUAAUAACUUAAGAAACCCUUUAUUUACCUGAUAUAUAUGUGUGUGUGUAUAAUUUUUUACAAAAUAAACAAUUUAGAGUAAAACAAAGGACAUUCUGGGGGCCUUUUGCUAGACUACCAAUCUACCAUUUUGGAUUGCAAUAAAGUGAAAAUACCGGACUACUAUUUUGGAUUGCAAUAAAAUUAAAAUGGGUUACACCAAAAAAGUAAAAAAAAAAAGUGACAAUCAAUCUUGUCGGCCAAUACACCGACUUUUUUGCCGGAUUAGUAUCACCGUCGAAAACAAAUUAUUGCAAGCACUAGCAAAAAGCAAUCGAUGAUUUCGCAAUUUGGUUGUCAAAAAGCAAACUAGAUCACGAUUCCUCAAUUCAAAAUGGGGCAAAAUUAUGGUAUCACAAUGGUACCGUACUACGGCUGGAUCCAACCUACAGUUAUCAUCAUAAUUGGAGCAAACGGUUGGAUUCAUCUGUAGUAUGGUACCACUGUGGUACCAUAGCUGGACCCUUUAAAAUGAUUUUUUUUAAUUAAAUAAGUGAAAAUUAAACCUACAAUUCAAAAUAGAGGACUGUAGAUGCGUAUAAAUUGAAGAAGGUAAAUUUUGUGUGGGCGUAAAUAUUUUAGUUAACAACAAAAAAUUCUAACAAGUUAAUAUAAGAGUAUCAUAGCAGUACAAGAGAUUUUUUUUUUUUUAAUGUUAAGAGUUAUCGAGAUACCCAAUAUAUAUAUGUGUGUGUGAGAGAGUGGAGGAAGAAAAAAAAUAUUAAGAAUAGUUUUGGCAUUUUGAUGGGUUUUAUAGAGUAAAAUCUAUAUUUUCAAAUAUGAUAAUUCUUUAAUUUAAUUUGGUGUUAUGAAAAAAAAGGGCAUUUUAAAUAUGUUCUAGGUUAUAAAUAACUCCAUCCAAAAUUUAAAAAUGAAAUCUUAGGGGGGGAAAAAUUUCACCCGAACUAAGGCCCAAAGUAGCCGCGGCAUUUUUCACCAAUUCUCCAAUUCUCAAUGUGGUGUAAUUAUUUACAAGGAAUAUGAGUAGGGGUGGGCACGGUUCGGUCCGGUUCGGUUUGGAUCGAAAUUAAGCUGAACUAAUUUAAAUCAGUUAUUUUAUAAAAAGAACUAAAUAAGAACCAAACUCAAUAAAAACCGAACAUAAAUGGAUCUUUUCGGAUCGGUUCGGUUUUUUCGGUUUUGGGCCUAUUGGGCCUAUUUUGAAUUUCUAAAUUGUUAGCCCAUUAGGACUCAUGAAUGUAAUAAUUUUAUUCAACAAUUAAUUUAUCCUAAUUUCAUUACAAGUAUUAACAAUAAAUACAAAGUAUUCAAAGCACAUUUUGUCACUAAUAUCUUACUAACUACUAAUAAGGUACUUACAAAAUAUGAAAUAUUAAGAUUUCAAAAUACAUAAUCAAACUCCAAUACUCCAUCUACAUAAAUAUAAUGUUGUAAAGACAAAUAAAAAUAACAACAAUUAAAACUUACAACACAAAAUAAAAAGAAAAUUUAGAAACAAACACCAACAACAAUUUUUAAAUAUAUAUAUAUACCCGUAAUCGUGUGUGUGCAUGCAUAUUUUAGUUAUCUCACGCAACCGAUUAAAAUUUAACACGUGUCUAUUUAAAUAAAAUUCCAAGAAUAACUCGGUUUUUUGGUUCAGCUGAGUGAACCGAAUACCGAACCUGUAUUUCGGUUUUUUUACAAACCAUAUAUUUCAGUUAUUUUUUAAAAUUAAAAUCAGUCCGAACAGAACGGAACGGUUCAGAUCGAUUUUCUCUAGUGCACGGUUUUUUUGCCCACCCCUAAAUAUGAGAUUCUCUACCACUCCAAUUUAUCCCAUUGUUAGCAAUCCUAUUAGCUGUUUUAUAUCCUAUUUUUAUUAUGCUCCCCAAACAAAUAUGUUUCACGUAAAGGUGCCCAACGGGCUGCACCGUCCGUCUGAAUGAGCGCACGAGAGGCUCCACAUGACACGGCAAUCUUUUUUAAUGAGGGCGUGUCUGAUAUGCUCUUUCAAGUCUACAUACCUAACGUUCUUUUUUUAAGUGCAUAUAUUUUUUUUUUAAAGCUCAUGUGAAAUUCAGUAGUAAGAGAAUGCAAUACUAGUUAAUAAGUUAGAGCCUACAAAAUAAUAAUAAUAAUAAUAAAAUUUUCUUUAAGGGUUAACAUUUUAUUGUUAACUUGAAUUUACAUACUGUUAUAGAUUAUAGUCCAUAAUAAUAUUAAUAUUUACAAGUUUCAAAUUAAAAUUUAAUAAUUAACAUUUCAUUAACACAACUAUAUUAUCUAAUUUUGCAAUAACCAAUUAUAAUACAACAAUACAUAAUUCUAAUUUCAUAGACCAUGGUAAUAAAAUCUCUACAUUAAUGAAAAAAUUUAUUUUGAUAUAUGUCGGUCUGCUUGCUAUUGAUGGCCGAUGGUCGUAUGCUAGCCUGCUAAUGAAACAUGUUUAUUAUUGGUUUUUUCAUGUGUCUUGUUUUACCACAUCUCUAAUCAAAUUGUACUCUUAAAAUCCACAGCCUAACCUAGCCUCUGUGUGUGUCCUGUCGUGCCAUACUAUACAAACACGUAUCCGGUACUAUCCCACGUACCGGUCGGCCCUUUGCCAUCUCUAGUUUCACCCCUAAAUGAAAUCUAAACGGCUAUUGGCAAGUAAGAAAACUUGUUAUUCUUUAUUUUGAAAAUAAAGGGAAUUGCUUAGUUUGAUAUUGUUUUUGGUAAGUCAUUUUUUGUUUUGAAACAUUUUUCUGAGAUGUUGUAUUUGGUGAAAAAUAAAUUAUUUUAUUUUAUACUUUUAAUGAAGAAAAGUAGAGAAAAACAUUCUUAUAAGUGCACCCGUGCCACUUUUUUCUUGUUUUAUUUGUAUGAUAAUUAUCAUGGACCCACGUAACUUUCUUUUGCAUUUAAAAUUUCAUAAUAAAUUAAAUUAGACAAAAGAAAUGAGUCCCACAAAUAAUUUAUUUUAUAAUUUUUUAAAUAAUACUAUUUUAAAAUAAAUUAUCAAAACAAAUUUCAUAUUCACUAAAAUUAAUCAUAUUCAUAUUAUAAAAUAAAUUUAAAAAUAAUAUCUGAAAAGUAAUGCUAAAUACACUCUUAAAUUUUAUGUACGGUAUUAGAAUUGAUGAACAAUCUGACAAAGAUGCUGCGACUUAAGUAGAGAUGACAAUUAAAGUUGGAUUUGGAAAAAUUCGUGUCUGCAAAUUAAAAAAAUGUGGAUUCGGAUAUGGAAAUUUGGAAUUCACAUGGAUCCAGAUAAAUUUUAUUUUAAAUUAAAAAUAUAUAUUAAAAAUUAAAUGAAAAAUUAAAAAUAAAUUUUAUUUGUGAUUUUAUGAUGAUGUUUUAUAUUAUUCAUGUUGAAUUAUUAAUGGUUGGAUUAUGAUUGAAUUUUAUUUGAUAUUAUUAGGUAAAUUAUUGAAUUUUAUUUAAAAUUUAAAAUUAAAUUAAAAAUAUAUAUUAAAAAUUAAAUAAAAAAAAUUAUAUUUUAUUUGUAGAUUUAUGAGAUUAUUGUAUGUUAUUCAUGUUGAAUUAUUAAUUGUUGAAUUAUGAUUGAAUUUUAUUUGAUAUUAUUAGGUAAAUUAUUGAACUUUUAAAUUAUAUAUUAAAUUAUUUAAUUUUAAUUUUUACGGAUUUGGAUAUCCAAAAUAUCCUCCAAUAUCCGUUGCGGAUAUUACCCGCUUCUGGAUCCACAUCUUUUUAUACGAAUUCAGAUAUAAAAAUAUGAAUGCGAAUCCGAAUCUGGAUUUUGCCAACCUUGAACCUAAGCAUGAAUGGGCCUAAAGUUUCUACAACAAACAUGGAUCAUUCAAUGACACGACAUGUUUUACAGCUCUCAUUAGUAUAAUUAAAUAAUUAAUUCCUCUCUAUAUUCAACUUACUCCGUCUCAAAUUGCAUGCACAUACAAAAAUACACUUCUGAAUCGUUCACUUGAGGAAAAUUCCAAAUUCUCCACGUAGAAUUUAGAUUCAAACCAUAGCAAAUUAGACAUAAUUCUAAUUUAUAUAGCAAAUAUAAUUAGCGAAGACACUCUUUAUAUAAACAUUAUUGUCAAACCUAAUAAGAUUCAAGGUCUUAACAUACUUCAUAUGAAAUUUGAUCUUGGCGCGUACCAACACGAAUAACAUCAAGACUCUACUUCAUAUAAUGUUAACUUCAUGGAUUUUCCGCUCUCUUGUGGGUCUAUCGUUUGUUUGCAAACUUUUCCAUUUUAAAUUGACAAUUAUAGGCGCUCUCUUGUGGUACAUAAAAUAAACGUUUAUUUUUAGAAUAUUAUUAUUUAUCUCAAUUUUUUAUUUAAUAGUUAAUCUUAAUCAAUUCUUAAACUGCCAUAAUCAAUUAAUUUUUUACAUUAUGGCAUCUUAAAUAAAUUUAGGAUAUGUAAUAAAUAAAAACUGGUAACGUUUGUUCUUUUAAAGCAUAAAAUAACCGUAACAUUGGUUUUUACAUUUUGAAUUUUUCUUGCAUCACUAUUUAGAUUAGAAAAAUGAUGUUAAAUCAACUCACAAAAUAUAUCAAGCCAUCUAAAAUCCAAAUAUUAUUACAUUUGUAUUUGCAUUGUUAAAUUGUUGGAACGACGGCAAAGCAAUUGAAAAGAUAUUAACAAAAAAGUAAAGAUUGGCCAAGGAUUAUUCAUGUUUAGGAAAUGCCUUAACUUUUGAUAUAAUCAUUGUUAUAAUUAUAUUGUAGAAAUAAUCAAUUACCUAAUGUUUGAGGUGGUAAAUAUUAUUAACUUGUUUUACUAUACCCGUGUUUAUGUUGGUCUCCUUUUUGUCCAUUUCUGUACAACGAAAUAUUUGCAUGUUUUGAUAGAAAUUGGUUUAAAUGACAUUUAAAAUAGUAUAUCCCCAGACAAUUAACGAAAUAUUUGGAUGGUAGGAUGAAGUAAUAAAUAGUUUUACAAAUUACCAUAUUAGAGGUAAAAAAAAAAUCGAGAGGUUACUUGACAAUUAUGACAUUACUAACUACAAAUUUAACACAAAAAGUUUAAUUAACUUUUCAUUUUGAGAUGACAAAAUCUCUGCUGUUGAAAACAAUGAGGUUUGAGGUUCAAGCUUGAAUAUCAAGUUACAAUUAGUAGAUAGUCUUAGGACAUAUCAAAGAUUUCUUUAAAGACAAAAUAAUAAUUACAAGCAAUAGGAAAUUAUGGUAUUCAGAACAUGUAACCUUCGCACAUGAAGCUUGAGUCCAGCAAAAGAUGCAGCUAGCCAAUCCUUCAACUUCCAAAACCCCACAAAAUCUGUCAACAUAUCUGCUCUACUUCAAUAUUAAGCACAUUCAUAGUGGCAUCAACAGCUUACAGCGCCAAAAUAUUUUCCCCAAAAAGAGUGAGAGAUUUCACAGAAGCUAAGUUGUGACUUGUGACUGCCCAAAUGUUCUAUAACACGAUAUGAUUAUUCUAGCAACACAAAUCCAACAGCAUGCAACAUAAUCUACUCUCUAACAUUGCGCAUUAGUAAAAUAAAACAGAGUAAAAAGAGAAACCAUGCCUGUGAAUCUCUUCCUUUCCCCCUGCCACCCCUUUUUUUGCUGAAGUCCAUCAAAUGAAAAUGCAGCAUGACCACGUUGGCCACUGCCACUGCCAUUACUUCUUCAACUGUGCCUUUUGUUGCAGGAAAUAUUCAAGAGAAAGAUUGGAUUAUAUAAUUCAAGAUUCCAAUAAACCUGAGCUGCAAAGGUUGCCUUCCACUAGCCUAUCAGAGACUAUGCUUUCUAUUUUCCUAGUUUUUUAAUCAAAAUUUUGCAAGAUUUAUUUAUGGAAAUCUUGGACAAAAUUUUAUGUAAGAUACCAUAAAGCCAAACACAAUCUUUUUAAUUCUCAGCAGCAACAUUUAAAGUAAAAAAAUGGAAGCCAUAUGAAUAUAACUAUGUUUGGUACAAGGAACAAUUAUUUCAAGCUUUCAGAAAUGCUACCAAGAAAUUGUAAGAGAACUUUACCUGGUCACAGAAUAUGUCAAACAUACUACCACCAACUGUCUUUAGCACAAUUGUUAUGAAGUAGCUUCUGAAUCGGAAGAUUCAAGCUUCCACCGGGCACCAUUUUUUUCAUUCUUGAUACAAUCUGCAUCAGUGGCAUGAGUUAUAUCAUCAACAUUUGCAUCCUCACUCUCAUCAUCCCAAUCAAGGCUUCUUCUCCAGCUCUGGAUUAUAAGUCCACUCCGACAUCUUCAAACAUCUCGGUCCUUCCAUUUGCCAACAACCGAUAUGGCUUCCUUCCUUGCCUUUCCCAUUAAUAUAUCACUCGAAGGAAAAAAAGCAUCAGCAAUUCUCUUCAACGCCUCAUCGUUUAUAACCCCCCAAAAAAAGGGUCUUCAGACACCUCAACUUUGCCUUCUGCAAAAUCUCCACAAAAUCUGAAUUAUCCAACACAACAGCCAGACACUCAAUCCUUCUUUUGUCCAUCAUAUCCACCGUAUGAUUCCUCAACAAAAUAUCUACAGCUUGUGGCUUAUCUAACACUGUCUUGAUCCAAAACCCCGCUCUUUUCAACUCAUCUGCCAAACCAUAACCCACUUUUGGAGUCAAAAUUGUCCUUGCAGCCCUUUUAUAUUUUUCCAUCUCCAUCGAAUACUUGCCACUCAAAUGGAAUUACCAGACAGGAAUCCCAGUAACAAGUCCACUCAACUUCUUCUCAUCUGAUCCCUCUUUCACUCGGGCGGAAACAUUAAUAACCAUUCACCAGCCACAAAUUACCCAAGUAAGUACUCGUGUCGUCAACACUUACCCUUCACUUCAUCUACGCAAACAAGAAUUCAAAUUGCUUACUAGCUAGUGCUCGAGCGAAAGCCAGAAUAAUUUAAAUAUGUGUGUGUGUGUGUUAAAAGAGAAACGGUAGCGAAGUUAUUAUACAAUAAAGCAAACCAAAAUAAAUUCUACACUCAUGUGGCGCUCAAAGCCAUGAAUUUGAUAUCAUCCAUGAGGGGAGUUCAAACAACAGCAUGUAAGAAGCAACAAGUGUUGAGAAAAAAAAAGUGACAAAAACAAAGCUAAUCACAAUGAAUGAUAAGGUUUAGAGUAAACAUAAAGUUAUAAUCUUGAACAUAAGUGGCCCUCAAAGCCAUGAAUUUGAUAUCAUCCAUGAGGGGAGUUCAAACAACAGCAUGUAAGAAGCAACAAGUGUUGAGAAAAAAAAUAAAAAUUCAUUCUAACACAGCAGAAUAAAUUGUAAAGAAAUCCCAGUUUGUAUAAAAGAAAGAAAACAAAAUUAAGGAAAACAUAAGCACAACAAAAUUUGACUGAUUAUUAAAAAUGAGAAAUGAGUUAUAAUGAGAAUUUUAGCUUUGUUGUGAAAUAAAUUGGGAAGUAUCCAAAGUACGCAUGUAAAUAAUAUAAAUGAUAAGAAGACGAAGGGAACAAAAUGAUAAUAAGCAAGCCAAAUAUUAAAAUGCAGAUUCUACGCUUCCCCCCCCCCCCCAGUUAGUGUCUCGCUAAUCAUUUUCGAUGUAUCAAUUACAAAGGUAGUAAGCGUACUGUCACGGGAUGAGUAUUUUGCGCAGCUAACCCGUGCGGCACUUAGAUAGUUUUGCCGAAUGUUGCUAAGUAAGCCUAGAACUUCUCGAACUAGAAAAGAGAGCAAUUGAGCCGAAUAAGAGAAAUUGUAUUGCACAAAGAGAGAUUACAAUGCUUGAGUUGCUUACAAUACUUGUUGUAGUGUUUGUUGGAUGCAAAUGCCUAAUGCCAUCCCAUAUUUAUAGGGGAGGCUUGCCAAGCUCUAGAGAUUCUAGAGAAUUCUACCACUUCCUAGCUAUUUACAUGUGCUGGAAUUGUAAGGAGAAUUCUAGAGUAUUUACAAGCUCAUGUGCUAGAGUUGCCUAGAAUGUUCCGGAAUUGGGCCAAGCUAGCACUCUUAGCCUUGUGUUGGCUCUCUAGCCCGAAAUUGUGGGCAAUUGGGCUAGCGAAUUGGGCGGUCCACAACAUCCUCCCCCACCUAAGCUCGCGGCAUCCUCGUCGCGCUUUCGUGCUUGAAGUGUUGAAUGUGCUCGGCGAAUUGCCACAAAUCCUCUUCACGUUCCCAAGUGACUUCGCUCUCGGGGAGGUUUUUCCACUUCACCAAGUACUCGCUAUGUGCUGGCACGCCUCUCCUCGAAACCACGCGGUCUGCAAUGAUGUAGUCCACAUCUUUGUCGAACGCGGUGAAAAUGGUGGUUGGCCGCGCCUUGAUUCUCCGCGACUUGGGUCUCCCAUGUCUUCGUGAUAUGGCUUGAGAAGAUUCACAUGGAAGACCGGAUAGAUCUUGAGUUUUGGCAGAAGUUGAAGUUGAUACGAGACGUUGCCCACACGUCGAACAACUCGGAAGGGUCCCUCGUAGCGCCUCACUAACCCCUUGUGGACUUUCCGCAACGUCUUGAAUUGUUGGGGUAGGAGCUUGAUCAUGACUUGAUCACCUUCCGUGUACUCAACACGCCGUCUCCUUGUAUCCGCCCAUUUCUUCAUUUUCCUCGCGGCUUUGUCGAGGUAGGCUCGCGUGAUGUCUGCUUCCUCAUGCCACUCGCGGGCGAGCUUGUGUGCCGCGGGGCUUUUCCCUCCAUAAGUCGAGGCUAUGGCAUUGGGGGUCAUGGGCUGGAAUCCCAUGAUGAUCUCGAAUGGACUCUUGCCCGUAGCCUCACUUCGCUGCAAAUUAUAAGAAAAUUGGGUGAUGUUGAGUAGCUUCGCCCAACCCCGCUGAUGAGUGCUCACAUAAUGCCUCAAGUACAUCUCGAGGAGGCCAUUAAUGCGCUCGGUCUGCCCAUCCGUUUGUGGGUGGAAGCUGGUCAAGAACUUAAGAUCAGUCCCCAACAUCUUGAAGAGCUCCGUCCAAAAGCGUCCAGUGAACCGAGGGUCUCGAUCGCUCACAAUGCUCUUUAGAACUCCCCAAAGCUUUACGAUGUGCUUGAUGAAUAGGCGGGCUGCCUCGUCCGCUUUGCAAUCGACUGGUGCGGCGAUGAAUGUGGCGUACUUGCUGUAUCGGUCGACAACGACCAUGAUGCUACCACAACCUUCGGACUUGGGCAGCGAUGUGAUGAAGUCCAUGGAGACACUUUCCCAUGGCCUUGUUGCUAGUGGUAGCGGCUCCAACAAUCCCGUUGAAAGUUGAUGAUCCACUUUGUCUUGUUGGCAAACAAGACAAGUUCGCACAUAUGCCUCGAUGUCGUCCCUCAUGUGUGGCCAAAAAUGCGAGGCUUGAACUAGUGCGGUGGUGCGCUCGAUUCCUGGGUGACUAGCCCACUUGGAGUCGUGGCACUCCUUGAUUACUUCCUUCCGUAAGUUUCCCCACCUUGGCACGAACAGCCGAUCUCCCUUGGUGAGGAGGAUGCCUUCCUCUUGCCAAAAUCGCCUUGUCUUUCCCUCGAGCAACUUUUCCAGCAAAUUCUUUGCUAGCGGAUCUUGUUGGAGGCCUUUCUUGAUGCGUGAGAUAAGGUCGGACUUCGGUUGGCUCAUGCUAAGUGUUGCCAAUUCCGCCUUGCGGCUUAGAGCGUCCGUAACGACAUUGGCUUUCCCUGGUUUGUACUCGAGCCGAUAGUCGAAUUCCGCUAGAAAAUCCUGCCACCUUGCUUGCUUCGGACUCAACUUCUUUUGUGUUUGAAAGUAGCUCGUUGCUACGUUGUCCGUCAUAAUCGUGAAGUGAGAGCCUAGCAAGUAAUGUCGCCACACUCUUAGACAAUGGAUGAUGGCUGUCAUCUCCUUCUCUUGCACCGUGUAGCGGCGUUCCGUAUCAUUUAGCUUUCGACUCUCGAACGCUAUAAGGUGGCCUUCUUGCAUGAGGACUCCCCCUAUGGCGAAAUCCGAGGCAUCCGUUUGGACUUCGAAGGGCUUUGUGUGGUCCGAAAAGGCGAGGACUGGUUCCUCCGAAAUUGCCUUCUUCAACUCCUCGAAUGCGCGUUGGCAUCCUUCGGACCAAUGCCACGUUCUGUUUUUCUUGAGCAUAUCCGUCAAGGGUGCCGCCUUGGCCGAAUAGCCCUUGAUGAAGCGGCGGUAGUAGUUCACCAACCCAAGGAAUGAGCGAAGCUCGGGCACUUUUGAGGGAGGUUCCCAUUCGAGGAUGGCCUUUACUUUGGCGUUCUCCAUCAUGAUCUUCCCGCCCGCAAUCUUGUGGCCAAGGAACUCCACUUCUUGUUGGGCAAACGAGCACUUCUCCAACUUGAGGAAGAGCUCGUUGUCUCGGAGCACUUGGAGGACUUGUCGCAAGUGUUGGGCAUGAUCCUCGAGCGUGGUGCUAUACACCACGAUGUCGUCCAAGUACACGACCACGAAGCGGUCGAGGAAUGGUUGGAGCACCUUGUUCAUGAGCGUGUAAAAUGUGGCGGGUGCAUUAGUAAGGCCAAAAGGCAUCACAAGGAAUUCGAAAGACCCGUACCUUGUUGUGCACGAUGUCUUCGGUUCGUCUCCCUUGACGAUGCGCACUUGGUAGUACCCGGAGCGCAAGUCGAGUUUGGUGAAGUACCGCGUUUUGCCAAGCUGGUCGAACAAGUCCGCGAUCAAGGGAAUCAGAUACUUGUUCUUGAUGGUGAUAUUGUUGAGCGCUCUAUAGUCGAUGCACAUCCGCAGCGAUCAAUCCUUUUUCUUUUGGAAGAGCACGGGUGCACCGAAUGGGGCCUUUGAGGGGCGAAUGUAGCUUGCAUCCAGCAAGUCUUUAAGUUGUCUCCGCAACUCUUCUAAUUCGGGUGGCGCCAUGUGGUAAGGCGCCAAGGCUGGUGGCUUCGCACCUUGUUCCAGCUCGAUCGCAUAAUCUACCUCUCGUCGAGGUGGGAGCUUCUUCGGAAGUUCUGGAGGCAUCACGUCCUUGUACUCGUUGAGGACUUUUUGUAUUUGCGGAGGGACUUGGCUUGGCUUGUUUCCGCAAUCUCCUUCCUCGUUUAGUUCCCGAAUGGAGACCAAGAAGCUUGGGUCCUUCUUGAAAGCCCUUUUGAAUUGCAUGGCGGAGAGUGUCUUCUCCUCGGACUUGCCUCGUUUCGUGGGAACCAUGCAUGCCUUGCUCCCAUCGAGGAUGCUUAGGGAGUUUGUAGCGGGCAGCGGGAAGGCAUGGACUUGAUCGAAGAAUUCCAUGCCGAGGACCAUCUUGACGUCAUCCAUGGGCAUAAUGGAGAAGUCAAGCUUUCCGCUCCACGUACCAAGUGUAAUGUGCACGCCUUGUGCGAUUCCCGCAAUUGGCUUGGCGGGUGAGUUCACAGCCUUCAUCGUGCCUCCUUCCUUGGUGGCCUUGAGGCCUAAGCGCUUGGCCUCGUCUACGGACACGAAAUUGUGCGUUGCUCCCGUGUUUAGCAGUGCGCGAACGGACUGGCCGUUUAUUUUCGCGCUUACAUACAUGAGCCCUUUCUUGACAAGUGUGGGCUGUUGGCGAUUGAGUGCGCCAAGGCGUUGGAGAGAACCCAUGCUGAGUUGGGGUUCCUCCGUGGACAUUGUGGGGUUGCUCUUGAGUUGGGCAGCAAGAGCAUUAAGCGACCUCUUCUCCGGACAGUCGCGUACCCAAUGAGGACCGUUGCAUAUGAAGCACGGGCUUCGUGGCUUUGGCGCCUCCUUUUUGCCCUCCGAUUUUCCUUACUCGCUCUUGUUGCUAGGCGGCUUUUUCUGCCCCCAAUCUUUGCGGUUGUUGCCCUUGUCCUUGCGACUAUCUCCCCCACCUUUGCCUUGGUUGGCCUUUUUGUCCUUGGAUUGGGUAGAGUAUUUGGUGAACGACUCCGCAAUGGCGAUGGCGUCGUCAAGUGUUUGAACACCACGCCUAUCAAGCUCGGUCUUGGCCCAAUCCUUGAGGCCAUCUUGGAAGUAGAAGAGCGAAUCCUUGUCGGACAUGUCGCUUAUCUCCAACAUAAGGGUAGUGAACUCAUUGAUGUAGUCCCGAAUGCUACCCGAUUACUUGAGGCGACAUAAGCGCGCUCGCGCUUCCUUCUCCGCAUUGCUUGGGGCGAACUGCUUUCGGAGUUCUUGCUUGAAGUCGGCCCAAGUGUCGAUGGUGCAAAUGCCCUUGCCCAUCUCGCCAUGCUUGUGACGCCACCAUAGUUGUGCAGCACCUCUAAGAUAGGUGGGUGCAGUGCCCACUUUCGAUGCCUCAUCUCGAACACCCAUGGCAUCGAAGUAUUGAUCAAGCCCGAAUAGGAAGUUGUCCACGAUUGUGGCGUUGCGUGUGCCAUCGUAGGUGUCGGGCUUUGGCACAUCAAUGCGGCGCGCAUCACUCGAGUUUGCAGAAGCUGGACUUGUGGAGAGUGUGCGCUUGUGCCAUGCCCAAUCUGAGCGGACUUCAUCCACUUCCGCACGGACAGCGCGUAGUUCGUCCUGAACAAAACUACGAAGUUUGAGUAACUCAUCAUGGAAGGAACGAAACUCACCUUGGAGAGUGUUUGCUUGCUCUUGGAUGAGAGCUUUGGUUGCCACCGUGAACUCGGCGUAUUCCCCUUCGAAACCGUCCACUCUUUCCUCCAAUCCCUCGAGGCUAUCUUGAGCGGUGGACAAAGUGAUUUCGAGAGUAGUCACACGAGGCUCCAACACAUCCACGGAUGGGGCCUUGGACUUGCCACGAGUCUUGCCUUGGGCGCGUUCUCCCUCGCGGCCGCGGCUUGGUUCCGGUGGAACAUCCACACCAACAACACCCUCUUGUGCUACGUUCGAAGGGUUGGCCAUUGCUCGUGAGCUAACUUGCGUGUGUGCAAACCUUAGCUCUAAUACCACUUGUCACGGGAUGAGUAUUUUACGCAGCUAACCCGUGUGGCACUUAGACAAUUUUGCCGAAUGUUGCUAAGUAAGCCUAGAGCUUCUCUUACUAGAGAAGAGAGCAAUUGAGCCGAAUAAGAGAAAUUGUAUUGCACAAAGAGAGAUUACAAUGCUUGAGUUGCUUACAAUGCUUGUUGUAGUGUUUGUUGGAUGCAAAUGCCUAAUGCCAUCCCAUAUUUAUAGGGGAGGCUUGCCAAGCUCUAGAGAUUCUAGAGAAUUCUACCACUUCCUAGCUAUUUACAUGUGCUGGAAUUGUAAGGAGAAUUCUAAAGUAUUUACAAGCUCAUGUGCUAGAGUUGCCUAGAAUGUUCCAAAAUUGGGCCAAGCUAGCACUCUUAGCCUUGUGUUGGCUCUCUAGCCCGAAAUUGUGGGCAAUUGGGCUAGCGAAUUGGGCGGUCCGCAACAGUACGCCUCUAAUGUUUUGCCAAGUGUCCAUUGAUAAUAUCACAAGGGAAAUUAAAUUGGUGUAUGUGUAUUACACCUCCUAAAGUCAUGUUAAGAUAGUUAGUGAGCUGAUAAAGUUUGUUGCACAUGUGAGUUGGUUAAGUCUGCUAGAAAUGCAAACGUGUAAAGCUUAGUUAGUUAAGGUUGUUACGAAUGCUUAGAUUCAGUUCACGUGUAUUGUAUGUAAUGCUUAGAUUCAGCUCAUGUAGAUUGUGUAUACAACUUUCUAAUAUUCUUUAGAUCUCAAUAUAAAUACUUGUAAUCAACAAAUACAAUAAUAAGAGUCAUCAUUCUUCAUUUUCUCUAUGUUUCUCUCAUAUUUUCUCUGCAUCCAAACACAAUAUUCUCAAUUCUUGACUUGGUAUCAGAGUUGCAGUUUAAUUGUCAUGGCUUCCUUAAGCACAAAUUCAAACACAAAUCAGUCUCCUUCAUUCUUUACCCUCACAAAUGCGAUCAAACUGGACAGAUCUAACUAUACGAUCUGGAAAUUUCAGAUCCUCUCUUUAGUGCGUGCCAAUGGACUUGAAGGCUUUCUUAAUGGAACUAAAAUUUGUCCAGAUCAGUUACUUACUCAAGAGAUUGAAAGUUAUGGUGUUGAAAAUGUUGUUGGUGAAAGCUCAGCUGAUAGAUCUCAAGAGAAUCCAGCCUUUGUUGCUUGGAAAAGGUAGGAUCAAUUGUUAUUAAGUUGGCUCAUGCCCUCCAUCAGUGUUGAGAUACUUAGUCUUGUGGUAAAUUUUGAUUCUUCUUAUAAACUUUGGACUAAUCUUGAAGAAAAUUUUUGGAUUAGAAACUAUGGCUAAGAAAGCACACUUAAAAAUGAUGUUAAGCAAUCUCAGAAAGGGAUCAAUGCAAUAACUGAGUAUUUUGCCAAACUUAGAGCUGUAACUAAUAAACUUGCUCUAACUGGUAGCCCUGUUUCUACUCUAGACUUUAUUACUUAUCUAAUCUCUACAUUAGGCCAGCCAUACUACCCUGUUGUUUUGUAUAUUGAAGCUAUUGUUUUGUAUAUUGAAGCUAAUAUGAUGAAAAUAUUUGUCAAUGAAGCCUAUUCUAUGCUUUCAACUCAUGAAGCAAGAAUUAAAUUUAAUCAUCCGAGUGCAAAUAAAGAAGCAAAGUUGAAUUAUGCUGCUAACAUAGCUUAGGCUGGACCUAGUAAUAACAAUAAGAAGUCUAGUAAUCAAGCUAAUUACUAUCAGGGCAACCAAGGUAACGGGAAGAGAAAUGCUCAUUGGUGUGGUAACAAUGGAGGAAGAGGUGGCUUUGGCAGAGGUUUUUCAGGGCAAGGAAGGGGUAAUUAGAAUAAUGGUGGUCAUUGGAACAAUGGACCUUUGGAGUAGUAGUCGAGCAUGUUAUAAUGGUUCUGAUAUAAACAAUAUGACAUGGUUGCUGGUGAACCUGUAAACAUAACCACAAAAGUAAGAAGGCAUAAUCUUUUUAUAAGAAACUCAAAAAUCGGCAUGGUGCGAGUAAAACACCUUUGCAACCCAAUCAGCAAACUCCUUUGCAUUGGGCACAGUAGCGGAGAGGAACACAAAUCGGGAGUUCUUUGGAGCCAUCACAAUGCUCUCUUCCCAUACCACACCUCUCUCACGAUCCCGCAUGUAAUGUACCUCAUCAAAUAUAACCCAAGCCACUUCACGCGUAAUCUCUGAGCCUUUGUACUGCAUACUACGCCAGAUUUCAGUAGUCAUCACCUGAAAUUAAACUUCAUAUAAGCAAUCCACAAAUCAAAGCGCUGCAACACCCAAAAGAUGACACUACCAAGUUGACCUACCAAACAAGAAGCAUUAGGGUCAAUUGUGACAUCCCCAGUCAUCAAACCGACAUCUGAAAACUCUUCUUUAAACUCCCUGUACUUCUGAUUGCUGAGUGCCUUAAUCGGUGAAGUAUAUAUCACACGUUGCUUAUUCCGCAACGACAUAGCAAUAGCAUACAAUGCUACCACAGUCUUCCCAGCAGAUGUAUGGGCCGAUACCUGUCAAAUAAAUGAAAGGCAAACCCGAUUUUUUUUAUAAAAAAAAAAAAGAGAAAAAAAACUAUUUUUAUUUUUCACGCAAGAUAACACUUAAUGCAAAAAUUAUUAUCAGUGAGCUGAAAAGCAGAGCGCUUUGUACGAAAGCACUUCCAAAUUCGAAUUAAAUUUUUUACAAAAAAUUACAGCUUUAUAUAUAUGUGUGUGCGCGUGCGUAUAAUAAUAAUAAUAAUAAUUAACGAACCGUAACGGACUCGCCGUUGUCGAGGCACUUGAUAGCUUCGGACUGGAAUGGGUCGAGAGUGAAAGGGAAUUCCUUAGCAGGUUUAAACAUAAAACGCGGCGUUUUCAUGGACUAGUACAUUCCAUGCUUCGAAAGUUUAUGUUUUAGACUGAUUGGUUUGAUACAUUAUUUGUUUAUUGCGUGUUUCUUGCUUUAAAUAUUAUGUUGGAUUGAUAAGUUUUGUACACAUUUAUAUUGCUCGCAGUAAAUAAUUUAUUACAUUUAAAAAACUAUCAACCGUCUAUCAAAAGAUUUCUACCAUAAAUAUAUAUACACAAAAAAACUUUUAAUUUGGUCAAUUUGUUCUCUUAUUUAUUUUUGUUCUAUUUCUCUUUUCCUUUCAUUUCAUUUUAUUUUUUUAUGGUACAAAAAAAAAAAACCUUAAAAUUUAAGGGUAAAAUACUCAUUUUACUAAAUUCCGUUUAAUAUCAUAAUGCUGUCAAUGGACAAUGGCAAAGUACACGGGGAAAUUUAUAGUAAUAACCAUUAAAGUUUUUAUUUUUUUCAUCUUAACCCCCCAAAAAUAUUUCUAUCAACAUUAGCCAUAAAACAACCUUUGAGACCAAAAUACCCUUCUCCCUCAUCUCUCCCCCAACACUCCCUUUCACUCAUCUCUCCCAAACCGAUCCAACUCCCAUCAUCGGCGGCAACAUCAACCCUCGUUGGCGGCGGCUCCAUCUCUCACCGGCAUCCGAUCUACGAUCUACAACCUUCAACAAAACCUAGGUUAGUCAUUUUUCUUAUUUUCAUUAAUUUAAAAUGAAAUUUUAGAAUAAUAAUGGUUAUAGUUUGAGAAUAAUGUUGAUGGUGGUGGUGUUUGUGGUGGUUGGUGGUGUUUGGGAGUAUUGUUUUUCGAUUUUGGAGUGUUGUGGAUUAAUUUUGGGGGUGGGGAGGGAGGGGGGUAGGGCGCGCGCGCGCGCCCAUCGCUGGGCAGCAGCGCGAGCCCAUGCGCGGCCCGCUGUCGCACCAAAUCUGGUGCUACAGGCCCUGUCGCCAGAUUCACCUCCCGACUCAGUUCAGCAAGUUCAGAAAAUAACUCAUACCACUAAGUGAUGCCGAUUAGUGUUGAUCCGGAUAGAUUAUGAUCGGAUUUCACUUUUAUCGUUGUCUUUUGCCGUCGCCGUUGGCUGAUGAUUCAAGAGUGGCAAGCUGCGUUUAGUUUGACGAUAUGGGUGAAACAAUGUUGCUUUUGGUCUGUAAAGAAGGGUAAUUUGGGGAGAAAAGCUUGUGUUUGGCUAAUGUUGAUAGAAAAAAAUUGAGAGAGUUAAUUGUGAAAAUAACAAAAUAUUUAUGGUUACUUUCGUAAAUUUUCCAAGUACACGAGUGAUACAAAUUAAAAACAAAUAAAUUGAAAGUUUUUAUGUAUUUUCCUUUUAUUUUUUAUAGCCGAUUGAGAUUUCCCUUCGUAUUCUUAAAUUCAAUACGUUUAGACCGUUUAAAAAAUUUUAAAUUAAAAAAAAAACCCGUGGUGUAAUAACAAACUCACAUCAAACCCUGUCCACUGUCAUCCCUAAUAAUAUUUACCACUUCUUACUCAAGAGUGAUAAUAACUGUGUAUCACAAUUGAUUUUGCAUACGGGUAAAAGUUCCAAGUCCGGAUAUUUAGUUAAUGAAAUUGAUGAAAAGGGCAUGAAAGAAAAUAAGAAAUUAAAUAAUACAGGUGGUAUUAAUCAUUACAUAUUUAGUUAAUGAAAAUUGAUGAAAAUAUUUCUGCAGACAUGAGCCGUAAAUAUAAUACCGUUAAGAAUGAAGCAGCAGAGGUUCCCCAAACAAGCUAAAACACGGCACCUGAAUUUAAAGAAUUUUUAUGUCACAGUAUCGGGACAAAAAGUUUAAUGCAACAACAUACAUUAAGUUAAUUCCAUAAUCUAUCACCAAAGAAAGACAAACACAAGCUUAUAAGAUUAGAACUUUGGAAAACAUUGAAGAGUCGGACAAAAUUGUGUAACCUUCAGAGUUUAGAGCCUAGUUCAUCCAGGAAAGCAAAAGAAAAAUAAUAACAAUAAUAAUGGUGGUUUGAUCUCAAAAGGUGGCAUCAAAGUGGUAACUUUGAGGUAUUGGAAGCAAUAACGUCUUCAACUUUGUCCUGAUUUCGAAGUCCCUUAACCCAUCCGCCAUCAAUGGAUUGAAUGCUUCCAUUCAACCAUCAUCCACAAACUCACCAACCCGUUUCACCUUCAUCUCCUCCGGCUUAACAGGGUACUUCCCAGAGAAGCAAGCAUAACAAAAAUUCUGAGAAUCAUCGCCUAACAUCUUGUUCAAGCUAACAAUCAGCAGAAAAGCAAGCGAAUCACACCCAAUAAACUCCCUGAUUUCCUCAACGCUCAUCCUGUUGGAAAUCAACUCCUCACUACUUGGAGUGUCUACUCCGUAGUAACAAGAAGCUAUGAUUGGUGGGCUUGCAAUUCUCAUGUGAACCUCUUUAGCUCCAGCCUCCUUAAGCAACCUAACAAUUUUCGAUGAAGUUGUUCCUCUCACUAUCGAAUCAUCCACAACCACAACUCUCUUUCCCUCCAACACUCCCGUUACAGGAGAGAGCUUAAGCUUGACACCAAAGUCCCUAAUCUUCUGGGAAGGCUCAAUGAAAGUUCUCCCAACAUAGUGUGACCUUAUCAACCCUUGUUGAAAUGGCACCCCGGCUUUCGCAGUGUACCCAAGUGCAGCCACCACUCCAGAAUCUGGUACUGCAAUCACAACAUCACACUCAACAGGAGCCUGGGUAGCAAGUACUUCCCCAAAAUGAUACCUCGACUCAUAAACAGACCUUCCAAAAACAACAGAAUUAGGCAAAGCAAAAUAAAUAUGCUCAAAGAUGAACUGCUUAGGUUCAGGGUGAGGCAUCAAACAAAGUGAUUGAACCCCAUCUUUAUCCACCAUCAAAACUUCACCGGGAUAUACCUCUCUCUCGUAUGUGGCCUCAAUCAAAUAGUGCACAAGUCUCUGACGCAAAAACCACAGCACCAUUACUCCUCCUACCCAUCACCAACGGCCUAAACCCGUACGGGUCACGAACCACAACAAGCGUAUCCUCAGUAACAAACACCAUUGAAUAAGCACCCUCAAGCUUCUCACAAGCAUCCACAAUCCUCAAAAAGAACGGCCUAGCUUUCGAUAUCGCAAUCAAAUAGAGAACAACCUCAGUAUCAGAACUAUUAUUAAAAAUGGAACCAUUAUCUCAAGCUUUGCCCUCAAAGUAUUAUAAUUAACUAAAUUCCCAUUAUGUGCAACACCAACAGAACCAAACCUGUACCCAGCAACAAAAGGCUGCACAAUCUUAAGCAUAGAACUACCGCAGUCGAAUAUCUAACAUGACCAAUGGCCAUAUCACCAGGCAAUUGAUCAAGUUUAGACUGAUUAAACACAUCAGAGACUAAACCAACACCGGUAAUACACUGAAGAACUUUAUUAUUCACAGCAACUAUACCUGCACCUUCUUGGCCGCGAUGCUGCAGAGCGUGCAGCGCCAAAUAACACAAACGCGAGGCCUCUGGGUCACCGUAGAUGCCCACAACACCGCACUCCUCACGGGGCUUAUCGUCGUCAUCAUCAUCAAAACUGCCAAAAUUGUCAUCUGGGUAUUCUUUUUUGUGGUGACAAACUCAUUGAUGGGGUUUUUUGAUAGAACAGUGAAGUUAUUUUUGUGGGUUAAAGAUUGUUGUUUCUGAGGAAAAAAAAGGGUUUUUUUUUGCAGGGUUUUGGAGAAAAUAGAAUGAUAGAUUUUUUGCGUCGGCCUAUGAUUAGCAGAGGGAGAUGGGUUUGAGAGAGGGCAGAUAUUGGCGGUGCUUGUGGUUGUGGCUGCCGUGAAUGGCUAAUUUUAUUUUAUUUUUUUCGGUUGCUUUGCUCAAAGAAAAAACAGAGGAGGUGUGUGGAGGGAGACAGUGGCGAAGGGUACUUUAAGUAGAGGGGAACUUGUGAGGGAAUCUGAUGCUGUGUUGUGCGUAUGAUUCAAUUACUUACUCAUAGCAAGAGGUGGUCAAUGGGCCGUGUCGUGCCGAGUUAGGCCUAUUAAAGGAGACUCUACGCGUAUUCGUGCUCGUACCGUGUCGUGUUCAUUAUGCGUUUCGUGCCAUACUGUACUGUGCCUAAUUUUUUUUUGCUUAUGCCGGCCCGACACACGUGCCGUGCCGUGCCGUGGAAAAAAAACUCAUUAAAUUUUUUUUUUUAAUAUUUUUAAGAGCGCAUGUCAAGUUGUUAUUUUUUUUUUAAGCCUAUGUAUUUUUUUUGAAUCCAUGUGCCUUUAUUCAAAUUUACUAGAACAAAAAAUUCAAAACUAAGUCCAUAUUCAAUAAUAAUAAAUUAAUAAUAAUAAGAUAAUGUAAUAUAAGUUUCUAAGUUUGACUCUAUGGUAUUAAAAUUCCUUUUAGUACUUAACAACAAUAAUAAAAAUAAUUUUUUUAAGAGUUAACUUAAUUUUUAAUUUAGAAUUACGUAGCAUAAUAUAUCAUAGUUUAUAAUAAUAUUAAUACAUAUUUAUAAAAUCAUAAUAUUUAUAAUUUUAUUUAUUAAAAUCAUGAUAUCAAUUAUAAUUAAAUAAAUUAAAUAAAUUUAAAAAACUUGAGCUAAUAAAAUAUAUUAAAAAAUUAUAUUUCAAUUUAUUUAUAAAUUCAUAAAAUUUUAAGUUUACUUUUAUUAAAAAAUGAAAUGUGUUUAUUGUGUGUUUUUUCACGUGCUGUGCUUUGGCCCGUCGUUAAUCGUGUCGUGCUUUUAAAGCCCACGUGCCUAAAAUUCUAAGCCUGGCCCAGCCCACGUGCGUGACGUGCCGUGCCGCGUGCUCUACCGAAACGUGCUCGAGUCAUGCCAUGUUGUACGGAUACAUGCCAUGCUGUACGAACACAUGUGCUGUGCUUUGGCCCAUCUUUAAUUGUGUCGUGCUUUUAAGGCCCACGUGCCUAAAAUUCUAAGCCUGGCCCAGCCCACGUACGUGCUGUGCUAUGCUGCGUGCUCUACCGAAACGUGCUCGUGCCGUGCCAUGCUGUACGGACACAUGCCAUGCUGUACGGACACAUGUCAUGCCCAUAUCGUGCCUUGUGCCGUUCGACCCAUUAGCCACCUCUACUUAUAGGUGAUACUGUUGUGUCACCACAAAUUCUAAUUGGAAAAUUUAGUUGUCAAUUUUUCUCCAAGGGUUAAUUAGGUAGAACAUUCAUGCUGUCGAAUUUUGUUGGAGAUUCUAAAAAUAAUUUCCAAAUAGAGAGAUGGACCAAAAUCAACAAAGUGACACAGAUACUUCAUAUUUUUUUCCUUGUGGGACAUAAAAAUUGAUGCAUGUUCUAAUGCAUUGCUCUGUCAGAAUUAGAAUUAAACUUAGUUUGUGUUCUCCUAUUCCGAAAGCAGAACUUAUACUUAUCGUAGGUGAUACUCUAAGAAGUAGAAAUUAAGAACCAUAAUGAAUUUAAUGUUUUUAAUUUGCUAGAAAUCAGGGAUGGUAGAAAUCCCCACAGGGAUGGGUACCCUCAGGGAUUUUUCCCAUUCGGAGAGGGUAUUGGGACAAUUUUUUAUCCAGUUUCUUAUUCGGGAAAGGACGGAGAUAGUUUUUUACCUAGUUUCUUAUUCGGGGAAGGGACGAGGAAGAGGCAGAAUCCUCAUCCCCUCCCCAUUUCUGCAUUUUAAUUUUUAAAACUAUUAGUAAAUAAAUAAUAAAAUGUAAAUUAUAAACUAUUAAAUAUUAGUAUAAAUAACAAGGGUCAUCUUGUGGUGCCACUGUGGCACCGUGUCAUAAUUUUUUGUCUUUAUUCAGUCAAGUCGUUGGAUGGUUAGUCGUUCAAUCCAACGGUUUAAAUUAAUUAUUGGAGAAAGGCUGCGAGAACUUACAACCUUUGCAGCCAGUUUUGUGUGAUUGUAAUACCAUCCAAUAUUGGGCGUGCGUUUUUAGAACCUUGGAACUACGCCAUUUUGUUUCAGCGAGUUCAUUUGAAAAUCAAUCUGCAGACAGAAAGUGAACACACGAAAUUGGUAUUCCUGGAUCAAAAUUAUUGUUGGAAUUAUAUCUAACGGUUGAUGUGUGCAUGAAUAUGUUUGCGCAGUUGUAGGGAGGCAACAGUGAAAUAAAAAAAAAUCUCGGCAUGUGCAUUCGAAGGAAUUUUUGAUGCUGAAAGUCUAAGCAUAUCGAAUCAUCUGACGUAGUAGGUAAUUCGUUCUUAAACUUGCAAUUUGUUUUAGUUGGAAUAGAUUUAAAAGUCGUUAUUAUGGUUAGUUGAAUAGUUCGCCGAUGAGUUCAGUAAACAGGUGGUAAUAGGGAAAAUUUUCAAUUAAGUAUGUAAACAGGGGUCGUCAAAGAAUGUGAGGUUAAUAAGGAGGACUGAUUUGAAGAAUCUCACUGCACUAAUCGCCGGAUUGAAGGUGCAAGAGGGACUUAAAAGUGUUCGGUGAUGAAAUGAAAUUUGUUAGUGAGUAAAUUUCUUUUGUAAGUAUCAAUUGGUUAUAUGGGUAAUUGAUGAGGACAUACUUUUACGACAUGUUCUUAUAUUUAAAUUGUUAACUUUUUUUUUAUCUUCUGGUGACCAAUAAUCACUACUAGAAAAAUGGUCUUUACUGACACUUGAUUUGUGACAAUUUUUUAAAAAGUAUCAGUAUUUUCAUACAUAUGGACCAUUUUCCGUGUUUAACAUAAAAAUAUCACAAAUUAUUGAUACUAUAGUGUGUGUAACUUAGAUAUCAGAGAUUUCUGACAUUAAGGUAUCAGUAAUAAAAAUAAAAUAAUUAUAAUUAGGUUCCAAAUAGAACUCGAACCGAUUACCUCUAGUACUCAAGCGUUUAAGUUCGAAAAAAAGACCAGGACAUUCAAAACUCAAAUUUUCUUGUUCAGAAAAGUAACGACUAAACCAAACAUUUUUUUUUUUAACUUUUCCUGUUUAAUUUAGACAAUUUUUUUUUUUUUCUCAUUCCCUCCUAAACUCCACAAAUCUAAAAAACCCUAACUUCACCAAAUUCACAAAAACUCUAAUCUAACAGUGUCGUCUUAUCAACCCUAACUCUUCCUCAGCCACUCCUCUCUUAUGUUUCUCUUACAGUCCAACACAAUCUCUUACUAUCUAACUCAAUUUUUCCCUCCCAAUCUCGCCUCUUUUCAAUCCCUAACCUUAAAUCUUUCUAUUACAAUCCAACAGAAUCUCACACGGUCGUGAAAUUCUAGCCACUUUUUUGCCUAACACCAAUCUUUGUCAUCGAGAAAAAUGAUUUGAGGUGUUUAAUUUAGCUCCAAGAUCGUGGACGGAUGCCUUGGUCAAAGUUAAAGAGCGUUGUUGGAGGCUGUUUAAAGAAGAAGCAGAAGCACCACUUAGGUGAAGCAUUUGUAGAUAUGGACAUGGUAAUUAAGUAAGGUGAGCAUUAGCUAAAUAAUUAAUAAUUAUUAAAUAUUCUCUACUUAUAUGUGAAUUUAUUAAGAAAUUAAUUUGAUUCUUUUUGUUGAAUUUUAAGUAGGUUUACUAAUUCUUUUAUUUUUAUUCAACUAAUACACGAUUUUGGAAUUCUUUUUUCAGCGUUUUGAUUUGUUGAUAUGUGAAUGGUAAAAGUUGUGUCAGUCAUUCAUAGUUUUUGGAGAUUGGUAUGGUGUCUACAAAGUGUUUGAUGGGAUGCUUGUGAGAAUUGUUGGGUGCAUUUCAAUUAGUUGACAUGGUUAGCAAAUUAUAUGCUAACAGGGUAGUAUAUGUAAAUAAGAAAUGAUGGUAUUCUUUCUUAAACAUAUUAUUUGGUGGUCGGUUGGUAUUAUUCUGUUUGAGUUGCUUAUAGGCAUUCCUUCACAUUCCUGGAUGCGAUUAUGUCUUUAUCAAGUGAACACACCAUUGAAAAUAUUUUUUUGAGACCUUUUGCAAUCCUUUAUUUCUCCAUAGGUAUAUUGUAUUUUUGAUACCUCACACUAAUACUAGCUUUUGAUGUGAAGGCUCGGUGAGCAUUUCGAGCCCUUAAAGGCAUAAUAAGGCUGUAGGCUGUUAUUCGUGGACAUUUAGUGAGAAGACAAGCAACUGCUACUCUCGACGCUAUGCUGGGGCUUGUCAAGUUACAGGCACUUGUUCAUGGUAGAAAGGUCAGACAUUCUAAUAUUGGACUUGAAGUGGGGAAAACUUGCACUCCAUUGAUGCUUUUGGUAAUUUCUUGAGAGCUCAUUUGAUAGGGAUUUAACUGCUCUUCUUUUUAUUUAUUUAUUUAUUUAUUUUAAAAGAACAUAUUCUUUCUGUGAAGGUUAAUCUUUUAAAUAUAUUUCACUGAUCUCGCUGUUAAUGCAUACUGUUGAAUGUGGAGAUAUUGUCGUUUAUUGUUCAAUAGUAAAGGUCUCGCAUGGAGAGGCUUGAUUACUUGUCUUGCUUUGAUUCCAUGAACAAUGCGGAAUACAACAUGUCUUGAACUUCCACCCAAAGCGCAGGUGGGGUACAUUGGUGUCAGAGUGAACUUUUUUUAUGGUUAAGCAUUGAAUGGUUGUCCUUGCAGCAACUGUGUACUUGUACAAAUCAAUAUAUACCCUCUUACUUUUUCAUCUGUUCCAUUCAUUUAGGAUGCAUGCGUCACUUUAUGUAGACAGCCUUCAUCCACAAAUAUACGGAUGGGUUAUUUAUACAUUCCAGACAUUACUAAACUGCCUGAAUUUCUACAUGCCCGGUUCACUUCUAAUUAAUUUCAUUUUUCUUUUAACUGCUCUGUCCUUCAGCAGGGCAAGCCUGUGGAUCCUGUUGAACUUAAUUUGUCUACAUGAUUAUCGAAGCUGUCAGGAAGUUCUUUUUAUCUCUAAGGUAUUCUCGGCAUUAUCAUGCCCAUUUGUCCGAUUAUGAUUUUUCUCUUUAAUGGAUUGAGCUUUAUGUUCAUAUGUCAUAUUAUUUAGGACGAAUGUACAUGGCAGAGCCUGUGGUAUCAAAGACAUUAAGUUCUAAUUUGAAUAUGGCACCCAUUUUAUUUUGUCCGAGGCCUCCAAUUUAACUAAUAACCUGCUGGCAAAUAUGGCAGGAUGUAGUUGCAAUUUUUCUUUUUGAUCUACAACCUUCUUGGUUUUUUUUUUUGAUGUGGGGUAAGUGACUGUUUGUUUUUUGCUUUAGCUUCUUACUUCAUCACCAAUUGUGUUGUCUUUGCAACUGCAAUAUGAUUAUGUGGAGCCAAAUUCGGUCUCAAACGCUGGUCAGCAUUUCACAUCUGGAAACCAGCUCCCCAACCAAAGAAAAUGUCAGACUCAAAAUCUCAGAAGAAGCAUGUUAGUGUUCAAACGCUUGAAGCUGAAACAGACCGACCAAAACGAAGUGUUCGCAGGAACCCUACUGCCAAUGUAGACAGUAUCACAGUGCACUCAACCCCCAAAUUUGAGAGAUCCAAACGAAGUCUGAAGAAAGCUUUAAGCCAUCCAGCAGAUCCAGUGCAUGAAAAUCCACAAAGUGAACUUGAAAAGGUUAAGCGUAGCCUGAGAAAGGUUAAUAAUCCUCUAGUAGAAAAUUCUGCAUUUGUCCAGUCAGAAUUUGAAAUUGAAAAACAAAACCAUAGUUUGGAUAAGUUGCCAACAAGCUCAGUAUGUCAUGAAGGUUUAGAACGAAUCUUGAGAAAUUCAGGUGAGAAGAUGAAGAAAAAGACAACUUUAAAACAAUCCAAACUACCUUAACGUAGAAGCCACGCUAGACCUAGUGGAAAUGAAUGAGAUGUUUGAUGUACCACCCAGUGACCUAGCCGCAGAUGAGUCAAAACCUUGGAUGAAGAGUGGUGCUAAAGACGAGACUAUUCCCAUGACAAAUGGUAAUUUUGAACUAAAGGAGGAUUCAGUAAACAAUGAGAAUAAUAAAUCUAGCAGGAAAGUUGCUGUUCUGACAAAGAAAGAACGUGCAGAGAAUGAGCUACAGAGCAGUCCGUCGCUGCCAAGCUAUAUAGCUGCAACUGAAUCAGCGAAGGCUAAGCUAAGACUACAAGGCUCCUCAAGAUCUAGCGAAGAUGGUGCUGAGAAAAAUAGCGGCAUCGGGCGUCAUUCGCGGUUUUUUCACCUUCAUAUCUAUAAAUUUUUUCACCUUGGCCUUUCCUUUUAAUUUCCCUUUCUAUGAAAUAAACUUUAAUCAGAUUUGAGUUGCCUUAUAAUAUAAACUUUAGUUCUUCUAAAUUUUCUCAUAUUGGCAGUCAAUUUUUUUCGUUUUCCAUGUACUUAUAUGCAGAUUUAAUCAGUGUGUUUGAAGUGUUUCUUCCUCGACUUCACUUGUAUCCAGUCUAUUGAAUAGAGAAGUUGCUGGCGUGAUAACACAACUACACUACUUAUGUUCAAAGAGUGAAAGGCAGUCAUCCUUAUCAAUUUAGCUUCUAAAUUUUCUAUAUGUAGCCGCACCUAGUAGACAUUUGAUUGGAUGGUAGAAAUUCUUAUAUAUUGAAUUUGAAUUAUUUAGUUAUGAGAGUAGGAUAUCUCAUAUUUUUGUUAUUGAAGCUUUGGAAUUUGUAAUAUAUACUAAUAAUAUUUAAAUGUGAAAUGAAAGAUUUUGUGAUAUAAAUCAAUUUCUUUUUGUUAUUUUGUGGUGCCUUUUAAUUUUACCAAUAAAUCAAUAGGCAAUGAUCCAAUUCAAUUUUUUAUUUUUUAAAAAUAAAUUAACUAGUGAUACCAUGGUAACAGUAAUCAUAGACACUAAUAAAAUAUCAAUAACUACUAACACUAUGAUGUCAUAAUAUCAGUGAUACUGUAGUAAUAGUAAUCACUGGCACCACUUACAAGUGUCACUAUUUUUCAGACUCUCAGAUUAUUGAUACAGUUAACAAGUGUCAGUGAAAGUAAUUUCUGACACUAUUCUAAAGUCAGUAAAAACCAUUUUUUUAGUAGUGAAUGUAUGGAUGAGAGCUUAGUAUUGAAUUGUUAAUUUGACUGUUGGAAUCAAUUAGGUGGUUGAUGUAGACAUGGAUGUGUUUGUUAUCAAAUCAAGAAUGUUGAUGGGCAUUUAUUGUGUGAAGCCCCUUGAAAUGAGUCUAUGAAUAUGAUUGAUUAACAUUGUAGGGGGUGGCAUGGUUGUUAUAGAUGAGUCUGUUUAUAGAUUGUGAUCUUAUUGUUGUGCUUUUACACAUAGACUGUAAUUCAAUUCGGUAAAAUCAGACUGGUACAGUUCAUUACAAGGACUCAUUUUAUAAUUUCACUGUAGCAAUGAAGAUAGGGGAGGUCGCAAGCAAAAAUGUAGGGACGUAAACAGCUUCAACGAAGAUAUGGAAGGCAAUCGAACAAUAGAACGUAAUAGCCAUUACGGAUUCAUCAGCUAUUUGUAAGUAUCUUUACUAUCCGAAUAAAUAAAUUUUAAAUAUGAGGAGUGGAUUGGAAAUGACUUGAGUUACUUUCAGUGGUGCAAUUGUGCGUAAAAUAAAGGCAACAGAUGCAAACACAAACAUUACAAGAGAGGUGCGUUAAAUAGGAAUAAAAUUAAGUAUACUGCAACAAGAGAGGCAUGGAAAUAAGGUGUAUGUCCGUGUCUUACUAUUAACUACUUUGCAGGUUCGAACGGAAAUAGCGACGUUAUUUAAAAAUUUACCACCGAAGACGAAAUGGAAGUACAAAGUCCGAGUCGAACGAGCCAUCAAAGGGGAAGCGACUAACAAAUAUUUUACGCGAUGUGCACUAGGCAGAUUGGCAGCAGCCGUUACAAAUCCAUCUGAUGAACAAAGAGCAGCUGUAUGUGAAAUGGGUUUAGGGAGUGUGCUUGAGUUGAAUAGUGGUAGGCUGAAAAGGAAGCUUUGUGGUUGGUUGGUAGAUAGGAUUGAUAUAUGUAGGCGCGUUCUAGUUUUGAAUGGUAAUGAGGUAGAGCUCAGUGCUAAUAGCUUUGGUCAUAUAAUGGGAUUAACAUAUGGGAGCAUGCCUUUACGAUUAGAUGAUGACAUCAAAGAAGUUAAAUAAUAUGUAGAGAUGUUCAGUGCAUCAUCUAGAGGAAUUAACAUCAAGAAAUUGGCAAAAAUGUUGAGUAAUUCAACGGCAGCCGAUGAUAGAUUCAAAGUCACAUUCAUGUUGUUUACUCUAUAUAUUGUUCUAUGUCCCCCUGGUGGAGUACACAUAAGUUGUAAUUUCUUAUUUUCUUUGAAAGAUGUCAACUGUAUCCAGAAGAGGAAUUGGGCCAUAUUUUGUUUUCAUAAAUUUAUUGAAGGCAUUACUAGGUACAAGGAAGAGAAAUUGGCAUACAUAGGAGGAAGUCUUUUGUACUUAGAGGUACUAUCACAUCUUCGAAUGAUAUAAUGUCAAUAUUUUCCUUCACUUUGUUCUGUUGAGUAACCGACUAAUAUUUGCAUUUUUUUUUCUUUGUUUCAGAUGCUUUAUUUUCAUUCUAUCGUGUAUGGAAAAGUAUGAAGAGACAAGUCUAUGUGUCCUCUUGACUUGUGGAACGUAGAUAAGAUAAAGCGGUUGAUGAAAUGGAUAGAGAAUAAAGGUGGUUAUAGUAGCGAUGAGGUAAUCUCAUAACACACUCUAAAAGGAAUUGUAAAUUUAUGGGAUUCUGUGAAAGCAAACAAGAUGCUUGCGAUGAAAAACACGUGCUCUGUGAAUACCGCUUUUCAAUUUGUCCUUACUUUACAUUUAUUAUAGUUGGAUGUUACGUAUAAAUUUGGUUCAUCACUUUACUUAUAACUUAGUACUUGUAAAAUUGUUUUAGCAAAUACGAAUUUGUGCUGCAGCACUAAUAGGGGCGAACUCAAGGUUAGAUGGAUGCAGUAUGCCCGUGGAAGAAGAUUUUAGAGACUCGGAAGUUAGAUAGAUGACAAUAGCACCGAGAAUGACGAAGAUUAAAUGGGUUAGUCAAUUGGAAAAGGUAGUGGCAAUAUCAAGUGGGCUAUCAGGAUCUGUUAGCAAAUUAAAGAUAGAUGGAUCAUGCCGCAAUAACGAUAAGGGGAAGGACCGGAGUGACGCAGCCAAAGGAGAGGGAGUUUCUACCGACUGUGAGAGUAAGCAAUUGUACAACAGUGCAACAAGUGGCAGUAUGUACAGGAAUAAUGAAAUCGAGGAAAAAAAAGUUUGUGAAGAUGCACAACAUAUGGAUUUAAUUGAUGUAGCAGAUUGUGUCAUCGAGACCCAGACAUCCCCAUCAUGUGGUGAAAGCUUGCAUAGUAAUAUAAGGGUUGAGGUUAUCUUUAACUAAUAAAAGUUAAAUAUGAAAUUUGCAUCUUCUUUUUGUUGUUUUUUAUUAACGGGAUGUAAUUUUUGUUUGAUAAUUUUCUAAUUAUUUUGAGGAAAAUAUGUUGCAGGAGCAUGUUGUGAUGCAUAAGUGUUCAGAACCGAAUAAAAGGAAUGAGAAUGUAGUCCAUCCAAAGUCACCACUUAUUCAAAUAUGUGCAGGCAGAACACGUUAUCGGGUUGGACCAUAUCUGAUACGAAGACCUUUAAGUACUAAUGACGAGAUAUUGAUUAACUUCUGCAUGGAUGAAAAUUUGAAUAAAGGGUAACGUAUUAGUUAUGUUGUUGAACUAAUACUGGCAUGCAUAUAAAAAGUUAUUUGAUUGUGUUCGAGCUUCGAAUAAACGAAUUUAAUUGUAGGAAAUCAAUAAUUGUGGCUAAAUUGUCUCGAUGAUAGAAUUUGCAUUCCAGGAAAAUAGUUUUUAAGACGAGCUUCAAUUGCAUCACCAGACAUGAUAUUAUGUCUCUAUCUCCUAAAAGUACAAUCAAUGUGAAGGUACAACCACCUUCUGUCAAGUGUUGUACUUGUAUGAAUAGUAUAUAUUUAUAAUGAUUGCUCUUAGAAUUUACUUUGUUUUAAAGUUUUUGUUAAUUUUUUAUAUGUUGAAUGAAGUCGAUACCUCUUACAUGAAAGUGUUAAUAUUUGCACUUUUCAGAUUGUUUCUGCUGUCUCGGAAUUGUUAUUUACGAAAGCGAUUGAAACGUUGGAAACAGUCAUUUUAGCCUUUUUCUGCCAGCGUAUUCUGCUGUAAGGCGUUUCUGUUAUAUUAUAAUCUUGGAAUUUUAUCCCCUAAGGGACAACUUAACAUAUAAUUUCGUGUGUUCACUGAGUGUGGUGCAUCUGUUUACAUAUGCAUGUCAGUUGAGAAAUUGUGCUUGCAAUUACAUUUACAAGUUUAAACGAAAUUUGGUUUUCAAGUUUGGCAACCCACUAUUUCCAUUGCCUAGAAUUUUUUGUUGGGCUGUGAUAGCGUUGAUGUCCUAGAAAUUGUACAGUUGCAGGAUAACAUCGGUGGAGACCCCGCAGACCUCACUUUUGGUAUUAAACAAUUUAUCAAUGGUGAUUUAUACCUGGCGAAUAUUGGUUCGUGUAAGCAGGUAAGCAUUAUUUACUUAAGCAUUUAGUAAACCUCGUUUUUAGUUAAUUUUGAUGUUAUGUGUCAGUUUAUUUCACCCUGAUUUUGCAAUCAUCAAUAUAUUUUUGUCCCUGUGAACCAUGGUUUUACACACUUGUACUUAUUGGUUAUAUUAAUAUACGAAAUGUGGGUGGAGAUAUGGGAUUCAAUGCCCAGUGCAAUGAAGUCACAAAUGUUUGUUGUUGAAUGCAAACGAGCAGUGAGUUAACAAUCUAGAUGCCAAUGGAUGUGUACUUUCUCCAAAAAAUAAAUAAAUAAAUAAAUGAACCACUGUUGUUGUAAAUAAUCCUCCUCUGUUUUAAAAGGAAAUGUCAUGUGUUUCUAGGAUUAUAAACUGCAAUCUACCUAUUGACUGGUGUUCCUACAACUAAGAUUCAUUGAGAUGGCGUUGCAGUAUUGUGGCUCAAAUUGUUUAUUGGGAAGGUUAAACAUGAGUGAGUUCGUAAUCCAACUUUGUACCAGAAAGGACAGUAUACAUAACGAAUUAGAUUGUGCAAUAUAUGUUAUGUUGAUGAUAGAGAGGUAUAAAAUCUAGUCGUGCCUUUCUGUGGAAGAGGUGCGUCAAUGUUUUAACUAUUCAAUGCUAUAACCCAGGCCGUUCAUAAUAUUUAUAUAUUGGAGCAAUUUUUACCGCCUCCUAAUUAUUGUGUUUGUGCAUUUCAUUCAGAUAAAGUUUGAUUCAGGUAGUGAGAGGGCACGCAUUGUGAUAGAUCUCAUGAGAUACAGUUUCAACUAUUUAAAGGACAAGGUUCGUUUUAAGGCUGAAAAGCAUCGAUGACAUCUUGACCAUGAAGCCCAUUCAAUUUAUGAAGCAAUUGAAAAAAAGCGCUUACUACAGCUUCGGACUGCGAGCCAAAUGGGCCAUGGUCGCCGCCAUUAGCCGGAUUUGCUUUUACGUUCAAUUGUAUAAGUACAUCCAUGCUUUGAAGAAAGAAAAAAAAGUUAGGUUUGACAAUUGUAGUUCUUCAUUUGAAAAGCACAAUCAACCACUCAUAAUCGUGACUGCUAAACAACUCAUGUUUUGUUGCUGGCAUAGAACAAUCAAGUUUCCAUUGUGGAUGCCGCAGUGUCUCACUACUGAAUUUUAUCAUUUAUGAGUUUACAUUGUCGUCAAUUUUUAAUAUGUCUGUCAGCAGCUGUACCUGGAGUAUUAUAUCAGCGAAUGGUGUUAGCUGAAACAACAUCUCCUCUGAACUCUGCAUAUUUUAUGAUACUGAUACUUUGGCCUGGACAAGUUACUAAAAUUUUCAAUUGCCAUGGCCCUGACCCAAAGCUUUUUGUAUUAAUUGAACUCAAGGAUGGAUUGAAGUUACACAAGUUUUGCUUAUUUAUGCUUGGCAUAAGUAUAAACAAUGUUUAUCAACUGCCAUAUUAGUUAACCCCUAACAUAAUCAUGCAACCUCGUCCAAUUUUUUACUUGUCAGUACCUCUUAAAUAUUCUGUUAAUAACAAAAUAAAUGGAUACAGUGGUUGAGAACAUGUUUACAUUACGUCCCUAACCUCUAGAUAUUUUUAGAGUAGUGCCAAUGUUAUUUUACAGAUUCCAAAUAUGGGUGUAGUUAGUUGGUGUAGAUGAUGAGGUCCAAAUAUGGGUGUAGUUAGUUGGUGUAGAUGAUGAGGUUGCAAUGCAGUUCGAUAGACUUGCAAAGGCACUUGUGUUUAGACUGGCUGAAAAUUCACUUGUUGUACUAGCUGAAAAUUCAUGGAACCAUGACUCUGAUGUUCCCCUUAAUGGCCCACCAUUUUCUCUUAUUUGCCUCUGUAAAGGUUGCCUCCCUGGUUCAUUGAUCUGAGACAUUACCUCCAACUUUAAAGUCAAUUGGUGAAUAUCUAUAAUAGCCACAUUGUAUGCGGCCAAACUUGAUCCAGCAAAUCUAAGUAAACUUCAGCAUGCUGCAUAUAUUUGGCCAAUACGAGCCUGCUCUGUCAUGUAAUGUGAUUUAUUAGAACUUAUAUCCAACGAAGUGUGAGCUUUUAUCUUUGCGCCUUUACUCCAUCGAGACAGAAUUAUCGAACUUGGAAUUUCUGUCAUAUUCUGAGCCUUCAACAAAAUAAAUGAAUGCGAGCAUGGAAUUCCAAUUGUCUCUAACAACUUGCAGCUGCACGAUAAGGUUUUGGUGGCCUCAUUUAUCACUACUUUCACCUCUUUUCCAACUAAGCCAAACCGCUCAACUCUGUACGUUGUUGAAAUUAUAUCCCGGUCAACAUUUCUGCAGUUAACAACGCUUCCUUGUCGAUUUCUUCUCGUACGAGGUGAAACAUUGCCCUUGUGAACUUUUCAGCUGCUUACUGCUCAUACAUCUUCAAAUGUGUAACCAAUACAGGACGUCCAUCAAAACUAUGAAAGUCAUCAUUCCCCUCUCCUUCCCUUUGCCGAUCCAUUAGUCGGUCCAUCUGUUUAACAAAUUCUGUCAAUCGGAGCCUUCUAUUCACGUAAUGGUUUAGAUACGCAUUCAUUCCUUCCAACCUCUGAGUGCUUCUCAUUCCCCCAAAAAACUUUCCAUGCAAAUAAGUCUCAGCCUACAUAUGUCUAUCCUUAAACAUAUUUACAACCCAUUCAUUUGUGGCAACAUUAUGCUUAUCCACCAUUAAUUUCCAUUUUUGGUCAAAUUCUUCUUUUGUGUAAGCGUUCAUCAUGCAGCAGCAAAAUUCGGUUGUAAAUUCAGGGUUUUUAACAUUUGUUUGAGCAUUUCAGACCAAAUGCCAGUAACACAACCUGUGAAAAGCUUCUGGAAAUGUCUUCCUUAUUGCAUUUCGCAUUACUUUAUCCCCAUCGGUUACAACUGUCCUCGGAUGCUUGUUGUUCAUUGCUAUCAUUAAUAUCUCUAACAACAACCAUGUGUACGUGUGUUCUGUCUCAUCUGAAAAUAGAGCAAACCCGAAUACAAUUAUUCGCCGAUGGUGAUUUAUCCCCAAAAUAACCACGAGAGGCUUACGAUAUGCAUUGGUCUUGUAAGUUGCAUAGAAUGCAAUAACAUUACCAAAUAAUGCAUAAUCUGUGCAUGAUCCGUCGUCACACCAAAACAAGUCCCCAAGUCGAUUGGAACUAGUGAUUGUGAAGUCAUAAAAGAAUGAUGGAUUCGAGCUUUUUCUUCCAUCGAAAUAUAAUAGGCACGUCUCAGCAUCUGAUUCUUUCAACGAUGCAUGCCUCUUCGUAACCAGCCUAUUUUCAACAUCCCUCAUGCUAUACCCAACCUUGUCGUAACCCCCUGAUCUGUCAACCAUAAACUCGUGUAUUUGAGAUGGCUUCACUCCCACUUUGUGUAAUGAUAAAACAGCCGACAAGUCGGGACCAGUCACUCCUCUGUGGGACCUAAUGUGGUGCACUAGCUCAGGCGGUGUUAAAUUGUGAUUGUGCACUCUAUGAAAAAAACUACAUGCCCAUCGGCGAGUAUAUUCAUUGUAAAUAAGUCGAAAUUGUGCUCUACAUCCUGUCCUUGUCACAGCUUUGGCCUCUCGCCCUCUGCAUCUAUUUUCCAUGUGCUUUGCAGCCCUGAAUCCCUGUCGGCUGCAAAUCCACAUUCUGCCGAUGAUAUUCCCCUUCACAUUUCUCCGUUUAUUGUGUUUCCGAAUGCCGAAGCCAACUGUCCUUGCAUAUUCUUGGUAGCAUAUGCCAACCUAUUCUUCACUUGUGAAUUCUUUUGCUAACAUUUCCAGAAGCGCAUUCUCUACCUCACUACGAUCAUCGGCACACUGCUGUUAGUGAGUAUCAGUCUCCAAGUGACCACUUCCUCCACGGUUGUCACCUUGGAUGUUCAACUGGUGUUCAGUCACGAUUUCUGCCCCUUCACUAUCUGUCUCCGCUCCAUUGUGAGUCAAUGCAUCUGAGCUUUGUUCAUCGUCAGAAGUUAUAUUAAUCUGGUACUGGAAAUCAUCUCCGUCAUAUAAUCUUUUGUCUGAAUCAAUCAUUGUGCUCAUAGGUUCACCAUCAGAUAAUGUCAAAUUUCAAGUGGUUAAGACUUCUUUUUCCUCUGUUAAUAUUUUUUUUGUUGCAAGUUUUUUCUUUUCCUUUCAGUACCUUUUACGAAACUUCUUUCACUAGCGUAGGCGGCACAAAGAAGCUUCAAGUUGGUGCCUCUUCCCGCGUCCAAGAUUUUUUAAAAGUUUUAUGCUUAUUCACUUAGCGCACACCAGCACUUGAGCCCCGUCCCCCGGCCACCAAGACACUUUAUAGAAUUCCCUAACAAAUUAAUAAACUAUACCAGUUUAUUUAGUUGUUAUGUGGCCUAAUAUGACAUAUGUUUGCAUUACUAAUCCAAGGCGUUGUAUAAAGACUUGCUUGCCACUUAUUAAUUGAUGGCAAUUGAUUUAGUAAUUGUUUACGGAUCUUUAAAGCUUCAUCAAGAUAUUGCACAUUGUCACGGCACCAUGUUCAUUUCCCAUGUUGUAACACCAUCCAUUUUUUGUUUCAUCUACUAGAUUUCCAACUCCUUAUAUUCGCUAUAAAACCACAAGUAUGGACACAUUAUAUUUUUGCGUGAGUUACAAAUAUAUUUUACACUCCGUUACUCUUACAAUUCAAGUUGUCAAUAAGUAAAAUUACAUUUUCGCUAUGUUUGACUAUGCAAAACCCGUUUGAGAUCGGUGUAGCAAAUAUCAAUAUUUGCUCGGAAGUUAGAAAGCAACUACCUUUCUGUUUCAGCUAUUAUCAAUCAUAUUACUCCCUCAAAAAGAUAUGGGUCAUAACAUAUAAUUCUGUUUUACCUUAUUGACGACAUGUAUGCGACCAAACGAUCGGUCACCAAAGUUAUAAUAUACAUUAAUUGAUGGUCUCAAAUCAAAACCAGUAUAGAAUAGAACUAUAAGAUAGUGGUCAAUUACCAUCGCAAGCAAUCGACAUUUCAGAGGGGAACGUAAGUAAAACAAACUUUAUGUGCAAUCAUCUAUGGCAUCUGUGUGUUUGUAAUUCUUAUAUACUAAAUAUUCGUAGUUAAGGAAAUGCAAUGCUUAAAUCACUCGUAACACAAUUAAUUGAACUUAUUCAUAUAAUGCAUGGUUGAGCAUGAUAAACAUAUUCAUUGAUGUUUUUUUCCCAGAUAUGGGCAUUUGUGAUGAAAAUCCUAAUGCUAAAACUGUGAACUGCAAAAGAAUAUCAAUUAACCAUAACAAUUCAAUAGCAAAUGGAAGUUAUAAUCACACCAACAAUCUUCGCUCAAAGCAAAGGCUGACUUCAGCCACAAUUUCCCACUAUUCACCCACCAUCCUUUGUUACACUAAAGCAUAACAUAACACACAGAAACAUACCCUCAUAUAUGGAAGAAAAUUUCACUUACGUUCCAACCUCUUCGUAAUCGUUGCAGUUUCCGUUUGAGGGACCUAACUCUUGUUUUCGAGAUGGAUUCCUUAUACCUAACGAUCAUCGUUUCCAACACUUUACUAUGCUCCAACAAGUAUUCCAACAACUAUACUUCCUCUUCAUCUCCUGUUAGCCCCCUAACGUCAAUUCUCUUUACAUGUUUUACCAAACAGUCGGGCACAUUUUCUAUUUGAAGCCAUCCAAAAUCUUCUUCGGUCACUUCAAACCAGCAUUCCUACGAAGGAUAAAAGUAAAAUAUGAUAUCAUAAACCCAUGGCGAAAAUUAAGAAGAAUAGUUGAACGCCAUCAACGAUCACGACACCCUCACCUUGUGUAAGACAAGAGUUUUUAAGAUCGGUGAACUCCUUAGGAUGAUGGGCAUAAUUCGCCAUCCAAAUAGUCCAACCGUCACUUCAAACUCUGUCAAAUUAGGCAAGGAGGGCUUGAAACUCUCGUAACACAAAUCCAGGGCUUGUCAACAUAGAAUAGAACUUUUGGUGUUAGAUUUAUUAAUGAACCGUUAUAUAUUACUAGCGUUUAUCAGCAGUGGCCCUUAUUGUGCCAACUAGAAAUUGUUAACUUUUUUUCCCACUUGGAUAAUAACAGAUACAAACUGCUUUACCCAGCUACAACGAGCAUAUUAUCCUGUCUUAAUGCUUGGUAUCAGAAAGACAGAGAUUGCGAUAUCAAUCAUAUGGUUAUAUCAAUACACAUCAUAGGUCUUGUAGUGCACUAUAUUGGGCAUACUUACAGACACGAUGCCAGCAGAUACAGUCAGAGACUUAGUUGCAGUCACACCCUCUAGAAGCCAUACCACAUGGUUCGGAUCGCCUUGUGCCCAUUCCCUAUACAAAAUUUCCAAUUUAACUUCGUUCACGGAAUGUACACCGUGCAACUUAAACUCUCCCAACACGUCAGCAGUAAUACGGAGACAUUGCAGAUUUGGCGUUGUAAUGAUCACUGUGUAGUCAAUGUAAGUAAAAACAAAAUCCUCUAGUGCUACAGUAAAGGCAAACUUCUUCAGUGUGGACGAUGAAAUGAUGAAGUUUGGUAUGUCCCCGUCAUGUUUCAAAAUAGCCUUAAUACACAGAUCUUCUAUUUACUAAUUUUAUUUCAACCUUAGCAAACCUAGCCAUUCACCUCUUCCCAACCAAGGCAUUUCGAACACCCCAUCUUCAAAAUCCACUACAAAAUCGCAUUCACAGACGUGAAGCCUACAUAUGCAUACCAAACGAAUCUAAGAUUUUAUUUAAAUCAACAUGCAUGCAAUAAUAUCUCGAUAAUCUUCCAGUGCCUGCAAAAAUGCCAGAUUUAUAAUACCAACAAGGCCAACUUCAAUAAUCUAGACAUCAAUAGAAUAUAAUAGCAGAAAUCGACAGUAAUAUUUUUCUUAAAUGCGUCACAGCAAAAUCAAAAUCACGAGCACCAAAAUACACAAAUUCAUUUACAAUUUAAGAAAGAAUCUUUACCCUUCCUUACCUAAUGAAAUUUCGGAUAAUUUCCCUCUCUCGCAAAAGUCAGAUUUGAGAUUCAAAUCUGUAUCACAUCUUAUUCUCGUAUUUAUGUUUCCAUGGACUUCAAGAGCUUCAUUAGACAACCGGUUUAAACGAUUGUUGUUAGUAACUACGUCCGCUCUCCAAAUUUUUAUUUAAACUGUUGGAUUGAACAAACUUAUAUCCAAUGGCUUGACUAAAUAAAGACAAAAAUUAUGGCAUGGUACCACAGUGGCAUCGCAGGCAAGUCCAAAUAACAAAUAUUAAAAUGAUUAUAUUAUUAAACUUUUGGGCUUAAUUGACUAUAUUCAUAUUUGGACGAGAAAGUUAUGCCACGAAUGGAAGAAUUUAAUAUUUUGAGUUGGUACAAAACAAAUGCGCAUAAGUCUCCUAUAUUGGCACGAAUUGUUAGAGAUAUUUUAGCAAUUCCAAUUACAAUUGUUGCUUUUGAAUCAACUUUUAGCAUUAGUGGUCGAGUACCGUAAUAGGCUUCAUUUAAGCACAUUGGAGGCUUUAAUGUGUUGUCAAGGUUGGCUGAGAGCUUACAAUGGUAGUAAAAAUUUAUUUUAUAUUGUAAUUAUGUUAUAUAAUUAUUAAUAUUUUCACUUAUAAGUUACAUUACUUAUAAUUUCCUUUUUUAUUGUAGGAUUAUGAAGAUAAUUAUUAUGGUAAUUUUUAUUUUGUAAUGGAUUAAUGUUAAUAUAAGAUAUAUCAUCAAACUUUAUUUUUAUUUAAUUUUUUUAUUUUAAUAUGGUUAAAUUAAAAUCGAAAACUAAAAAUGUAUUAGUUAUUCGGAUAUCGGGGACUCUCGGGGAUCCUCUAUUAUUAUUCAAGGAGGGGAUGGGGAGGGAACGGGGACAUAUGCAGAAUAUCGGGGAUGGGUAUGAGGAGGUCGGUCUCCUCCCCUUUCCUCCCCAUUGCCAUCCCUACUAGAAAUAUUGCAAUCCAAAACUAAGAAAGUUAAAACCAAUUAUUGGAAGGAAAAAGUAAGAUGGAAGCUCCCAGAAUAUUGUUAUGUGUUGUUUGUUUUUAGUGUGUAUUUCUCAAUCAAUAAUGAAAAAGUAAGUACACAUGUUACAAAAAAUUAAUAAAGAAGAUUGGAGGUGACUAAAUCUUCUAAUUAACUUUCUCUCCUUUGGAAUUUCCUUAAUUUGGUAGAGAUCGCUUAAGUGGUGUAUCUAUUAUAAAUACUCCGAUGUGGAAGUUAAUGUUUUAAUUGUUAAGAAAAGUUAGAAGAAGAAAUUUUUGUACAAAAGAAUCUGGUUUAAAUUUGGAAUUCUUUAGCUGGAAAUGAGUCUAAAUUCUAACGAUACAAUUUAGCACUAAAUAUUAGUUGGGUGAAAAAUUAAUUUCGCUCCUUUGAUGUGAUUUUGGUCGUUUAUUUUCAAAUUAGGGUAAUUUUUUGUUUAGAGUGUAGCUAUUGGCUCCCCGUCAUUAUGCUUAUAUAAUCCUACUUCAAAUAAAAUUACACUUAAGAACAAUAGAAUUAAAUAAAUAUAGUUUUUUUUUCAAAACAAAUUACUUACAUUCGUAAUCAUUUUCUUUUAAUUUUUUACAUGUUGCUUCAUAUCUAACUAAAAUAAUUGUACAAAUUUAAAAAAAUCUUUAUUCAUUCCAAAUUUCUUAUUGAUUAAAUAUUUUUGUACUUAGGAUUGCUUUAAAAUUAUAAUGUAAAAAAAUUUAAUUUAAUCUAGUGAUUAAAAUUUAUCACCUAAAAACAUUUUUAAUUUAUGUGUAGGAAAAUAAUAAGAUUGCAAAAGACAAGAAAAAUAGUACAACACUACUAUGAGUUUUAAAAAUAAAAAAAUCAAAUGAAAAAUUAGAAGUGUAUUAAACAAAAAGAAUAUUUUUAGAAAUAAAAUAAAUGUACUUAAAAAAAAAAAGAGAUUUCAUGAUGAUAUUAGAUGGGUACCAAUAGUCAAAUUCUUUUGUUUAAAGUUUUAAGAUGUUGGUAUUUGUAACUUAGCCUAUCCCUAAUUAUUCUAUUAAAAUGUAUAAACAACGAUGAUCAACCCUAAUUUCAUGGAGGUCAAAGAUUUUGGUCACGCUCGCGUGAAUUACUUGGGACGUACUUUAUGUAAAUUUAUUUACAUUAAAUAAUUGGGCCAACGCUAUAUGAGGCGCCGCCUGGAGGCAUAGAAUUUUAUAUGUCAAAAGUGCGUUUCGCUUCAAUUAAGCCAUGAAUGUCGCUUAGUAUACUCAUUUUGUAUUAAAAAAGUUUUAUUAAUUUUUUAUUUAUAAAAAUGUGGUUUAUUUAUUUAUUUUUAAAUUUUUUUAAAGAUAAAGGGAUGGGCAAAAUACAAAUUCAAUUUUUAUCCCUUACAUUCUGUCUCCUAAGAUUUAAACUUAGGUUACCAACCAAAUGCGUAAUAAUAGGUAUCUCAAAUUUCAUUUCAAAUGAUAUGUAAUUAAUUAAGUGACUGUUAAUUCUUUACAAGAUCUAAACAAAUUACUUAUAUUAUCUUAUCAACCAAUUGAUAAAUGUCACGUUAUAAAAGGUCUUUGGAAGAAAAUUCUACUCAGCAAAUAUUGCCCUUCAAUGUGUUAUAUGUAUUAUUUACUCCAAACUUACUCGUCAAAACAAUAAAUAAUAUUAUUGCCAAAAUUACUUGUAAUAUCACUUAAAUGCAACAAUAAAUCAUAAAUGAGAUAAAUCACUAAACCCUUCAAUAGAAUAUUUUAAAGCCAAAAAAAGGCAUCGAUUCAUUAUGGUUCAGAUGAUUUCAAGCCAUAUGUCCUUGUUGGGAUAAAAAUAAAGUAAAAUGGUUAAAACUAUUUUUACGUAAUUUAUAAAAAUUAAUGAAGCAAUUAAAAUUUUUUUAACUCGAAAAAAAAUUAAAAUGUGUAUGGAAAAAAGAAAAAAGAAGACACUUAAAUAUCUUUUUAAAGAACAUGAUUAAGUAAAAUCAUUUUAAAGAAUGGUCUUCCAAAUGCAAUUCCACAUUUUUUUAAUUGCAUUGGGAUAUUGCAAAAUUGGCACAACUCAUUAAGAAUUCGCAGUUCAAUUUUUAUUUAUCUCUCUAUGCAUUUGACAAAUUAAAAAAAAAUCCAUAUAUCUUCUAUUCAAAAGAAACCUUGUUAAAUACUGUAAAACACAUUACUAAUUUUUUUUUUCAUUUAUGUCAUUAUAUCGUCACUAUUUUCUCGCCCACUUUCUGAAAAUAGAAUCAAUAUUUGUUGAUGGGUUAGGUUCCAAAGUAAGCACCAAUUCAAGAAAAUGGUUUUAUAGCAGAAAAAGCACUUGUAAGACAUUCAAAGCACUUUUUUCCAUUUUGUCUUUUGAAAAUGAGUCUGGAGUCUCCGCAAGCCAACAAGAAUGGCUAACAAAUGUAUGGUACCAAAGAAAGAGAAACACACACACACACAGAGAUUAUUGUUGAGAUGUAUAUGUGUGUAUAAUAUAUUAAUAUGUAUAUAUAUCCCCAUUAAUUGUUGAUAGUCCAAUGGGUAAAAGGAAAAAAUUGGCCGUCCUUUAAGACAAAAUUCAUUGUCAUAUGAAAAUGUUAACCACACAACAAAAAUAAAGAUUCCAAGAACAAAUUUGUGGUCCCCUUUUUGUCCAAACUUACAUGAUAGAAAUUAAUGUUUAAAUGACAGUUGAAAAAUGUAGAUCCUCACGCAAUUGAUUAAAUAUUUAUAGUAGGAUGGAGUGAUAAAUAGUUUCUCAAAAUUAUUGGAAUUAACUAUUUAAUACAUGAGAUUUAUCUCAUUAAGGAUAAAAGAUUAAGAUGCUACUUCAAAAGCAUAACGUUGCCAACAAUAAAUUUAACACAAAAGUUUAAUUAACUUUCUUAGUUGAGAUAAUAAAAUUUCGUGUUGAAAAUAAAAGGUUUGAGGUUCGAACCUUGUCAUUCAAGAAAAUCAAGUCAAAAUUAUUACAUCUUCCAGCACAUACCAAAGAUUUUUUUCAAAGGCAGACUGAUAAUUCAGGAUUAAAAAAAAACAAAAGGAAUAUAUGCUAUUCAAGACAGGUAUACCUUGAUUCUCAAAAAAAAAAAGACAGGUAUACCUUGGACAUGAAGUCUGAGUCCAGAACAAGAAGCACCUAGCUGAUCUUUCAAUUUCCAAAACCGAACGAAAUCUUUGUCAAAAUAUCUGAUCUAGUCUCAUAUUAAGCACAUUCACAGCCGUAUCAACAGGGUCAAAAUAUUUUCCCCAAAAAGAGACACAGAUUCCCCUGAAGUUGAGUUGUGACUGUCCAAACUGCUAUAAUUAUAUGGUUCAGGAUACCAUGCCUGUGAAUCCUUUUUUUUUUUUUCAUGUUUCUAAGUCUAUCAAAUGAAAAUGUAAUUAUAUGGUUCAGGUUACCAGUAUGCCAGAGAUGCAAAGGUUGACUUCCACUAUCCUAUCAGGGCCUAUACUUUCUAUUGAAUUUCCUUUUUUUUUUUUAAAUUGCAAGAUUUAUUUUUGGAAAUCUUUGACAUUGAUUCUCAGUAGCAACUUUUUUUUUUCUUUUUUCUUCUUUUAAAAAAAGGAAGCCAUAUAGAUAAUGCUUUAAACAUUAUUUGCAACAAGGAACGAUUAUUUCAUGCUUUCAGGUAUUACAAGCUUUCCAGAAAUGCUAGCAAGAAAAUAUGAAGGAACUUUACCUAGUCACAGAAUAUGUACUGCCUUUAGCACAAUUGUUAUGAAGUGGCUUCUGCAUCAGAAGAUUCUAGCUCCCACCAAGCAUCCUUAUCUUCCUUCUGGAUACAGUCUGCAUCGCUGGGCAUGAAUUAUAUGAUUGAUGUCUGCAUCCUCACUUACAUCAUCCCAAUCAAGCGCUUUUUCUCUACCUCUGAAUUAUAAGCCCACUUCAAUCUCUUCAAAACAUCCUGGUCAUUCCAUCACAGCUGAUACGUCUUCCUUCCUUGCUUCCCCAUUAAUGAAUCCCUCUAAGAAAAAAAAAACAUCAGCAAUUCUCUUCAACGUCCCAUCAUUCAUAUACCCUGCAACACCCGUCUUUAGACACCUCAACGUCGCCUCCUGCAAAACCUCCACAAAAUCUGAAUCAUCCGACACAAACACCAAACACCCAAACCUUCUUUUGUCCAUCAUAUCCACCAUAUAAUUCCUCAACAAAACAUCGGCAGCUUGUAGCUUAUCUGACAUUGUCCUGACCCAAAACCACACUCUUUUCAACUUUACUACCAAACUAUAACCCACUUUUGGAGUCAAAGUUGCCUUUGAAGCCAUUUUAUAUGUUUCCAUCCUCAUUGAAUAGUUGCCAACCAAAUGCUCUCUCAUCUUCCCUUUGGCUGAUUCUAUUUGAUUUAACCUCUUCUUUUGUUCACGCUUAUGAAUUUGCUUAAAAUGAUUAACAAGCUUGUCAUUAUUAUAAAGUCUCAAGUCUCCUUCCACAAUCACCAAUACAUAUGGCUCAGCAGGCCUAAUUACACCCUUGAUUUCCAAUUGGUUAAACAAUUCUUUAAUUUUCUUCUCUUUGCUCUCUUGCAACUCGAGGCACAUAACUAAACGCUAGGCUAUUAGCAUGUGCCACCAUGUACUUAACAACCCUAAAUGACGAUAUUGAUUUUUUUCAAUUUAAUGGUCGCUUCACAAUGGGGUAUUAAUUUAGAUUUUGUUAUCCAAAUAUCAAAGAAUUCCUACAUUGUGUUGGACAGUUUCUGGUUCUAAAGUUGAUGACCGGUCUUGCCAAUUAGGCUCUGAAUGAGAACUUCUAAACAAUAAGACAAAUGGUUCUGGGUUUCUAAUCUUGUAAACUUUGUUCUACUGUAUAACUUAUGAAAUUGCUGAAACAUCACUAUAGCUACAGGCCUUUAUGUGUCAAUGAACUACAGAAGCUAAUGAUCUACCUGUAGUAGACUUCUAUUAUCCCUGCCGUUCCAGGAAGACAAAUAAGUUGAGGAACUACUUCUGGACCAAUAUUGCCACUGCUUUGGGCCAAUCUGAGAGGGAAAGAAGGUUGAAGUUCCUAAAUUAGGUACAUCAUGAUUUGAUAGAAGUACCACUUCGAGGAACAAUUGAUUUCAGGGCAGUGCUAAAAUAUGACAUAAUCUCCCCCCAAAGGCCUAAAGCAACUUCUCUUAGCGUAUCAAGAAAUGACAUCAACCAAGCAAAAAUAUAUAAACCAGUUGAGAUACAAAGUUAUCAUAAAAUUCAAUUUUGAUCACAAAUCCAUUAAAAUUGUUGAGAUACAAAGUAAUAAGAAAUGGAACAAAGGUGUAAAUCGAACACCAAAAGAAAUUUAUUUGGCCAGCCACAUUAUGUUCCCACACAGUCAACUAAUUAAGUUAAUAAUUAAAGGGAAUCAAAAUCUAAGAAAUCCCAUCUUCAAGCAGGAUGAAGACACACUAGGACCGAGAAUCACAAAAUCAUAACAAGCUGACUUGAAAAGCUCAAAGGUACCUUCAUCAGCCCCUUAACUAAUAUCUGAGAACAAAUGCCUGCAGCUUGUGAAGGCAUAGAUCAUUCAAGCAGAUAAAACAACAAGCAACUAGUCGCAUAUGUACUCAGCAACUUUCUAAAGUUAAGGCAUAAAACAACAACAUAGAACAAAUUAAUUAAAUGUACCAACACUACUACUCUCAUUAUUAUCCAAAUGUAGAAGUCCAAUGCAUCAAACAAGGAAAAUGAGAUACUGUUAAUAACUCAAAAACCAUGAUGGUCAAGAACUAAACAAUAGUAAACUAACAAGUAAAACCCGUAAUCAAACACAACCACAUCAAAAUUUUUGAAAAUUGAGGUCUAAACAUUGAAAACAAUUAGGCAUAUACAAUAGUUAAUCAAAACAAACCCUCAAAACAAUAAUGAACUGUCAUAAGACAGAAACUAAAGUUUAAACUAACGCAUACCCUGUAACAGUGGUCAACUAACAAGUCAAAACCACAAUCAAACAUAGAAUUUUGAAAUCCAUACGAACCCUAACAUAUUACAAUGAAAGGAUAAGGAUAACUACUUGAUAAACUAGACUCCAACAAAAACAUACCUAGUUAAAAAAUGAAGGUAAAUAAAUAAAAAUUGUAUAAAAUUGCGAAAAAAUAGACAAAAUGAUGAGAAAACAGGGAUCUUAUGAAGAGAAAGGUAGACAAAAUCUUCAGGUGUCGAGAAGAUGCCUUUCUUUGUUGACUUUUGUGCCUGUACAUACUUUUUUUUUUUCUUUGAAGAAAAUACUAGUUAUAUAUUAUCAGGACGAAAUAUUACAAGAUGCUAGCAAUUUCAACAGGGACAAUCUUCAAUCCAAAUGUACCCCUAUGAAAAAGAAAAAGCCAACUUGGCUAAUUUGUGAGCCACCACAUCACAAUAUCUAGGUACAUGUUUAACUAUAUAAAUCAGAAGCUCUAUUAAUCAUAAGUCCCUUGACCUCCAAUACUAGCCAACUAAUCUCUUUCCUGCUAGACAAGCUUCCAUCAAUCAGACUAACAAUAUUUACUGAAUCAUAUUCUAAAAUUAAUGGAGUUAGACCCACUUCAAUUGUAAGCUUAAUCUCCUUUAAAAGCGCUUCCGCUUUUGCAAAUUCCACAUCAUUAGAAAAAGACCUUACAUUGAUUGACGCCACCGUGAAUAUGCACGUAUCAAGGAAUUUUUAAAAGCCCAAUGAUGAUUUUUUAAAAAUAUGUCAUCACAUGUGCAUUCUUUUAAUGUAUUGUUAAGAUUAAUCUUUGCUUAAAAAAAUCAUAAAUAAUCAUGAAUUUUUAUUAAUGGUCUUUACCAAAUGCAUGCACAGAAGCAAAUUAUGUUCUCGUUGCAAAGUAGUCAUUUAUUCACCAUAAAUAUUAACGUCACACUUUUAGGAUGCUCAAUAUAUGCAUAAUAUUGGGUAAUUUUUAAAGACCUUCCCUGAGGUUUGGGUAUUGACACUUAAAUAGAAAGUAUGUUUUGUAAUUACAUAAACCUCCCUUGCCGUUUCUAUUUCCAUCCAAUGACGGUAAGUAGAUCAAUGAAAUGACCAAAAUACCCCUAAGGCCAAAAAGAAAUUCUUAUAGCAACUAGUAGGUCACUGUUUGUUAAUUGGAUGAAAUAUGUAUUGCUCGCAGCACACUGAUGAAAUGAUGAAAAUAACUAUGAUAACCAAAUAUUUGACAUUGCAUACUCAUUAACUAAAAAAUAAUAAUAAAAUAUUGCUGAAAAAUUUUAACAAUUUCUAAACUUCAAUUAAGAAAAUCAUAUUUGCUUCAAGCAAUUCAAAAAUAAAAAUGCCAUUUUUAUCACACAACCCUCGAUUAGUAACAUUUUUUUUUAUAGUCCCAUUGAGAUUAUAAAAUCAACAGAACAUUCAAGAAGAAAAUAUACAUAUUUUAUGGUUGAAACUACAAACACAAAAAUAUACCAGGUGAAAAAAAAUUUGAUUUCAAAACCAAUCAAAGAGCUUCUUGGUCUUAGUAGUGCUCCUAGUUGCACAAUAUUUUGCAGCCAGUUCCUUUGCCUUAAGAAAUUCUUGUCCAUCUAGUUUCAAUCAUUGCCCUUUUCUCUUUCUACUUCAUUGUUAAGUAAGAAUGUAAGAUCUAUCUUAUUUUUUCGUUUUUCAAAGUAUAAUUCUACCUUCUUCCUCUCUAAUCAUUCCUGUCAAUUAUUGAAUAUGCUGAAGAUGAAUCGAAUUAUUUAUUAAAUAUGUGACAUUAGCAGAGAGCACACUAAAAUGCCAAAACCUAAAGGACUUGUGGUUGUGGGGGAUUUUUUUUCAAAGAAAAUAAGCAACUGAAAUUGACUUAUAUUAUGGGCAAAACAAGAGAGUUGAAUAUGCAUUAACACAUAAAUAAGUAUUGCAUUUGAGGAUGAUGAAGAGCUUCAUAAUGUUGUUUCUAUGCAAAAUUUAUUUUGAUUAAACAUAUCAUAGCUAAGCCUGUAUUUCAUUUUUAAUCAUUUCAUAACAAGAUGAAAUCCUAAGCAAUUACUUGAAAGAACAAUAAUCAAUAGUUUUUUAAAUGAGAAAGAAGACUCAAAAUUUAUGACAUUUAGAGUAAACACGAGCUACAUACAAAAAGUCACAAUAUGUAGGUAUUCACAACCAGUGAACACUAAUCAAGUUAUAGUUAGAUACACAAGUGAAACGUUAUAUGAAAAAGUAACAUUUGAAACCCAUUUAAAUUGUAUUUGCGAUUAAACCCAUCUAAAUCUUAAAUUGUAAUCACAAUAUAAUCCUAAAAAUUAUUUUAAUUUUAAAAAAAAUCUCAAUUUUUUUUCAUUUCAAUUUUAUUAUAAAUGGAAUUGAAUUUGCGAUUUACAAAGCUAAAACCCAUUUUUGUUUAACAUAAAAAUCACAGAAAAACAACUAAUUUCUAAUAUGCAAUGGUUGUUUGGCUAGUACGAGUCAAAGUUGAAUACAUGUAGUAGCUUUUUCAACAAAUCAAAGACAACAUUAAAUCUAUUUUUAAAACACAGCAUCAAAUCAACCAAACGGCUCUAACUUUAACAUGGAUUGAGUUAUUUGAAAUUUUCACCUACUACGAGGUUUAAUCAUUGUCACGUUCCUCAUCGAUCACAGGCAAUGGUCACUCAAUGGCACCAUUGUUCAUCACUUUAUUGUUCAUCACUCUUCUUCAAAACCGAGGCUUCUUCAGACUUGAGCUUCAUUUGGCGAGGUCAGAGCAUAAAGAGAAGAAUUUAUGUUUGAGAUUGUUAAUUAACGAUCAAACCCCGCUGUUGUCACUUUAUUGUUCAUCACUCUUCUUCAAAACCGACGCUUCUUCAGAUUUGAGCUUCAUUUAUUGAGGUCAGAAGCAUAAAAAGAAGAAUUGAUGUUUGAGAUUGUUAAUUAACGGUCAACUCGGUCACUUUAUUGUUCAUCACUCUUCUUCAAAACCGACAUUUCUUCAUAUUUGAGCUUCAUUUGGUGAGGUCAGAAGCAUAAAGAGAAGAAUUUAUGUUUGAGAUUAUUAAUUAACGGUCAACUCGGUCAUGAGGUUGCUUUUGAUUUUUUUAUUUAAAUAACUUUUUAUGAAAUUACCCUCGUACAUUGACAAGAUACCAAAUGAAAUACAAACGGCAUGGGAGGUCUAUAUAAUUAUGGUCACACUCUAUCUAAGUGUCAAUACGCCAAACCUCAGGGAGGUCCCUAAAAAUUACCCAUUUAAUAUUACAUCUACACCACUAUCUCUCUUUCCACCAAUACUAUCUUUGUUUCCAAGUUGUUAAUUAUUGCUUUAUUAGGUAUGCCUCUAGUUAAACAUUAUUAAUAUCGAUUUUCAUUUGUUUUGAAUGAAUUCAACCAUAUAUAAAGAGUAAGGUCGUUGUUCAAGUACACAUUCACCAAACUUUUCCUUGGAAUUAAGCCAUAUAAAUAAUGCUUUAAACUUUGUUUGCUACAAGGAUGUUUUGCUCACAUAAUAUGGUCAUGCAAGAAAGAAAUAAUAUUGAUACAUCCUAAAAAUAACACGCAUUCUCCUAUUGUAAACCAAACAAUUUAAGCUAAUGGUGCCAAGUGAAGGAAUUGUAAUUUCAUGUACAUUUUGUUAACACGAAAAUAGAGAACUUUAUUAUAGUUUAUAUUGUUUGACACAACAUUUGGGUAGCAAAAUAAGGGUACAAAAUAGACACAUGAAGUGACAAACUAAGCUUAUUAUAAUAAAUAUUUAAUGAUAAGGUAUAAAUUUAAUCGCAAAUACAUAAGUAACGCACAAAGUCACUAAUUGAUAUCAUCCACGAUGCAAGUUCAAACAACUGCAUAAUAAGUUGCCUCAUGCUAAAUUAUUAUUUGGUAAUUAUUCCAGUCGAUAUGGGAUAAUUUUCCUAUCGCCAUCUAUUACGUGUAAGCUGAAUUUUUGCUUGGUCCUUGCACGUGGUAAGGUAAUAUGAAUCCACCUGUGCAUAAGUUUGGACCAAACUCAUACUUAAAAGUUAUCUCAAAAUUUGAGGGUUGCCUCAAGCUAGUAUUAUUAUCAGCCGGUAAGCAUUUUCUAUUGAUAUGUGAUAUUUUCCCUACUUUGAUUAAUCUUUAUGCCUACAUCUCCUCAUUUAUCCCAAAAUAUAACUUUAACAAAAGUUCCAAAAUUUCCCUGAAGAGAUAAUUUCGUCUCAAAUAAGAUAUAAACUAAGGAAAUGAUUCCUAUUUUUAGGAAAUAUUCAUUUGAGAGUUCGAUUAUGUAUCUCAUUUAUGACUUAUCUUUGUAUUUAUAUCAUAUUACAAGUGAUUUGUGCAAUAACAUUGUGAAUUGAUGAGCAAAUUCAGAGAAAAUAAUAUAUGUGCUAAAGUAACGUUUAUUAUUGUGUUUAUUUGUGAAGCUAUUUAAAGCAAAAAAAAAAAAAAAAAGCACCAGUCCGCUAUGAUUUCAAAUAAUUUCAAGCCAUGUGUCAUUAUUGGUAAAAAAAAAAGUAAAAUGGUUAAAAUUAUUUUUAUUUAACUGAUAAACCUAGGAAAUUAUCAACUGUCCACCCUUAAAUUGCCCUGUUAUAAAAAUUAUUACAACAUUUUCAAGUUGUAACAUUCAUCUACCAUAAAUUUACAAUCUAUAUUAUUCAUCCACCAAAUCAUUAGGUUCAUUAAAAAGUGCUGAUGUCACAAGGAUAAUUUAGACAUUUAACACACUAAAAAAAUAAAAUAGAAAUUAUCUAAGCUUAUCAUGUUAUCAAAAUUGCUACAAAAUUUUAAAUUUGUUCAAUUUUCCAAUCUAAGUUUAUAAUUGUAUCAACUGUCCACCAAAACGUUAACUACAGUAUGUAAUUAAUGACUUUACAAGGGUAAUUUAGACAUUCAAUAUGCUAAAUACAAAAUAAAAUAAUGGCUUAAAACAUAAAAACAAAAACUAUUUUUUAUAAUCAAUAUUCAGUUAAAUAUACAUAAACUCCAUUUUUUUAAUUAAAAUUAUUCUAAUUUGUUUUCUCAAUUUAUCUUUACAAAUUACCCUAAACCGUAAUUCAUAAAUACCCAAUCAAUCUAAUCAUUUAAUUUGAUUUCAUAAUUAAAAAAAGCCAAAUUUUAUUUUAUUAGGUAUGGUACAAAUAAAAAAAUGCCCUUGAAUCAAGGGUAAAAAUGGUUUUAUUUAAAUUCUAUAAAUUAUUCUAACAAUGUUAACCUUAAUCUAAAUUUUACUUUAUUAGUUAUGGUACAAAGUCAAAAAUACACUUGAAUCAAGGGUAAAAAUGAUAUUUUAUUUAAAUUCUAUAAAUUAUUCUAACAAUGUUAACAUUUUGGUGAAUGGUUGAUAUAGAUUACAAACUUAGAAUAGAAAAUCAAAUAAAUUCAAAUUUUCGAACUAUUUCCGAUAUCAGGGCAAACUUACAAUAUAUGGUUGAUAAUUUUCCUAUGUCUUUUUAUGUUAAAUUGAGUUUCAAAGGGAGAAUGGACAAUUUAUUAUAAUUCUGUUAAUUCUUUAAUGGAGGCAAACAAUAUAAUGGAGGAAUGAUAUUUUAUAAUCUAUAUCAUUGUAGUAUUUAAAGUAUUGUAGUAUUUUUAAUAAUAAACAAUUUAAGAAUUGGACAGGUGAUAAUUUAAGCAUUAAUGAAGCAACUACAAUUUUUUUUUAACACAGAAUAAUAAUUGAAAUGCUUUGAGAAAAAUAAAGGAAAUUAGGUAUCUUUUUAAAAAAGCAUAAUUGAGUAAAAUCAUUUUACAAAAUGCUCUUUCAAAUGCACAUUCCACAAGCCAAGGAGAAUCAGCGGCUAACAGAAGGUACGGGUACCAGAGAGUGAGAAACACCCAUUUAUAGCCAACCCAUUUAUGAGCUUAUAAUCUCACUUCACAAAAUCCAACAAUAACCAACACUCUCACACACUGAAAAGUAAAAUUUUGCUGUCACGACAUUACACACCUUCUUUGCCAGCUAGAAAGCUAAAACAUUUUGAAGUUCCUCAAUACAAAAUGCAUACUACUACUAAAUUGGCCCAAUUAGUGGCCAUCGAAAAGGCCAUCAAUUUAGCCACCAAAUUUGCCAAAGCUUUAACAACUGAAGAAACAAUUAACGCAAAAGGAACAGGUAAAUUUUGAAGUUGAACAAACCUUGAGAUAUAUACAACAAAGCCUUCAAACUUUAGUCUUCACAAUUUAAGCACGCAAUAAUAUUAAGCUUCUACCUGGAAAACAAGUAUAGAACAAAGCUUGUCAGCUUCUUGGGCAAUAACUAUGAAUGAUGAGUAAAAUUAAAAAAGCAAACAGAGAAAAUUAUAACAAGAAGAAAAGCAAAUAUUAAAAAAAAAAUUAGAAGGAAAAUUUUGGUAGAACUCCAUGGCUCAUCUGUGAAACUAAUGUCAAUAUGUAUUUGUAUGUAAAGAGGGUCUCUUGAUUUUAGGAUGAAUAAAUUAGCUAUCACAAACGAAAACAUGAACCAACUGUAUAUAGAGUCAAUUAAUUAAAGUUCUCAAGAACUUACCUCUGCUCCAGAAUUCUCGGAAUCAUCCAUCUCCUUCUGAAUUUUCAGGAAGCUUGGGACAAUUAUGAACAGCAACUUCAUAUGAUGCAGAUGGAAAUGGGAUCUGAUAACCCGCAGGCCAAAAGCUGGUGAGGUUUGGUAAGUCUUCCAGUCUCAAGUCCCAAAGUUCAUUCAUAACAAUUUCAUUGUAAUCCACGACGUCUGCUCCAUCUUUAUGCAGAAUACUUCUUCUAAUUCAUUAUUUUUUUCUAUCCAUAGACGAAUUAGUUUUUGAAGACUUGGAGCUACGUUGAUAUGAAAUAGAUGCUUUAGUUUGGGCAAUCAUGGACAGAGAUAUAAUUGAGUUUUGGGAAACAUACAGGUUGGAGAUGAUCCUCAUCCUCAUCCUCAUCCUCAUCAAUGAUUUGCUCUAAUUCCCAGCAACUCCAAAUAUGUAACUCCUUCAGUUGCAACAGAUUUCGAGCAAGUGUUGAUGACAGGAGACGUCUCAGCAUAGUGCACCCCUCUACAGUUAAUUCGGUAAGAAGUCUUCACAAUUUAAGCACGCAAUAAUAUUAAGCUUCUACCUGGAAAACAAGUAUAGAACAAAGCUUGUCAGCUUCUUGGGCAAUAACUAUGAAUGAUGAGUAAAAUUAAAAAAGCAAACAGAGAAAAUUAUAACAAGAAGAAAAGCAAAUAUUAAAAAAAAAAUUAGAAGGAAAAUUUUGGUAGAACUCCAUGGCUCAUCUGUGAAACUAAUGUCAAUAUGUAUUUGUAUGUAAAGAGGGUCUCUUGAUUUUAGGAUGAAUAAAUUAGCUAUCACAAACGAAAACAUGAACCAACUGUAUAUAGAGUCAAUUAAUUAAAAGUUCUCAAGAACUUACCUCUGCUCCCGAAUUCUCGGAAUCAUCCAUCUCCUUCUGAAUUUUCAGGAAGCUUGGGACAAUUAUGAACAGCAACUUCAUAUGAUGCAGAUGGAAAUGGGAUCUGAUAACCGCAGGCCAAAAGCUGGUGAGGUUUGGUAAGUCUUCCAGUCUCAAGUCCCAAAGUUCAUUCAUAACAAUUUCAUUGUAAUCCACGACGUCUGCUCCAUCUUUAUGCCAGAAUACUUCUUCUAAUUCAUUAUUUUUUUUCUAUCCAUAGACGAAUUAGUUUUUGAAGACUUGGAGCUACGUUGAUAUGAAAUAGAUGCUUUAGUUUGGGGCAAUCAUGGACAGAGAUAUAAUUGAGUUUUGGGAAACAUACAGGUUGGAGAUGAUCCUCAUCCUCAUCCUCAUCCUCAUCAAUGAUUUGCUCUAAUUCCCAGCAACUCCAAAUAUGUAACUCCUUCAGUUGCAACAGAUUUCGAGCAAGUGUUGAUGACAGGAGACGUCUCAGCAUAGUGCACCCCUCUACAGUUAAUUCGGUAAGAUUUUGCGGGCUAAAAUUAUGCGUGGGACCUUCAUGAUAUAAUACUUGCAGUUCUCGAAGAUUUUUCAAGUACAACCUCUUCAAACAUGGGAAUAGUUUGUUUCUUGUCCCUCAGCGAUAAUAGCUUCCAAUUGAAAUACCACCCAUACUCCAACCUGGCUAAUACCCAAUUUUUCCAAAUUUUUUAAGUCGUGCUUCAACAGAGCGUGAAUUGCGUCAUGCAAAUGGGAGCAUUCGUAUAUUUUUAGAAUUCGUAAUUUCUGAGACAAACAAUAAAUAACUUGAUGUAAUUAAAAUCUAUUAGCAGUUAAGAUUAUCACAUGAUAAGUGAUGAACACCGCAAAAAACGAAAACAGAAACAAAUCCAUACAAAAAUAUAAUAAUACAUAUGUAAACAAUAAAAUAAUUAAAAAAGUAAUGGAUUUAAAAAAAAAAUGAAAUUAGUUAAAAGAGAUCAUGUGAAGUGAUGUAAAGGUGACAUUAGAUUGUUUGAGAAAAAUUAGUAUUCUAUUAAUUUCUAUGGAUUGAUCAACUAAUUAAUUGAAUUUGAGUAAUUUAUAUACACUUCAGAAGUGUUUGCAUCAAUUCUUUCUAAAUCAAAAUGAGAUAUGACUUUUAUUUGAAGAAUGAUUUUAGGCCCUAAAAUAAAGAAAUUUCCCUAAGAUAUUUGAGCAUUAUUAUUAUCAUCAACAUCCACCACCAUCAUCAUCUCCAUAGGACUUGAAUAAUUAAUGGCUGAUCAUAAAAUUUAUUGCUAAAUUAUCAUUUUGAGUAAAAUUGAGGGAAAAGAAAAAACAUAAACACAAACGAACAUACCUCUCCAAGAUACUGCAAAUUGGCUUCAAGUUCAGUACUGUUGACAGUCAAGUUGGGACAGAUGCUUAGGUAUAACUCUUCCAAUGUUGGCCAAGUUGAACAAUAAUUUUCUGAACAGAAGCUCAUGAGUUCUGAGAGAUCAUCAAGUGAUAAUUCUCUCAACAAAGGAGGGCGAGCAUCAUAUUUCCAUCUUCGACACUUAUUUCCCCUUCAUUGUGAUCAGACUUUGCUUCGACAAUACAUUCCAGUCUCUCGCAUUCCCUCACAUAGAGACUUGUAAGCUGCUUCAAACUUCGAGCUUGUGACAACGUGAAGAUAUAUGUCAAAUUGUUGCACCUAUACACAUUCAAUUCUGUAAGAGUUUGGAGAUUGAUCACAUGUUGGGCCGGUGCCUUCCAUAUCCGCUUCAGUUCUGGUAAUUCCCACAUAUAUAAUCUUGCUAAUCUUGAGAGCAUCAUAGGAUUCCCACUCUCUCCAUGCGGCGACUGAGAGGCAUCCAUUAUGCAUUCUAAAUCUCCACAAUUGGUGACAAAAAGAAAAGUCAACUCAUUUAAGCCCCUUGGAUCUAUGCUUGGCACAAUAUUAUGACAACCUAUUAUACUGCCCAAAUCAAGAAACUCCAGAUUUUGAUACAAUGCUGAAAAAAUAACGAGCGAGGUCGCUUCAGGGCGGUUAUUAUAAAUGAUUAAGCUCCUUGUCUCAUGACCAUCUUUCCCUUUACAGAUGACGUACCUUUGCAAUUCCGGGAAUGUAAAGUCUUUUGGAAGACAUACAACAGAUCCGUCGGCUUGGGAGUUCAACUCAGCAAGCCUAGCAUUACUUUCUUCUGAGCUCAUCCCUUCAACCUCCCAUUUUUUUAUCGAACCAUAAAAUUCUUCUAAUUGAGGAAAUUUUUUAUCGUAAGGGGAGAAAUAGUUGUAUAACCGAUAUGCAGAAGUUUCAAUUCGUGAAGUUCAUCCCCCAAUUCUUCAGGAAUUUCAACGGGACACAUCUGGAGACAAAGAAGUUCAAGUCUCUUCAACUUUCCAAGAAAAGACGCGUCACUCACAUCACAUCCAAUCAACUGCAGAACUCGGAGGCUAUUGGCAAGGAAUCGAAGCGAUUUUAGUGAAAGGACUCCAUUUAUUAUAGUAAUAACUUUCAAUGCUGGCAUCCCUUCAAAAAAAUUUUCCGGAACUUGCAAUUUGUAGCCAAAUAGACUAUUGUCCAGUCGCAAAAUAUGAAGGUUAGGGCAUGUCAAACUGCUGGGAAGUUCUUCUUUUUUAUUUACGACCAAAGAGAUUCCUUUGCACUGUUCCAGGCCUUUUUCCACCGCCCGUUCCACCAAUCGGAUGCCAUUUAUACUAAACAAUCUCUCUUUCUCCUCCGUCUUCUCUUUGCUUAUCCAUAUGGCUACAUCACGAACUAUGUCAUGCAUUUUCACAGAUCUGUCAUUACCAGUGUCUAACAGCAGUGACGCAGCUUUGAGCGUGUUAAUCGUUUCAUGCAGUCGGCUUCUGGCGUUUUCUAUUGACGGAGCACAUUGAUACCAAAUAACCCCCACUGCGUAUCCAACCAAAUCCUCCAAAUAAAUCUCAUAAUCUUCUGGAAACAGAGAACACAACAAGAAGCAUAACUUGGACUCCUCACUAUUUAAAUUGUCGUAACUGAAUUUGAGACAAACGUAAACGUCUUGGUCAUUCUCGUCAAUACCUUCUAUUGCAUAGAGUUUUGCUUCCUUUAGAUUAUUUAGAGCUAGAUUCCUUUAUCAAAUCCUUUUCCUUUAUGUAGUGCACUUCCAACGGCUUUAAUAGCUAAAGGCAACCCCUUACAUUCGGCAGCAACUUGUUUCGAAACACCAUCCAAGGUGGAGUCGUUUACAUCAAUACCGGCAUUUUUUUUAGUAGAGUCAAUCCUUCUUCUGGCGUUAGAAUAUCAAGUGGAAUCUGUGGGUAACAAUCGAAAGAAUCGCAAACUGACUUUUUGCGAGUGGUUAGAAGGAUUUUGCAGCAAUUGUCUCUAUCACCAACAGGAAUACCUAAUUUUUCCUUCAAGUUGAGUACAUUCCAGACAUCAUUGAGGAUUAUGAGGAUCUUAGUGCUUUUACUCGCAGAAAACAUCGAGCACAAAUUGGUCUGCUCCAUCUUUUUCAUCUUUCUGUUCUAAUUCCCAACCUAAUGAAUUUGCCAGCUCCUUUUGAACAUUUAUUAUGGUUGGAUGCCGAGAUACAGUGGCUAUCCCCUUUAUGGAAAACCUCUUGUUGCCGAAGUUGAUUGCCCACAAAUUUUGCCAGGGUCGUCUUUCCUACACCACCGAGACCAUGCAAUCCCACCAUCUUUGUGCUCUCUCUUCCAGUGCGUCAAUGAUCUGAUUGCAAGCUGAUUCUGUGGUCUCGAAAGUAGAAGUAAAAUGACUUGGUAAACUUAAUUCUCUCUCUAAUGGUAGAGGUUUAGGAAAGGCAACUGUGUUGAAUUGGCUGCAGUCUUGUAGCAGAUCGGACAACUUGCUAGUCUUCUCUGAUGCUUUUCUGCCCAGCCAAUAUCGG